rnacentral:lncRNA from 1 species
UGCGAUCAACGUGGUCAUGGUAUUUGAUACACAUAAUAUAACUUGUAAGCAUACAAAAUUACACACAGAUUCGCAUAAAACAGGGGGUUUUAUUUUAUUUUAAUUUUAUCAUGUUUUUGAGAAAACAUGAAAGAAAAAGACCCAAAGAUAUAUAUUUAUUUUUCAUCAGUCAUAAGCACCCCCCAUACUUAGGCUGAAAGUUGAUCCAUCAGCACUUAAACGGAACCGCUGAAACCUUUAUUGUAAACAUAUUCAAUAAGGGAAUCCAACUCAUCAUUGGUGCAGUCGAUCAAAUUGUCCUUAUUUUUAUCAGCAACGUCCAUGGCCUCUUCGACUUGCUUGUUUGGCGUGAGUGCACCUAGAUGUUGAAAAGCAUCCUUGAGCUGGUCCCUGGUGAGGCUGCCCUGCUUAGAGUAAGAUCGAAACACUUGUUCCAAUUUGUUUUUCUGAUCCUUGUUAUCCUUUGUGGCUUGCAUUGUGGAUUUUGAGGUUUGUGACCGGGUGAUAUUAGAGAGAAGGCUUGCCUAGCUUGGUUUGGUUUUCUUUUCCAAUGCUACUUGUUUAUAUAGACCCAAAACUCUGAAUACGAUUCUGUUUAAGUGUUGGGGAAUAAAACAUUUUUUGGUGGUGGGUUUAAAAAAUUGAUUUCCAUCUUUUUUAUCAAUAAAAUUAAUAAAUCAAUCAACAAAUUUUAUAAUGAAUACUUAAAAAAAAAAUUCCAAGAGGAUUGGUACGAAUAAAAAUAUUAAUGUUAAUUUCUUCUUUUCUUCUGGCUUCAAAUUAACUACAGAUUGGAAAAAGCUAAACGGCAGCCUCCACUAUCUUGUGUCCAUUUUCUAUUGUUUCAUUUGUUUUAGCCCUCAAUUUGCAGUUUUUAGGUUUUUCUUUUUUGGUUCCCUGAUUAAAUGAUGCAUUUUGGUCCAUUUGGUUUUAAUGAAUUUCAGAAUUUGGUAGAUCUCGUGAAAGGAGUUCUAGGAAGUACUUUGAUGAGCAUGCUUGUAAAUUGUGAUAAUUAUUGUGUAUGAAUGUUAAGUUAUCCAAAAAUAAAUAAGUUUAGCAUUACGACUGUCUUUCUUUUUUUGUUUGCCAUAAAUGAUUCUGGAGCAAAGCAAACUACUGUUAAACUAAUUAUUUGCAUUGUACCACUUCCAGGAAUCAUGGCCUUAGUGGGUUAAAAUCGUAUACAUGUUUCUCUCUCAUAUGUUCUUAAUCUGGGUAGGAUAGAAUGAAGUUUGGGCUAUUUCAAUUCCUUUGCACCUUUUUUCCCUUGUACUGUAAUAUUUUCUCAACCACCCUUUUGCAAGGGGAAAGCUGUAAUAUAUUAUAUAUAUAUAUAUAUAUAUAUAUAUAUAUUUUUAAAUUAGAUAAUUUUGUAAAAAAAUUAUAUUGAUGGAAGUGUGUACAUGGUAGUCAGAUUUUAUUUUUUCAUUUCUUCAUUUUUUAUAAAGCUUUAUUUUUAAAAAGUUCCUAAUAAAAAUUUUUACAAGAAUAAAUCAUCAUUAUUAACAUUGCAUGACAAUUCAAUUUUUUUUCCUUUUUAUUUGUUUUGAUUUUCAUUUUCAUUUUUUCAUUUUUAGUUUUUUUUCUCCCUUUAUUUUUUACUAGAUCAAUUGUUUCAGUGAAAAAAACUCAUCGGAUGUGCCCACAUGACAUCCUAUUUUAUUUUUUGAUUCUUUUUUUUUAAUUAGACAAAUAAUACAGUAAAAAAAUCAGUAUAUAAAUUUUAUAAGAUAAAAAUCAAUUGAAGUAUAGACAACAAAAUAUCUUGUAUCCGAUAUGUUUUGAUUCCUAUGGAUCAAUCGGUGUGCUUUUUCUUUUUUUUUAAUUUAGGAUUGGAAACCUUAAAAAAUAUGAAUUAUUACCAAAUUACAAUAGUAUCAUCUACUAAAAUAAUUUUGUAAGAAACCUUAUGAAGUAAGAAACGGAAAACUUAUAAUUGAAAAAUGAAUUAAUUAAUAGUAGGAUAGAAAAAUAAUUUAAAAGAUUACAAUUAGUAAUUUCAUAAUCAAAUAAAUGAAUUUUUUUUAAAUUAAUGUAAAGCUAUGUUUUCUAAACCAAAGAAAUGCACAAAUGACACUACAAAUUGAUCCUUCAUAUAUGCCUCACAAACAUUUUAAUAAAAUUACAAAAAAAAAUUUAACUAUUUCCAAAAAUAAAAUCUUGAUAUAUAUAAUUUUGCUAAAUAAGGUAUUUAAACUUUUGAUAAAUGAAAUCUUACUUGAAAUCCUGCAAUUAAUUAACUAAUUUUGAUAGUUUAGUUUUCAUUAAAGUGUAAUUUUCUUUUGCUUGCUAAGACCAACAUCUAUAUGUACUUUAAUUUUUUUGUCAAAUAGCUAUAGUUUUAUCAAAAUCAUUUUCAUCUAUACUUACAUAUAAGCACGUGCAAAAACAAAUGCAUAAAUGUGUGUAAAAUUAAAAAGAAUUAAGCAUUUAAUUAGAUUCAUAUAUAUAGAUAUAUAUAUAUAUAUACAUACACAUACACACACUAUCUGUAUUCCUCAUAAAUAGGUUGAUUUUCAAGUUUUCUCGAAACCUUUUAUCAUGUUUUUAAGUAAUAAAAAUAUUAGUGUAUGGUUCAUAAUAGUACGAUAACAUGUUCAUGGUAUUUGAUACACACAAUAUAACUUGCAAGCAUGUAAAAUUACACAGAUUUGAAUAAAAACAGGGGGUUUUAUUUUAUUUUAAUUUUAGCAUGUUUUUGAGAUAACAUGAAGGAAAAAGACCCAAAGCUAUAUAUUUAUUUUCAUCAGUCAUAAGCAUCCCCCAUACUUAGGCUGAAAGUUGAUCCAUCAGCACUCAAACGGAACUGCUGAAGCCUUUAUUGUAAGCAUAUUCAAUAAGGGAAUCCAACUCAUCAUUGGUGCAGUCGAUCAAAUUGUCCUUAUUUUUAUCAGCAACGUCCAUGGCCUCUUCGACUUGCUUGUUUGGCGUGAGUGCACCUAGAUGUUGAAAAGCAUCCUUGAGCUGGUCCCUGGUGAGGCUGCCCUGCUUAGAGUAAGAUCGAAACACCUGUUCCAAUUUGUUUUUCUGAUCCUUGUUAUCCUUUGUGGCUUGCAUUGUGGAUUUUGAGGUUAUGACAGGGUGAUAUUAGAGAGAAGGCUUGCCUAGCUUGGUUUGGUUUUCUUUUUCCAACGCAAUUCGUUUAUAUAGACCCAAAACUUUGAAUACGAUUCUGUUGAAGUAUAGGGGUAUAAAACAUUAUUUGGUGGUGGGUUUUAAUAAUUGAUUUCCGUCCUCUUUAUCAAUAAAAGUAUUAAAUCAAUCAAUAAAUUUUUGUAAUGAACACUUCAACCAUGAGGAUUGGUACGAAUAAAAAUAUUAAUGUUAAUUUCUUCUUUUCUUCUGGCUUCAAAUUAACCACAGAUUGAAAAAUGCUAAAUAGCAGCCUCCACUAUCUUGUGUUGUAGUGAUGAUACAAGCCUCCACUAUCUUGUGUCCAUUUUCUAUUGUUUCAUUUGUUUUAGCCCUCAAUUUGCAGUUUAGUUUUUAGUUUUUUUUUUUUUUGUGGUUGCCUGAUUAAAUGAUACAUUUUGGUUUUAAUGAAUUUCCAGAAUUUGGUAGAGCUCGUGAAAGGAGUUCUAGAAAGCACUUUGAUGAGCAUGCUUGAAAUUUGUGAUAAUUAUUGUGAAUGAAUGUUAAGUUAUCAAAAAAUAAAUAAGUUUAGUUUUAGGACUUUCUUUCUUUUAUUGUUUGCUAUGAGCAAACUACUGUUAAACUAAUUAUUUGCAUUGUACCACUUCCAGGAAUCGUGGCUUUAGUGGGUUAAAACUGUGUCCAUGUUUCUCUCUCGUAUGCUCUUAAUCUGGGUAGGAUAGAACUAAGUUUGGGCUAUUUCAAUUCCUUCGCACCUUUUUUCCCCUGUACUGUAAUAUUUUCUCAACCGCCCUUUUCAAGGGGAAAGCUGUAAUAUAUAUUUUUUAUAUUUUUUCUUUUUUUUAAAUUGGAUAAUUUUGUAAAAAAAAUUAUAUUGAUGGAAGUGUCUACAUGGCAUUCAGAUUUAAUUUUUUGAAUCCUUUAUUUUUUUAUAAAUCUUUAUCUUUAACAAGUUCAUAAUAAAAAUUUUUACAAGAAUAGAUCAUCAUUGCUAAUAUUGUGUGACAAUUUAAUUUUUUUUUGUUUUCAUUUUCGUUUUAUUUUUUUUUUUUGGUUUUUUUUCUCCCUUUAUUUUUUAUUAGAUCAAUUGUUUCAGCAAAAAAAAAAAAAAACCCAAUGGAUAUGCCCAUGUGCCAUCUUAUUUCAUUUUUUGCCUUUCAUUAUUUUUGUAAUUAGAUAAAUAUUACAAUAAAAAAAUCAGUAUAUAAAUUUUUUAAGAUAAAAAUCCAUUGAGGUAUAGACCACAAAAUAUCUUGUAUCCUAUAUGUUUCGUUUCCUGUGAAUCCAAUCGGUGUGCUUUUUUUUAAAAAAAAAAUUUAGGAUCAGAAGCCUUAAAAAAUAUGAAUUAUUACCCAAUUAUAAUAGCAUCAUCUACUAAAAUAAUUUUGUAAGAAACCUUUAUGAAAUAAGAAACGGAAAACUUAUAAUUGAAAAAUGAAUUAAUUAAUAGUAGGAUAGAAAAAUAAUUUAAAAAAUUACAAUUAGUAAUUUCAUAAUCAAAUAAAUGAUUUUUUUUAAAAUUAAUGUAUAACUAUGUUUUCUAAACCAAAGCAAUACACAAAUGACCCACAAAUUAAUCCUUUCUAUAUACCUCGCAAACAUUUUAAUAAAAUUACAAAAAAAUUUUAACUAUUUCCAAAAAUAAAAUCUUGAUAUUUAUAAUUUUGCUAAACAAGUUAUUUAAACUUUUGAUAAUUGAAGUUAUCUUUAUAAAUGAAAUCCCACUUGAAAUCUUGCAACUAAUUAACCCAUUUUGGUAUUUCAAUUCUCAUCCAGAUAUAUCUUUCUUUUGCUGCUGAGACCAGCAACAAUAUGUACUUUAAUUUUUUUUGUCAAAUAGCCUUAAUUUUAUAAAAAUUAUUUUGUCUAUACUUAUAUAUAUGCACGUGCAAAAACAUAUGCAUAAGUGUGUGUAAAAAUAAAAAGAAUUAAGCAUUUAAAUUAGAUUGAUAUAUAUAUAUACACACUAUCUGCUUUCCUUCGAAAAGGUUGACUUUCGAAUUUCUUCAAACCUUUUAUCAUGUUUUUAAGUAAUAAAAAUAUUAGUGUAUAGUUUAUAAUAGUUUGAUCAACGUGUUCAUGAUAUUUGAUACACACAAUAAACUUGCAAGUAUGUAAAAUAACACCAGAUUUAAAUAAAAUAGGGGUUUUAAAUUUUUAUUUUAAUUUUAUCAUCCUUUUGAGACAACAUGAAAGAAAAAGACCCAAAAGAUAUAUAAUUUAUUUUUCGUCAGUCAUAGCGUCCCCCAAUAACUUUAGGCUGAAAGUUGAUCCACCAGCACUCAAACAGAACCACUUGAAGCCUUUAUUGUAAGCAUAUUCAAUAAAGGAAUCCAACUCAUCAUUGGUGCAGUCGAUCAAAUUGUCCUUAUUUUUAUCAGCAACGUCCAUGGCCUCUUCGACUUGCUUGUUUGGCGUGAGUGCACCUAGUUAUUGAAAAGCAUCCUUGAGCUGGUCCCUGGUGAGGUUGCCCUGCUUAGUGUUGGGGAACACCACAGCUCUGGUAUCAUUUGUUGGGCUAAAAGCCUCCAAUCUAAUCACACCAGCAGAAGCAAAUCAAACAAUAAAUCAAACACACAAGAGACAACAAUUUAACGUGGUUCGAUCAACUACCUAUAUCCACGGAUGAGAAAUAAGAUCCACUAGUUGUAGAGAAUUACAAACAUACAUCAAAUCAUCAACCUCACUCAACAAUCAAUACUCAUAAGACACUCUCAAUCUCCUCUAGUCUUAUAGAGUAUUCUCAACCCAAACAAACACAAACCCAAACCUUUAUGCACUCUUUCAACAUAACCAAACACAUACGCAUAUGCUCCCAUACAUCAUACCUAUGUGGACCCUCUCAGUCUCCUCUAAUCCACUCACAAACAAACAUACACACCCAUAAGACGUAGAGUCCCAAUACUCUUAUGAGGUGUCUAUCCUACAAAACCCUACAACUCUCUUACAUCUUUUUUCUCAUACCUAACCCUGUAGAGACUUCACCUAUUUAUAACCAUACAAACUUGCCCAUUAAGAAUCCCUCUCCUCUUAGAAUUCUUCUCCUGUAAGUCAAACAUGCCUAUUAAGAAUCCCUUUCCUUUUAGAAUUCUUCUCUUGCAAGUCAAACUUACCUAUUAAGAAUCCUCUUUCUCUUGGAAUUCUUCUUUUGCAAGUCUUCUUGUCCAUCAAGCAAUAUCUGACAAAUCUCAAACAAAUCUCUAACAAAUCUCAAAGAAAUCUCUUAUGGGAUUUGAGUCAAUAUUCCUAACAAUCUCCCCCUUGACUCAAAUUCCAUCAAUCAUCUGUCUUCAUGCUAGACAUGCUUGGCUCCACCUGCAAUGGAAGUCUUACAAUCAUCUUCUCUUUUCUUGUGUCUCACGCUUUAUACAAACCAAUCUUCAAUCUUCAAAACUCGAACUCGAACUCUUCUCUUGAAUUGAGCUCCUCUAAAUUUAUUUCUUUUCAUGUCUUAAACCAAGCUUUUCCCAUAUCUCAAACUGUCAACUAUUCUCAUGUCUCGAACUAUCGACUCUUUCCACAUCUUGAAUCUUCAACUCUUCUCACGUUUCGAACCUUCAGCUUUGAUACCACUUGUUGGGGAACACCACAGCUCUGAUACCAUUUGUUGGGCUAAAAGCCUCCAAUCCAAUCACACCAGCGGAAGUAAAUCAAACAAUAAAUCAAACACAUAAGAGACAACAAUUUAACGUGGUUCAGUCCAACUACCUACAUCCACGGAUGAGAAACAAGAUCGACUAGUUGUAGAGAAUUACAAACAUACAUCAAAUCAUCAAUCUCACUCAACAAUCAAUACUCAUAAGACACUCUCAAUCUCUACUAGUCCUAUAGAGUAUUCUCAACCCAAACAAACACAAACCUAAGCCCUUAUACACUCUUUCAACAUAACCAAACACAUACCCAUAUGCUUCCAUACAUCAUACCUAUGUGGACCCUCUCAGUCUCCUCUAAUCCACUCACAAACAAACAUACGCACCCAUAAGACGUAGAGUCCCAAUACUCCUAUAGGGUGUCUAUCCUACAAAACCCUACAACUCUCUUACAUCUUUUUUCUCAUACCUAACCCUGUAAAGAGUUCACCUAUUUAUAACCAUACAAACUUGCCCAUUAAGAAUCCCUCUCCUCUUAGAAUUCUUCUCCUGUAAGUCAAACAUGCCUAUUAAGAAUCCCUUUCCUUUUAGAAUUCUUCUCUUGCAAGUUAAACUUACCUAUUAAGAAUCUUCUUUCUCUUGGAAUUAUUCUUUUGCAAGUCUUCUUGUCCAUCAAGCAAUAUCUGACAAAUCUCAAACAAAUCUCUAACAAAUCUCAAACAAAUCUCUUAUGAGAUUUGAGUCAAUAUUCUUAACAAUCUGCACAUUGACUCAAAUUCCAUCAAUCAUCUGUCUUCAUGCUAGACAUGCUUGGCUGCACCUACAAUAGAAGUCUUACAAUCAUUUUCUCUUCUCUUGUGUCUUUACGCUUCAUACAAAUAAAUCUUCAAUCUUUAAAACUCGAACUCGAACUCUUCUCUUGAAUUAAGCUCCUCUAAAUUUAUUUCUUUUCAUGUCUUAAACCAAGCUUUUCCCAUAUCUCAAACUGUUAACUAUUCCCAUGUCUCGAACUAUCGGCUCUUUCCACAUCUUGAAUCUUUAACUCUUCUCACGUUUCGAACCUUCAGCUCUGAUACCACUUGUUGGGGAACACCACAGCUCUGAUACCAUUUGUUGGGCUAAAAGCCUCCAAUCCAAUCACACCAACGAAAGCAAAUCAAACAAUAAAUCAAACACACAAGAGACAAUAAUUUAACGUGAUUCGAUCAAACUACCUACAUCCACGGAUGAGAAACAAGAUCCACUAGUUGUAGAGAAUUACAAAUAUACAUCAAAUCAUUAACCUCACUAAACAAUCAAUACUCAUAAGACACUCUCAAUCUCCUCUAGUCCUAUAGAGUAUUCUCAACCCAAACAAACACAAACCCAAACCCUUGUGCACUCUUUCAAUAUAACUAAACACAUACCCAUAUGCUCCGAUACAUCAUACUUAUGUGGACCCUCUCAGUCUCCUCUAGUUCACUCACAAACAAACAUACACACCCAUAAGACGUAGAGUCCCAAUACUCUUAUGGGGUGUCUAUCCCAUAAAAUCCUACAACUCUCUUACAUCUUUUUUCUCAUACCUAACCCUGUAGAGACUUCACCUAUUUAAAAUCAUACAAACUUGCCCAUUAAGAAUCCCUCUUCUCUUAAAAUUCUUCUCCUGUAAGUCAAACAUGCCUAUUAAGAAUCCAUUUCCUUUUAGAAUUCUUCUCUUGCAAGUCAAACUUACCUAUUAAGAAUCCUCUUUCUCUUGAAAUUCUUUUUUUGCAAGUCUUCUUGUCCAUCAAGCAAUAUCUGACAAAUCUCAAACAAAUCUCAAACAAAUCUCUUAUGAGAUUUGAGUCAAUAUUCCCAACACUUAGAGUAAGAUCAAAACACUUGUUCCAAUUUGUUUUUAUGAUCCUUGUUAUCCUUUGUGGCUUGCAAUAUGGAUUUCGAGGUUUAUGACUGGGUGAUAUUAGAGAGAAUGCUUGUCUAGCUUGGUUUGGUUUUUUUUUCCAACGUAAUUUGUUUAUAUAAACCCAAAACUCGAUUUGUAUUCCGUUGAAGUGUAGGGGAAUAAAAUCUUUUUUUGUGUUGGUUUUUAAAAUUUGAUUUCGAUUGAAAGGAAACGAUAUAAUUGUAUGACAAUUUCUUCAUUUGAAUUUUUUUUAAGUAUCCAUUUUAUUAAUAAAAUUAAUAUAUCAAUCAAUAAAUUUUUAUAAUGAAUACACAUAAGCAAAUAUUCCAAGAGGAUUGGUACGAAUAAGAAUAUUAAUGUUGGCUUGAAAUUAACCACAGAUUGGAAAAUGCUAAGCGUAGUGAUAGCGGCCUCCCUUUCUUAUGUCCUAGUGAUGAUAGCAGCCUCCACUAUCUUGUAUCCAUUUUCUAUUGUUUCUUUUGAUUUUGCAGGUGAAAAGGCUAGACAAUGAAGUCAGGAGUAAGGAAUCUAAACUCUCACCCUAUCCAAAUUUGAGCUGUUUCUACAUGAAAAAGUUUGAAAAGAAUCGUCUUGUUGCUCCUGGUUGGACAGAGCUUGAUCAUACACAUUGAUUUUCUAAAAACUUAUAAUUUGAUGAAAGUGUCUUGUCUGUAGGAUAAUUUGAUAUUAUUGGUUAAAAAUAUUGUUAUAACAUAUAGAUUUAUGGACCCAUUAUAGACAUAAACUUUAAGAGUCGUUACUAUUUUUUUUUUGUUUAGGUGCAAUUAACCAUUUAACUGAAUCUAUCUUAUUUAAAGAGUAUAUCUAAGAUAGACUUAGGCAUUUUUAAAUAGUAGAUUCUAAAAUCAAUGAAAUCAGAUUUAAGGUUCAAGAGUGCAAUUAUGCAUGAAGAAGUUUAUAGCACCCUUACAGUGCCUAUCCAAAAAAUGGUAUCAGUUUAAUUUCAAAUUAUCUAAACCUUGAAAUAUUCUUUAAUUAUACCCAGUAAUUUAAUUAUUAAAAAUUAAUCCUAAAAUUACUCUAAUAGUUUAGUAGCAAUGUAAGAUAAUUUUCUUACCUUAAGAGUAUUCAUAGAGACAAUGUCUCACUCUAAAGAGACUCCGUUGUUGAAUUUAUUAAUAUAUUUUAUGUAAAAAAUAAUUAGUAAAAUCCUCCAAUAGUUUGGUAAGAUUUUACUUUGGUGCAAAUCUCCCAAUAGUUUGGUGAGAUUUUAUAUGAAAAUCAUUUAUAAAAUUUUGUUUUGAUGUAGAAUUCUAAAUAGUUUAGUGAGAUUUUAUUUGAAAAUUAUUUAUAAAACUUUACUUUGAGAAAAUUCAUUAAAUCUUCUAAUUUGGUAAGAUUUAAUUCAAGAUUUUUAUCCUCUAAUAAUUAGUAAGAUUAAAAGUAUAUUAUUUUAUUUUAUUUUAAAAAUUCAUUAAAUCCUCCAAUAGUUUGGUAAGACUUAAUUCAAGAUUUAAAUAUUUCAAUAGUUUGGUAGGAUUGAAAAUUUAUUAUUAAAGAAAUUACAUUAUGAAAUUUGUCAUAACGUCUAGAUCCGAAGAUCUAUCGCUAGACAUUGACUUAAGAAGUUGUCACCAAUCUUUUUUAUCUAGGUGUGAUUGGCCACCUAAGGAAUAUAUCCUUUCAGGGAACAUCUAAGUUUAAAAGUCCCUAAAAAAAUAGGUUCAGGUCUACUAACCAGAACAGGGUUUGGGAGUUCGAUUACGUGUGAGGAAGGUUAUAGCACCCUCACAACGCCCAUCGAAAGAUGGUAUCAGCUUAAUUUUAUGUUAUACAAUAAGCUUUAAAAAUUUACCAAGUAAUUAAUUAUUUAAAAUUAUUCUCAAUUGACUUUAAUACUUUUAGCAGAAAAUUGAAAAAAUUCCCUCACCUUAAGAGUAUGCAAAAAAACUACUGUUUCACUUACAGAGGCUCUAUCGUCAGAUUAUUUAACAUUAAAAAAAUUCAAGAAAAUAAAAAAAAAAUGAUUGCUUUAGAUAUAAACUCUUUUCUCUUCAAGAAUUCAUUGCUUUUAUACAAGGAAAAUUGAUAUUUUCAACUUUUCCUCAAAAAUAUUUUUUAGAAAGCUUAUUUUCAAGGAAAAUUGAUACUUUCAACUUUUCAUCAAAAAUAUUUUUUAGAAAGCUUAUUUUCAAGGAAAAUUGAUACUUUCAACUUUUUCCCAAAAAUAUUUUUUAGAAAAACUUAUUUUCAAGAAAAAUUGAUACUUUCAACUUUUCCCAAAAAUAUUUUUUAGAAAGCUUAUUUUCAAGGAAAUUUGAUACUUUCAACUUUUCCUCAAAAGAAUUUUUUUUUGAAUUUUAUUUAAAGAAAAUAAUAAAAUAAAAUAAAAUAAAAAUAAAAAUAAAGAUAAAAAUAGAAUAAAAUAAAAUGAGAUAAAAUAAGAAAUACUAAAUAAUUCUAAUCUAAUAAAUAAUAAUAAUAAUAAUAAAAAUAAUAAUAAAUAAAUAAUAAUAAAAUGAGAAAAAAACCUGGGAACGGCUUGGCUCGGCUCAGCUUGAGGAAGAAAAACGGCUCGGAGAUGCGGCUCGGCUCAGCUCGACUUUGCACUCGGGUCACACGCAGGUCGCACGCGGUUUGGCGCUCGGGUCGGGUUGCCCAAUUUCAAAACGCGUGGAUCCUUUGGGAACAGUAAUGCCAAAACGACGUCGUUUUCAACAAGUAUAAAAGGCUCAUUCUUCUGUUUUUCAAUAGACCGAUCUUUUCCUCUCUCUCUCUUCCCUUCCUUUCCUCUCCUAUCUCUCUAAACAGACGAAGAACUCCGGUUGAAUUUCAUCAGAUUCUGGAAAAUGUCAUCGAAAUCUGGGUUUUUCACCAGAAAUUCAUCGAAAAGUUGAUCGAUUUCUGGAAAUAGUCGCCAAAAACUGGGUAGCUGACCGAAAAAUUCAAACUUGGCCUGAAAAUUCACCGAAAAAUUUAAACUUGACCGAAAAAUUCAAUCGGAAUCUAUAAAUUUUUCAGAAAUUUUCAGAAAAAAAUUUGCCAAAAUUCUAAAAAAUUUUUGAAAUUACUUUGGCCCUUCUGAACGCUUUUUUUUUUCUUUUUGCUCUUUUUCUCAAUCAGUCUCUGUGUUUCUGUUCUAGUCUUUAUGAUUCAUGGAUCUAUUUAUAGGGAUUGAUCAGAAAAGUUUCUGAUCAAUCCCAACUCCUCCUUGGAUUGGGAUUCAAUCCUUGAAUCCAAUAUAGACUCUGAUUGAAUCCUAAAUCUAUGGUAGAAUUCCAAAUUUCCAUCCCAAUCCCAGCCGAAUAAAAAGAAAAAGAAAAUCAAAUCAAAUAAAAAAAUGUUAAUAGAUAAUUUAAAAAAAUAAUUAGAUAAAUAAAAAUGUUAAUAGAUAAAUAAUAAUAAUAAUAAAUAUAUAAAUAGAUAAGUAAUAAUAAAAAAUAUAUAUUAAUAAAUAGUAAUAAUAAAUAAAUAAAUAAUAAAUAAAUACAAAAAAUACAAAAAUACAAAAUACAUAAUAAAAACAAAAUAAAACAAAUUGAAAUGGGCUUACCCAUUUGGACCAGGCCCAAUUGAUCUGGGCUUGGACCAAAUUAGGUGUCUACAGCUGCCCCUCUUUGCAUAUUUUCUGUGAAACAGAAAUUGUGCAAAGAUGUAGACACCCAUUCAAAACUCCACUCGACCUUUUUUUCUUUUUUGCUUUUUUUCGUUAAAAUUUUGAUCAAAAUUCCUCUAAGCAGAGGCUCAACAACUUUAAAAAACAUAAACAAAGCUCCUCUAAUCAGAGGCUCAAAGACUUUGAAAAUAAUAAACAAAGCUCCUUUAAUGAGAGGCUCAACGACUUUGAAAAUAAAUAAACAAAGCUCCUCUAAUCAGAGGCUUAACGACUUUUGGGAAGUAAAUUGCUCGUCUAAUCAGAGGCUCUAUGACUUUUGAAAAGUAAAUUACUCCUUUAAUCAAAGGCUCUACGACUUUGAAAAAUAAACAAAGCUCCUCUAAUCAGAGGUUCAACAACUUUUGAAAAUAAAUUGCUCCUCUAAACAGAGGCAUGACAACUUUGAAGAAUAGAUUGCUCCUCUAAUCAGAGGUAUCACAACUUUGGAAAAUAAAUUGCUCCUUGACAAUCAUGUUCAAAGGAGUUGAAAAUUGUGUUUGAAGGAAUUUCAGGAGAUUAUGCCCAAAGGUCUUACAAAUCAACCCUGAUACUGAGAGACAUCCUAUUUCAAGGAUUAGAAACUUACCUGACAAGCUUUUUUCUCAAAUUUAAAAAUGUUUUUACAUCCGUCUUAUCUAUGUGGGAUGUUAGAAUACCCCUGCUUCUUGAAUUUAUGCACUAUAUUUUCUUGAAUGUAGUAUAUACUAUGCAAUGCAUGUGAAAUUCAAUGCACGCUAUGCAAAUGUUGGCUAAUUAAUUCCUAUUUAAUUGUGGUACUCAAGUUUCUUAAGCUCUUUUUUUGGGCAUCACCCUUUAUUCUUCAAAGAUCAAAUUACGCUGCUCUUCUAAGAUCGAGCCAGUAUAGCUCUCAAUCAUCUCUUCCACUCACAUUCUUCCUAUAAGAAAUCUCUUUCCAAAUUUAAUAUCCUUAUCAGGAACUGAACAUCUCAAUUCUACUUUUAUCACUCUUGACUUCUUCAAUGCAAUGUAAAAAUCUUUCAUGCCAUUAUUCAUUUAUCAAUCAUUAUUUCAAACUCAACAAGUAAGAAUGCAUUUGCACAUUUCUUCGAUUGUAGAGUAUUAAGAAGAAAAGAAUAAGAAUGGUUGAAAAACUAUCAACAAAAAAGGCACACAAAAAGUGAAAUAGAAUGUUUUUUUUAUUAGCAAAAUGCUGGCAAACUUUGUCCAAGGAAGAAUUACAAGGAUAAGUAUAGGGAGACAAAGCCCAAAAAUGAACAAUAGGACAAUCAUGAUAACACAUCUCAAGGUUUUCUGAAAACCCAACCAUCUGAUGCAUUUAACAACUCAGAGCUCCUCCGAAUUUGCUAACCUCUACGCCAAUAGAUUUUUCAAAUUUGAUGCUAUAUUCUCCUUAUCUAAGCUUCCUUUUUAGGUUUUCAACUUAGAUAAACCCCUAUGACUCAAACUGCCCUUUUAAGGUUUUUGCCUUGAGUCCUCAUUUUUCAUUCACUUUUUUUUCUUUUUUUUCAUUUUUCAUUUUUUUCAUUUCAUUUUUUCUCUUUUUUUUUUCAAGCAUAGUAUUUCUUCACAGCAUCAAAAUUUAUAGGAUGGGGUAAAUCAUUUCUAUCCAUUUCAGUCAGUAUUAGUGUUCCACCCAAGAAAGCCUGUUUCACUACAUAUGACCUUUUCUAAUUCAGAGUCCAUUUUCCUCUAUUAUUAUGCUGGAUUGGAAGGAUUCUCUUCAAGACCAACUCUCUUUCUCGAAAGCAAUGGGGUCGAAUCUUUUUUGUCAUGAGCCCUCAUCAUUCUUUUUUGAUAUAACUGACCAUGGCACAAUGUAGUCAAUCUCUUUUUUUCUAUGAAAUUUAACUGUUCAUAGCGUUCUCAAAUCCAUUCAGCUUUUUUCAACUCAACUUUUUUUAGAACCCUUUAAGGAUGGGAUCUCCACUUCCACUAGUAGUACAGCUUCCAUCCUAUAAACCAAAAAAAAUGAAGUUGUCCUAAUAGAGGUAUGCACUGAUGUUUGAUAUGCAUGCAGUGCAAAUGAUAACUUCUCAUGCCAAUCUUUAUAAGUCUCAGUCAUCUUCUCAAAAAUUCUUUUUAUGUUCUUGUUGGCUGUCUCAACUGCCCUAUUCAUUUUUGGACAGUAUGGUGUCAAGUUAUAAUGCUUGAUCUUGUAUUGAGCACAUAUUUCUUGCAUCAUCUUACUAUUUAGAUUCUUGGUAUUAUCUAAAAUAAUUCUCUCUGGAAGUCUAUAUCGACAGAUAAUCUCUCUCUUUAUGAAUUUACAAACCACAAAUCAUGUUACAUUUGCAUAUGAUGCUACUUUCACCCAUUUUAUGAAGUAAUCUAUUAUCACAAAAAUAAAUUUAUGCCCAUUAGAAGCCUUUGGGAUGAUAGGACCAAUGACAUCCAUGUCCCACAUUGAGAAUGGCCAAGGUGGUGCCAUAAUAUGUAAAAUAGAUGGCGAAGCAUGAAUUUUAUCAGCAUAUAUCUAGCCUUUAUGGCAUUUACGAGCAUAGUCAAUGCAAUCACUCUCCAUUGUCAACCAGUAGUAUUCUGCUCUUAUGAUCUAUCUCGUCAUCAUAUGUCCACUGGCAUGUGCCCCACAUAUUCCAUCAUGUAUCUCUUCAAUGAUUUUUCUUGCUUCAACCUUACUUACACAUCUUAGUAAUACUUGAUCAUGGCUUUUUUUGUACAGAACAUCCCCAUCUAGGAAAAAACUCAUAGCUAAUCUUUGGAUGACCCUUUUAUCAUUUUUUAUUGCUUGAACUAGGUAUUGUUGAUCCUUAAUAUACUAUAAGAUAUCAUAAUACCAGGGCUUUCCAUCCUCCUCUUCUUCUACAUUAGAGCAAUGAGCUGGCAUAUCCUUAACAUCUAGCCUGAUGGGCUAAAUGUCAAUAUUGUCAUUAAUUCGAAUCAUUGCGGCUAGAGUAGCUAAGGUAUUGAUAGUCAGAUUCUUUUUUCGAGGUAAAUGAUCAAACUGGAUAUCUUUAAAUUGUUUUAUCAACUCUAAAAUAUACUUAUGAUAUGGAACGAGUUUUGAAUCUCUCGUCUCUCAUUCCUCUUUCAACUGAUAUAUAACUAGAGCUAAAUCCCCAAACACUUUUAAUGCUUUCACUCUUCUAUCUAUAGCAGCUUGUAGGCCCAUGACACAUGCCUCAUAUUUAGUAAUGUUAUUUGUGCAAUUAAAAUUUAACCUUGCUAUUAUAAGACAGUAUUGUUCUUUUAGGGAGAUCAGAAUUGCUCCAAUUUCAUGUUCCAAGGCAUUGGUAGCUCUAUCAAAAUACAUUCUCCAACACUUUUCUCCAUGCCUCCCUUUCUCCAAUUGGAAAAUAGUUAUUAGAUCUUCAUUAGGGAAUUCUAACCUCAUUGGUUCAUAUUCUUCAAUAGCAUGAUCUGUGAGGAACUCCGCUAUAGCGCCUUCUUUUAUUGUCUUUUGGCUUACAUAUAUAAUAUCAUACUCCGAGAGCAUUACUUGCCAUCUAACAAUUCUUUCAAAUAAAAAAGGCUUUCGAAGAUGUAUUUAAUUGGAUCCAGUUUUACUAUAAGCCAUAUGAUAUGAUAGAGCAUAUAUUGUCUGAGUCUUUUGGCAGUCCACGUUAAUGCACAAUAUAUUUUCUCCAAUGAGGAAUACUUGGAUUCAUAUUCUGUGAACUUUUUACUCAGAUAAUAAAUAGCUCUCUCUUUUUAGUUAGACUCAUCUUGUUGCUCCAGCACACAUCUCAUUAAAUUUUCACACACUGUUAAGUAUAAAAUUAAAGGUUUCCCUGGAAUAAGUGGCACCAACACUGGAGGAUUUGACAAGUAUUGCUUAAUUUUAUCAAAAGCCACUUGACAUUCUUCAUUCUAUUUUUCAAGAUUAUUCUUACAGAGAAGCUUAAAUAUGGGAUCAUAUUUAUAAGUAAGUUGAGAGAUAAAUCGAGAAAUAUAAUUCAAUCUUCUCAGAAAACCUCGAACCUCCUUUGGUGUACUCAUAGGUGACAAAUUUUGAAUGACCCGUAUCUUGUCUGGAUCGACUUCAAUUCCUCUUUCACUGACCAUAAAACCUAGUAACUUCCCUGACUUUACCUCAAAUGUGCACUUGGCUAGGUUUAAUUUAAGCUGAAACCUUUUCAAUCUCUCAAAUAACUUUCUGAGGCUGGUGAUAUGAUCUUCAUUCUCACAAGAUUUUAUAAUCAUAUCGUCUACAUACACCUCAAUCUCUUUGUGCAUCACGUCAUGGAAGAGUGUUACCAUGACCCUUUGAUAUGUUACCCCAGCAUUUUUUAACCCAAAAGGCAUGACUUUGUAACAAAAGGUUCCCCAUAUGGUCACGAAAGUAAUUUUUUUCAUAUCAUCUGCAGCCAUUUUUAUCUGAUUAUACCUUGAGAACCCAUCCAUAAAGGAAAAAAUUAAAUGCCUAGCCAUGUUAUCUACCAGUGUGUCGAUAUACGAUAAAAGAAAGUUAUCCUUUGGACUAGCCUUAUUCAAAUCACGAUAGUCUGCACACAUUCAUACCUUUCCAUCUUUUUUAAGAACCGGUACUAUAUUGGCUACCCACUCUAGAUACUUAGCCAUUUGUAGAAAACCUGCAUCAAACUAUUUUUUCACCUCUUCUUUGAUCUUUAGUAGCAUUUCAAGCUUCAUUCACCUCAGUUUCUGUUAAACUGGCUUACAUUAUGAUUUUAGAGGCAAUCUGUGCUCUACUAUCUCCGUGCUUAGUCCUGGCAUAUUUUGGUAAGACCAAGCAAAUACAUCCAUGAAUUCCCUAAGUAGAUCUGCCAAAUGUUGUUUAUCUUCUGAUGAAAGUGAAGUGCCAAUUUUGACAUCUUUCUUAUUCUCUUCAUUUCUCAGAUUCACCAAGUUAACUAUCCCUGAUGAGGCUCAAUUGACUUAUUUCUUGUUCAAUCAAUCUUAUUAGGUCCGAAAGCAUAACAUAUUCCUCAUAAUUCUCUUCAUUGUCAAGUUCAUCAGUGUUAAUUGAAUUCUCAAAACUAACCUCUUAAUUGUUAUCAUAAUUAUCUUCAUGUUUAUUUAAGGACCUAAAAUUGUAUGAAAUGAGAUAUGUUGACAAGAUUUGUUUGAGAAAAUGGCAAUAAUAAAAACACAAGAAGAAAUGAAUGAAAAUGCAUCCUUCUAAAUUUUUAUUAAAAUAAUAAAAGAUAAAUGGCGCAAACAAGAAAGAUCAUCCUAAUGUCUUGGGCAAUAGCUAUUGGGAUGUUACAAUUAUAUUGUAUUAAUUUCAAAAGUCACAGACACUUCAAUGGCACUGCAAUUGUUUAGCUCAUAAUUUGGUGGACCCACCCCUUUUGAUUAAGCCCUACUUCAUCUUUAAUAGCAUUAAUGGUUAACUGGGCAAAAGCCCUUUCCAUGCUUUUUUCUGUAUUUGAAUACAUGAAUCCUCCAGGUCUAAAAGUCUCAUACAGGUGUGGGAUAACCAUUAGUCUUACUAUUUUUUCUACUGGCCUUCUCUUGAUUUCUCAUUUUACUAUCUCAUAGCCUAAGCCUAACCUUUCACUAUUGUCUAUCACUGUCGGGGGUUCUUUUAUUCCUUGCAAGUUCUUGCCCAGCCUUAAUCCUGGAUACCAGCCCUUAUUGAUGACUUGGCUUAUCACUAUCCUUGAAAAAGAUUAAUUUUUAAGUCCUUCACCUAUACAAUUAACCAAUUCAAAAGAUCGAUAGGAGCAUUCUACUACUUUUUCGAUAGCCUUUACAUACAGAGCAUUCAAGGUUGGGUCACUAGCAUGUCUUCCUCCCAACUACCACUACUAAUUGACCUUUUACAUUAAACUUGAUCUUUUAGUGUAAAGUAGAGGGCACAGCACCUGCCAUGUGAAUCCAUGGCCUUUUUAGUAGACAACUGUAGGAGGAAGAGAUAUCCAUCACUUAAAACUUCACAUUAAAAGUGUAUGGCCCUAUUUGCAAGGACAUCUCGAUAUCUCUCAAGACCUCUCUUUUGGUUCUAUCAAAAGCUCUCACGAUCAUCUGACUGUCUUUCAUAUGAGAGUAGUCAAUGGGUAACCUUGCCAAAGUUAACAUAGGCAUGACGUUGAUAGCGGAGCCAUUAUCAAUAAGGACUUUAGCUAUGAUAUGGCUCUUGCACUUGACUGUGAUAUGCAAAGCCUUGACAUUUCUUCUUCCCUCCGAGGAAAUUUCAUCAUCGUUGAAUGAAAUGUAAUUCAAUAUGACUAGAUUUCUAACUAGGUGGUUCACAUAUUUAACAGAUAAAUUAUGUGCCACAUAUGCCUGGUUCAAUACUUUCAGCAGGGUGUUUCGAUGUGGCUUCGAAUUUAAUAAUAGUGAUAGUAAUGAAAUUCGUGUUGGCAUUUUAUUCAACUGUUCAACAACUGAAUACUCACUAUGUUUUACCAGCUUCAGGAAUUCACAAGCUUUUUUUUCUAACACCAACUUCGGACGAUCUUCCUCAGGUUCUACUUCAAGGUUAUUUUGUCCUUCUCCUUCAUUAGCCUUCUCUCUUCUAGCUUUCUCUAAUAUUUUUAGAGUGUAACAUCUUUCACUUCGGGUAAUACCUCUUACACUAGUUAUAUUGGAAGUGUCAGCUUUAGAGACAUCCCCUUCUUACCCCUGAACUACUGUAUCGCAGCCAUAUUUCUAGGGUAAAGCUUUAUCAUCCUUAUAUGGGAAAGGAGUCGAAACUUUAAAAGUUAUCAGCCUGGGAAUGAGUUUAUCUAUGAUUGACUUUGGCUUGUUCCCAUAAUGGAUGGUCACCGACUUUGGAAAUAGUUUUAUAGGCUUAUCAGUUAUAGACACUUCAACACUUUCUAAGUCUUCUCUUUUUUCAUAGACCUCUAUCUAGUAUAAAUUCAAGAGCUUUUGCACUUUUUAGUGAAACUGCUCACAAGUUUCGAUAGAGUGACCCAUUGUCCCGCUAUGAUAUUUACAACAAGUGCCAACUAUAUAUAUUCCAUGAUGGCUGUAUAGACUCACUGGUUGUAUCAUGUCAACUUUUCAUAAAAUAUCAAACAGCUGACUAAGAGGCGUUUUAAUAUCUGCCACUUCUUUCUUAAAAUGAUGCUCUUGUUCUUCACUUAAAGCAUUCAUAUUAUGAUUAGGGAAGGGAUUGCCACUAAAAUUUGGUGUAGUUACCCCUCCUGUAUCAAAGCUAAUUAUUCCAUCCUUGAUCAAUCGUUGCACUUUGUGUUUCAGGACGGUGUGAUUUUUGAUAGAGUAACCGACAAUCCUAUAGUGAUAGUCACAAUGGGCUGUGGGAUCAUACCACUUAGGGUAAGGUAGCUUGAGGGGCUCUAAUUUACUAGGAGCAAUCAGAUGACUGUUGUAAAACUCAUGAUAUAAUUCUGUAUAGGUCAUUAGGAUUAGGUCAAAUACAGGUUUUUUGUGAGUAGUUUGUUACUCUCAUAAACCACCCAUUAGGUUAGCUAGAUGAGUUUAGGGUUUUAGGUAGGCUGAAUAUUAGGACUAUAUGUGGUAUUCUAAGGCCUAAGAGGAGGUUGAUAUGUUUGGGGAUAAGGUGACUGUGUAAAUGGUUGGUAUGGGUAAGGGGAAGUGUUAUUUACAGUAGGGUAAUAUGGAAGGUAUCCUUGUGGUGAGUAGGGCUGAUAACCUCCAAAUUAUCGUCUAUUAAAGCUCAUAGCUUGAGCUUCAGUCUUUUUCUUCUUUGGGACUCUUUUGCUAGAUGCUUCACUUCCUUCCAACUUGCCAUUCUUGAUGGCAUUCUCGAUAAUUUCUCCUGAAAUUACCAUAUCAGUGAAAUUUUUGGUUGCAUUCCCUAUCAUCUUUUCAUAAUAAAGAGGUUUCAAAGUGCUAACAAACAGCAUUGUAAUCUCUUUCUCAGUCAGAGGAGGUUGUACUUGAGAAGUUACAUCCUUCUAUUUCUGAGCGUAUUCUUUAAAAGACUCAUUUGCCUUUUUCUCCAGGUUCUGUAAAGACAAACGAUCAGAAGCCAUAUCGAUAAUAUGUCGAUAUUGAUUGAUGAAGUCAUGAGCUAUAUCACUUUAAAAAUGAAUGCGGGUUCUAUCAGCUGGACAUACCACCUGGCAGCAGAGCCUGUAAGGCUAUCUUGAAAAAUAUGCAUUAGUAGUUUUUCAUUAUGGGGCAUGGGCUGCCAUCUUCCGACAAUACAUGGUGAUAUGAGUUUUUGGGCACUUCGUAUCAUCAUAUUUCUCAAAUUUUGGUACUUUGAACUUUGGUGGAAUGACUACAUCCGAGACUAAGCAUAGCCCAGCAGCAUCAACAGAACCAUAAAAUCCAAUUCCUUCUACGGCUUGUAAUCUUUAUUCAAACAUACUAAUCUUUAGAUCUUCCUGAGACUCUGCCACUUUUGCUUUCUCUUUAUUUUUCAAGUCAUCUAGAUUAGGAACCGGUUCUAUUGCCUUUUUAGUAAAGAUAGAAUUUACAUAGCUAUGGUAAUGCCCUAGAUUGGAGGCUGAUGGCAUUCCAGGAUAUGUAGGAUAUGUGAAGUAUUGUGGUGAAACCUCUUGUGUAGACUAGGCUUGAGGUGGACCAAAACCUGAAGGAUAUAAAAGGUCAGCCACUUCUUGUAAUGGGGGAACUUGUUGGUUUGUAUUUUUUUCUAUUCCUUUUCCCUUAUUCAGCUUAUUGAGAGCAUCUAAAAUCUUGCUCAACUUAUUUUUAAUCUUUUCCUGUGCUUUCUCUAGCUUUUCAAAUCUGUGAGAGUUUUUCUGCUCCAUUUGUCUGACUCUAGCUUUUUUGUUGUAUCGAUGGACAGGGUUCUCGCUAGAUGGAGCUAUCCUUGAACCUUGAGUACCAUAUCUUAGAAUUAGUAAAUUUGCAUGACUAUCUCAUGGUUACUUUGUUAAGUGUAAUGAGUGAGAAUGCAAUGAAUGAGAAUGCAUGUAUGCAAAGAACAUUUGCCUUAAAGACGGUAUUUAACUAAAAGAUUUCAUUUAUUCCAAAAAACUUUUAUUUACAUUGAGUUUAUCAUCCUAAAAUUAUAACCAUAAAAUUGUUUGAUCUGUUCAUAUUGGGCCUUGGCUUUUUCGAUAAAGUUUAAUAGAUGCUGCCCAUGCUCUCUUACUGGGGUCACCACUUGUUUUAAUACCUCUACCUCUUCUACCAUCUCUCUUGCCUUGCAUACCCCUUUACAAAUUUGGGUCGUUAGGUACUCAAUAUAUUUCUAUCUUCUUAAGUUCUCUCUUUUACCAUACCAGACUUGGUAUGAUAACUCUCUAUGCUCCCUAAGUAAUGCAGCAAUAUGGUCUUCUUGUUCAUUCAACUUUUAUCUCAGCCUGCUUAGAUAACUAUUCAGCAUGUUAUUCUCUAUCUAUACUUAGGUACUUUCUUCUUCCAAUUCAGCAUAUUCUUGUUUCAAUCUUGCAUUCUCUUCAGUUAGCUCAACAAUCAUUAUCUCUUUGGCCCUUUCUCUCACGCAUAAUCUCUUAUAUUUUGAUAUAGCUCUGCUAGGUCUUCAAUAGUCGUAUCAUGUUAUCUAACAAUCUUACAAACUUUGGCUUCAUGUCUUUCAGCUCUAUCUUUCCACUGGUCUUUUUCUUCUCGAAGCUUCUAGAUUUCUUACUUUAACUUACCCUUUUCCUACUCAAAUUUUUUUGUCGCAAGCUCUAAUUCUGAUGGUGUCUCUUCAAGCUUUCCUCCUGUUGGCGGUUGAAAGCUUUCAUAAGUGAAUACCAUUUCUUGUUUUCGUUUUGCUCUCCAAACCAGAUACCCUGGAGUGACUUUAUCAGUAAACGAUCUAAGACUCACUCUUCGGGGAUUUUUCCAUGCUUUAAUCAUCUCAUUCAUCUUCUGAAAUGCUUUUGGCUCACUGUAAGAGAAAUCUAAUUAAUGAAGCCCAUACGUCAUAGGAAUAAACUGUUCUGCCCCAAACUACCUUUUCACUGGGAGUGAUGUAUAAUUUGUCGCUCUCUAUAAACACAGAAGUGGGGCCACUAUAUUUAUCCCCACAUUGAUACAACAUAGGCUCACAAUUCAUCCAUGGGGCCAACCAUCUUACUGUGGCACUGGUCAAUUUUUAUAGGAAAGUUAUCCAUUCUUUUUUAGAUUUUGGUUCUGACCACCCACUUUCACAGAAUUCUUUGAUCAGAGCUCGAUUACGAGCAUAAAGCUUUGAGAAAGCACCUUUUCUCCAUUCGAAAUGGCUUUUCAUCCAUAAGUACAAUAACUGUAUGCAACCUAUAAAGUGCCCUCCAUUCCGACGGUAGUAACUCAAAGAUCUGAUAGUCUCUACUAAUAUUAUGGUUGAAGGAUUACAGCCAUUGAUCACACUCUCGAAGAAGUCAACCACCGUUAUCUCAAUAUAACCCAAAACCUUUGAGAAGAUCACCAUUCCAUAUAUAGCUAAGGCAAAUACAUCUAACCCCCGUUCUUCGUUGGCAUGUUGCAAUAGAAACUCAUGAAAGAACUUCCACGGUAGACAAACCUGUUCUUGUUUCUUCUUUAUAUGAGAAUCCACAACUUCUUUGUCUAUCCUCAUGAGUUAACCUAAACCAUUACAAAAUCCUGACUUGUGUUUUUUGACAUAUAUCUUAUCGGGAGCCUUGAGGUGCAAACCCAACAAAGUUGAAUAUUCUUUGAUGGUUGUGUCAUAUCAACUUCAUUGAAGAUGAAAUACUUGUAUGCAGGAUCCCAGAAUUAUGCUACAGCUCUGAUUAGUUGAUCGUCGACAACUACUGCUAGAAGGUGUGCUAUAUGCCCGUGUCUCUGGCAAAACUGCUCUUAUCUUGACGAACUCAUCUUCUUCCAUAUAUCAACCAAGUCCUCUAGAUUAUUUUGUUUGAGAAGGAUAGAUGUUUCUUGAGACAAGGUAGAAUCAUAUCCGAUUGAUAAACAAUCCCACAUCUUCAGUUGAAUCUUUUUUUACUGGACCCUUACUUCGUUGGGUGACUCACAAGGUGCUAAUACAGAUGAAGAACAAACUAGUUGUUUUGUGGAGUCCAUGAAAAAUUUUUGUUAAAGACCGUCUUUCAAGCAAAUGUUCUUUAUGCAACUUUAUGAUAUGAGCAUGAACUGAUGCAAAAGAAUAAGAGAAAAGGUUAGUAUGCUCAAAAAAUAAAUAAAUAAAUAACUAAGUAACUUAAAAUAUCACACAGAAUAAGAGGAAUGAAUCCUAUGCUUUUGGUUAAUUCUAAAAAGGAAGAAUAAUGGCUCUAUCUAUAGGUUAGGCACUCUUAAGGUUCACUAUAUGUGGUUUGAUGUUAAAGUCUAAAGGUUCCCAAAUUACUCCUUACAUCAUUGUCCAUCACAGACUAGUAAGGCACCCUAAUCCUCACCCAUUACAAGCUACAAGCGAAAAAGGUUCAAUUUGAGUGGGAGUAUUUCGUUAGCCACUGCAAAGGCAUUGACCUCACGAAAGUAAUAGGUACUUUACUCCCUCCUAGAGGGACGGAGCUCGGGUAUAGAGCUCAUAUUAUGCAUAUGCAUAUGAAUGACAUAAUUAAUAAAGUAAAUAAACAUGAAUGAAUAAAAGAAUCUAUACAAAAGGUUCAAUUUUAUUAGGCUUUUGGAUAACACAAAUUUAUUUGCUAGCCUAACACUCAGACAUCCCCAGUGGAGUCUCCAAGCUGUCAUAACGUCUAAAUUCAGGGAUCUAUCACUAGACAUUGACUUAAGGAGUUGCCACCAAUCUUUUUUAUCUAGGUGUGAUUGGCCACCUAAGGAAUCUAUCCUUUCAGGGAACACCUAAGUUUAAAGGUCCCUAAAAGAAUAGGUUCAGGUCUACUAACCAGAACAGGGUUCGAGAGUUCGGUUACGUGUGAGGAAGGUUAUAGCACCCUCACAACGCCCAUCGAAAGAUGAUACCAGCUUAAUUUUGUGUUAUCCAAUAAGCCUUAAAAAUUUACCAAGUAAUUAAUUAUUGAAAAGUAUUCUCAAUUGACUCUAAUACUUUUAGCAAAAAAUUGAAAAAAUUUUUUCACCUCAAGAGUAUGCAAGAAAACUACUAUUUCACUUGCAGAGGCUCCAUCGUCGGAUUAUUUAACAUUAAAGAAAAUUCAAAAAAAUAAAAAGGAAAAAAUGAUUGCUUUAGAUAUAAACUCUUUUCUCUUCAAGAAUUCAGUGCUUUUAUACAAGAAAAAUUUAUACUUUUAACUUUUCCUCAAAAAUUCAUUUUUGAAAACUUAUUUUUAAGUAAAAUUGAUACUUUCAACUUUUUCCCAAAAAUAUUCUUUCUCAAAAAUAUAUUUUAGAAAGCUUAUUUUCAAGGAAAAUUGAUACUUUCAACUUUUCCCCAAAAAUAUUUUUUAGAAAUACUUAUUUUCAAGGAAAAUUGAUACUUUCAACUUUUUCCCAAAAAUAUUUUUAGAAAGCUUAUUUUCAAGAAAAAUUGAUACUUUCAACUUUUCCUCAAAAAUAUAUUUUUUUGAAUUUUAUUUAAAGAAAAUAAUAAAAAUAAAAAUAAAAAUAAAGAUUAAAAUAAAAUAAAAUAAAAUGAGAUAAAAUAAGAAAUACUAAAUAAUUCUAAUCUAAUCAAUAAAUAAUAAUAAUAAUAAUAAAUAAAUAAUGAAAAAAACCUGAAAAUGGCUCGGCUUAGCAGCUCGGCUCAGCUCAGCUCAGCUCCGUACUUGGGUCACAUGCGGGUCGUAAGCGAGUUGGCGCUCGGGUCGGGUUGCCCAAUUUCAAAACGCGCGGAUCCUCUGAGAAUAGUUACGCCAAAAUGAUGUCGUUUUCAACAAGUAUAAAAGGCUAAUUCCUUUAUUUUUCAGUAGAUCGAUCCUUCCCUCUCUCUCUCUCUCUCUCUUUCCUUCCUUUCCUCUCCCCUCUCUUUAAACAGAUGAAGAACUCCGGUUGAAUCUCGUCGAAUUUUGGAAAAUGUCACCGAAAUCUGGGUUUUUUAUUGAAAGUUCAUCGAAAUGUUGGUCGGUUUCUGAAAAUAGUCGUCGAAAACUGGGUAGCUGACCGAAAAAUUCACUGAAAAAUUCAUCGAAAAAUUCAAACUUGGCCGAAAAAUUCAAUCGAAAUCUAAAAAUUUUCCAAAAAUUUCCAGAAAAAAAAUUCACCAAAAUUCUAAAAAAAAUUUGAAGCUGCUUCUGGCCCUUUUGAAUGUUUUUUUUUUCUUCUCGCUCUUUUUUUCAGUCAGUCUCUGCGUUUCUGUUCUAGUCUUUGUGAUUCGUAGAUCUAUUUAUAUGGAUUGAUCAGAAGAGUUUUUGAUCAAUCCCAAUUCCUCCUUGAAUUGGGAUUCAAUCCUUGAAUCCAAUAUGGACUCUAAUUGAAUCCCAAAUCCACGGUAGAAUUUCAAAUUUCCAUCCCAAUCCCAGUCGAAUAAGAAGAAAAAGAAAAUCAAAUCAAAUAAAAAAAUGUUAAUAGAUAAUUAAAAGAAAAUAAUUAGAUAAAUAAAAAUGUUAAUAGAUAUAUAAAUAGAUAAGUAAUAAUAAAAAAUAUAUAUUAAUAAAUAGUAAUAAUAAAUAAAUACAAAAAAUACAAAAUACAGAAUAAAAAAUAAAAUAAAACAAAUUGAAAUGGGCUGACCCAUUUGGACCAGGCCCAAUUGAUCCGAGCUUGGACCAAAUUGGGUGUCUACAAAAUUCUUUAUUAGUUUGGUAAAAUUCAUAAUUGAAAUUUUCUAAACCAAUGAAAUAAAAAAUUCAUAAUUUAAAACUCACAAUCUUUAAAUUUUAUUUUAAACGUACAUAAAAAAGUAAAAUAAAUGAAUAAAUAUAUAAAUAAACAAAAUGUAAAAAUUACCCUAAUGGAUGGAGACAUGCCUAGGUUGAAGUAUCUCUUCAUCUAUGGUAACAGAUAAUCACCAAAGAGCUCUACCACCAAUUUUAACCUAAGAGCUAGGGUAUAGAUUGCUACUCAUCCAUUUCUUGGUGGGUUUCCCUUUUUUUCUCCCCUUUUUUUUGUAUUUUGUUGAUUGGUGUUUAUAUUAGGCCUUUUGCUAAGAGUUUUAACGAUUUGCAUUGAAUGAAAAGGAUUGCAAAUCAGAUUAUACUCUGAACUUAUUUUUUCUUGAUUCUCUUUAAAAUUUAUUUAAUUAAUUUCUAGAAUUGUCUCAAUUUUCCUUGAUUUUCAGAGUCCCUUAAAACUUCCCAAGCUAAAUUUGACUUUGAUUCCUUGAUUUGCUUUCUUUUCAACCUUCCUUUAAUAUUUAAAGAGAUCAUGUUUUAGUUUUAAUUGUCGAGAUCAUCCUUGAUUAGUGCUCAAAUUACUCCAUAAAUUUUAUUGACAUGAUUUAUGAUAAAAAUUUAAAAUAAAAUAAAUAAAAAGAGUAAAACAUAUAAAUAAAUAAGAUAUAAAAAGAAAUGAAGGAAAUUGGACAAUUGGGCUUAGUUUGAGCCCCGAACUAAAUAGGGUGUCUACAGUUGCCCUCUUUGCAUAGUUUUUGUAAAAUAAAAAUUAUGCAAAGAUAUAGAUAUCUAUUACGUUCAAGCCCAAAUUAUUCAAUUUUUUUCUUUUUUUUAAAGGCUCUUAAAAAUGAAGGCACACAACAUUUUAAAAAAUUAAGGACGACACCCGAAGGUUUUGACAAUCAUGCCCAAAGGUUUUAUAGAUCAUGUCCAAAGAGCUUGAAAAUUAAGCCCGAACGUCUUACAAAAGCAUUCAUUAAAAAAUGCUCAUUUAAACAAAGGCUACACAACUAUUAAAAAAGUACCUAAAAGUUUUAAAAGAUCAUACCCAAAGGUCUUAGAGAUUAUGCUCGGAGUUCUUACAAAUCUUGACUCUAAAAUAAAUUCAACUCGAAAGACUUACAAAUCUUCCCUAAAGGACUUAGAGAUUAUGCUCGGAAGUCUUACAAAUCUUGAUCUUAAAAUAAAUUCAACUCGCAAGACUUACGAAUCUUGCCCAAAUGACUCAGAGAUUACACUUAGAAGUGUUACAAAUCUUGACUUUAAAAUAAAUUCAGCUCAAAAGACUUAUGAAUCUUGUCCAAUGACUUAUAGAUUAUAAUCAGAGGUCUUAUAAAUCUUGACUCUAAAAUAAAUUCAAGUCAGAAGACUUGCGAAUCUUACUCGAAGGACUUGGAGAUUAUGUGUAGAGGUUUUACAAAUCUUGGAGAUUAUGCCUAGAGGUCUUACAAAUCUUAACUCUAAAAUAGAUUCAGCCAUGAAAAUUUAUGAAUAUUGCCUAAAAAACUUCGAGAUUACACCCGAAGGUUUGAUAAAUCUCAACUCUAAAAUAAAUUCAGCUUGAAAGACUUAUGAAUCUUACCUAGAGGUCUUACAAAUUAAACUUCAAAAAAGCUUAUUUAAAAUGAAUGUUCAACCACUUUAAAGAGAAAAAAGAUAUUUUGAGGUUUUAAAAAUCAUGCUCGGAGGUCUUAUAGAUAUUGCUUGAAAGACUUUUAAAAUAGUUUAAUAGUUUUGAAGGUGUUGCCAAAGGGUUCAUAAAAAAAAUUAUCCGAAGGUUUUUUAAGACUAAUACUUAAAAAUUUUAACAAAUUUNNNNNNNNNNNNNNNNNNNNNNNNNNNNNNNNNNNNNNNNNNNNNNNNNNNNNNNNNNNNNNNNNNNNNNNNNNNNNNNNNNNNNNNNNNNNNNNNNNNNNNNNNNNNNNNNNNNNNNNNNNNNNNNNNNNNNNNNNNNNNNNNNNNNNNNNNNNNNNNNNNNNNNNNNNNNNNNNNNNNNNNNNNNNNNNNNNNNNNNNNNNNNNNNNNNNNNNNNNNNNNNNNNNNNNNNNNNNNNNNNNNNNNNNNNNNNNNNNNNNNNNNNNNNNNNNNNNNNNNNNNNNNNNNNNNNNNNNNNNNNNNNNNNNNNNNNNNNNNNNNNNNNNNNNNNNNNNNNNNNNNNNNNNNNNNNNNNNNNNNNNNNNNNNNNNNNNNNNNNNNNNNNNNNNNNNNNNNNNNNNNNNNNNNNNNNNNNNNNNNNNNNNNNNNNNNNNNNNNNNNNNNNNNNNNNNNNNNNNNNNNNNNNNNNNNNNNNNNNNNNNNNNNNNNNNNNNNNNNNNNNNNNNNNNNNNNNNNNNNNNNNNNNNNNNNNNNNNNNNNNNNNNNNNNNNNNNNNNNNNNNNNNNNNNNNNNNNNNNNNNNNNNNNNNNNNNNNNNNNNNNNNNNNNNNNNNNNNNNNNNNNNNNNNNNNNNNNNNNNNNNNNNNNNNNNNNNNNNNNNNNNNNNNNNNNNNNNNNNNNNNNNNNNNNNNNNNNNNNNNNNNNNNNNNNNNNNNNNNNNNNNNNNNNNNNNNNNNNNNNNNNNNNNNNNNNNNNNNNNNNNNNNNNNNNNNNNNNNNNNNNNNNNNNNNNNNNNNNNNNNNNNNNNNNNNNNNNNNNNNNNNNNNNNNNNNNNNNNNNNNNNNNNNNNNNNNNNNNNNNNNNNNNNNNNNNNNNNNNNNNNNNNNNNNNNNNNNNNNNNNNNNNNNNNNNNNNNNNNNNNNNNNNNNNNNNNNNNNNNNNNNNNNNNNNNNNNNNNNNNNNNNNNNNNNNNNNNNNNNNNNNNNNNNNNNNNNNNNNNNUGAAAAGAAACUCCUAAAUAUUUCAAUUUAUUGGUAAUUUUUAGAAGACUUUUCUCACCUAAAGAAUUCUUGAGAAUUACUAUUCAGACUUCCCAGAGUCCCAUCAUUAAAAUUUUUUUUUAAAACAUGCAAUGCAGACAAGAAAAUAGAAUAUGUACACAAAAAUAUAUAUUUAUUAGGAAUUAAUUUUCUUUAAUCAUUCUCUAAUUAUCACUAAAAUUUUGAAAGGAACAAAAAAAUAAAAUUUUUAUUGAAAAUUUUCCUGAUACCCUAAUACACUGGCAAUAAUUUUAAAAAAAUUUUCUCACAUAAGGAUUUCUUAAAAAUCUUUACUCAAACUUCCUUUGAAUUCCAUUCUCUAAAAAUUUCAUUCAUAUCAUUAUUAUAUGCAUGAAAAAUAAAAUAUAUCAAACAUGAGUUUAAACACAAAAUAUUAUAUUAAAAUAAGCAUGAGAAUCUAAUCAACAAAAAAAUUAAAAAUGCAUAGGAUUAAACUUAUAACUGAAUUUAAACAAUCAUAAACGACUUGUAUGAGUAUAAUAAAACAAACAUAAAGGUGGAAUAACAUAGUUCAUGUGAAACUCAACCUAUAGCCUAUUUUCAGCUUUCAUUCUUUUUGUUAUCAAUCAUAAGAACAAGCCAAGACAGCCCCCACGCAUAGGGAAAUAAACAAAAAAAUACAAAAAGCUAGAAGCUUUAUAGCUUGUGCAAAACCUUUCACAUAAAGACAACAAACUAGAUAAGAAAAAAAACCUCAUUCCAUGUUGAAGAGCAAAGACCUAUGAAGCUACCCAUUGAUGUUUUAUAUAGCUCAAAUGGAUUAUAGCCCAAAAGUCAUCAACUUCAGACUUCCAGCUUUAUCCGUUUUAGCUUUCAAAACAAAACAACACUAUGGUCCAAACAACUUUCAGUCAUGUUUUUUUUACCUUGCUAGUAAACCCAUGUCUGUCUCAUACAAAGAAAGAAAGCAAAAUAGAUGCUGAAAUUACUUUAGGCAGCAAUGGAAAUAAGUUACAAAAUUUGUUUGGAAGAUCAACCAAACCGUGACUUCCCAUGAGGAGUUAGGCAGCAUGAUUUGGCUUAGUCUAAGCUAAUUUCCUUUUCUUUGUUUGCUUUAGCUUAAACCAACUAGAGGUUGGUUAUAAAGGAUGAAAAAAAGGGUGAAAAAAUUUAUGGCAUGAUCAAACAGCUAUUGUCAGAAGGAGAAACAACAGCUGUUCAGCAACACAAGAAAAACAAUGGUGUUCCAACCAUCUUGGAAAAAAUGAAAUAGAAACAUAGAACAAAUAAGGCUUGAAAUUUUAUUAACAAACACACCAAACACCAAAGCAUGAAAGGAAAAAAUAAGAGCACUUGCAGAAAAGAUCAUGAUAGGAGAAAAAAUAGUGUGAAAUACAUUAUAUAAUUAGCAAACUCAACCUUGGUAUAGGCUAUCUCACCUUUUGAAUUUUUUGAUUUUAGCUUUUCUUUUUUUUUCUGCUCUCUCUUUUUUUUUUUUUUCCAAUGCUUCAUCCCCCUUCUUCCGCCAUUCUAGUAGCCUUUGGAUGAAAUCUCAUCCAAGGGCCAUAGUUUUUCCUUUUCUUAUUUUUAAGGAGCCACCUUUGGUCCUUGGAUUAAAAGACAACAAAGGAUCCAAUGGCUCAGAUUACACACUGCAAAGGUUGAAUUUUUAUGCCCUCUUAAACCCAUAAAAGACCAUUUUAUGCUUAGUGCAAAAGUUUUGGUAUUUGUGGUCAUUUCUUUAUAAAUUAAUGUUCCCAUGGUCAUUUUUGUGAUUUUCAAGCACCAAAAAUCAUAAAUUAUUAUUAAGUUGAGAUCUGAAAAGUUUCAUAAAAUUUUAAGCUCAAAAAAAGCCAAAUUAUGAAAAUACCCAUAUAAGGGUAUUUCAAUAAUUUUACACUUUCGGGGGUACUGCUAUGAUUUUAGAUGCACCAAAAAUUAUAAAAUAUCAUGAAAUUGUGAUCUAAAAAGUUUCACAAAAUUUCAAGUUUAGAAAGAUCAAAUUACAAAAAUACCUUUACAAGGGUAUUUUGAUAAUUUCAUGCUUCCAAGCGUACAAUAAAAACUCUAAUGUUUCAAAAAAAUCUCAACUUUAACUUUAAACAAUAUUGAUUUUAAUUAGGUUUUGAAUUUUUAGAAUUGAUCCAGGCUCUAUCCCUUUUGACCAAGUUUCAUGCAAUUUUGACUAGGGUUGACUUUGAAGUUUUAAAUAGACCAAUUUGUGAGGUCUUUACAAGUCUUAAAUGGUUCUCAUAAAUGGUUUUAGCCUUUUAUUCACAAAUAAGCCCUAGAUAAAUCAUGUUAAAAAAUAUCCUAGACAAAAUUUGGUGUCUACAACUACCCUUCUUUGCAUACUUCUAAGGAUCAAAAGUAAUACAAAGACAUAAAUGGUAAUUUUGUCUGAAUGAUGUUUUCGAGUGAGCGAACCUUUGUUUUUUCUUCUCUUCUUCUCUGUUUUAUUUUUUAAACUAUGGAUUUUAGAGAUUAAAUCUUAAAAACUUUUUGAAUGCUCCUCCAAUCAGAGGCAAUGGAGCUUUGAAUAUUUAUAAUGUUUUAUGAAUCACAAAACUUUUGGAUGCUCAUCUAGUCAGAGGCCAUGAAACUUUGAAUUUAAAAUGGUUGGAGAUUAUGCCUGAAGGUUUUACAAAUCUUAAAAUCUUUAAAUGCUCCUCCAAUCAGAGGCCACGAAACUUUGAGUUUAAAAUGUUUGGAGAUUAUACUCGAAGGUCUUACAAGUCUCAAAAUCUUUAAAUACUCCUCCAAUCAUAGGCCAUGAAACUUUGAAUUUAAAAUGUUUAGAGAUUAUACUUGAAGGUCUUACAAAUCUCAAAAUCUUUAAAUACGACUCCAAUAAGAGGCUAUGAAACUUUUAAAAAAUUAGAAUGUUUGCUUGAAGGUCUUACAAAUUAUAUCUAGAGGUCUUAAAAAUUAUGCCCGGAGGUCUUAAAGAUUAUACUCGGAGGUCUUAGAGGUUUCAAAAUCUUUGAAUGCUCCUCUAAUUAGAGGCCAUGAAACUUUUAAACAAUUAAAAUGUUUUGUCCGAAGGUCUUGAAAAUUAUGCCUAGAGGUCUUAAAGAUUAUGCCCGGAAGUCUUAGAGAUUUUAAAAUCUUUGAAUGCUCCUCCAAUUAGAGGCCAUGAAAUUUUUAAAAAAAUUAAAAUCUUUUUCCCAGAGGUCUUGAAAAUUAUGCUCGGAGGUCCUAAAGAUUAUGCUCAAAGGUCUUAGAGAUUUCAAAAUCUUUGAAUGCUCCUCCAAUAAGAGGCCAUGAAACUCUUGAAAAAUUAAAAUGUUUUACAAAUGGUUUUCCCUUAAAAAGAGAUUUUUUGAAACUCUAUAGAUUUUUGUUUGAACAUGGCUCUUUCCAAAUAGAGGCUUCAAAAUCUUUAUUUGAAAAUGGCUCCUCUUAAAUAGAGGUUUUGAAACUUGAAAAUCUUGUUUCUCUUUUCUCUCUAUUUUGAAACUAGUUUGAAAAUGAUUCAUGAUGUCAUGGCUUGAGAAUUUCACAAGUUGUGAUUGUUUAAAAUAAUUUUUCAUACUUCAGUCUUUUAUUUGAAUGAUUCUUUCUUAAAAAAAAAGUUUAAAUUUUUCAUAAUUCAUGAAUGCAAUGGAUAUAAUGCAAGUAUUAUUAGAAACCAAUAUGAUGUAUCCAAAAUGUGGUAACAAGUUUCCUUACAUCAUUCAUUUUUCUCUUUUUUUCUCUUUUUUUUUUCUAUAAAAUGAAACCAUUCUCAAACCUGGUUUGCAUAUUCUAGGAUCUUCUUUCUUAUGAACUUCAAUGAUCAUUUGUUGAUCUUUAUCCUUAUAAUGUUGAUAAACACAAUCCUGAUGCAAAUGUCUAUCCAAUGAUGUGAAUACAAAUGUCAAUGCGAAUGUAAAUGUCAUUGCAAAUACAAAUGACUUUUUCACAAUGCAAAUGCCAAUGUGUUUUCUGUAUAAAUGCCCCUAAAAAUUCUAAAAUGCCUAUGUCAUGAUGCAAAUGCAAACUUCUUUCUUAUAGUGCAAACGUAAAUGCCUUGGUUAAGAUGUAAAUACAAUGCAAAUACAAGUUAUACAAAUGUGAAUGUCUUUCUUAUGAUGCAGAUGUAAGUGAUGCAAAAGCGAAUAUCUUUCUUGUGAUACAGUUGCAAGUGAUGCAAAUGUAAAUGUGUUUUUCCUUAUGAUGCACAUGCAAGUAUAAAUGCAAAAGUCUUUUUUUUGUGAUAUAGAUGCAAGUAAGGCAAAUGUGUUUUUCUUUUUUUUGUGAUGUAAAUGCAUUGGGCUUAAUAUUUCAUCAAGGGGCAACUAAUCUGGGCUUAAAUAUUUCUUUAAAGGUCGGCUAAAUUGGGCGUACAUUCAUUUGAGGUCAACUAAUUUGGGCUUAAAUCUUUUUUUUGAAGGCCAGCUAGAUGGACUUAAUAUUUCAUUAAGGGCUAGCUAAUUUAGGCUUAAUAUUUAUAAGAGGCAAGCUAAUAUGGGCUUAAUAUUUCAUUAGGGGCCAGCUAAUCUGGGCUUAAUAUUUCUUUAAAAGCCAGUUAAACUGGCUUACAUUUAUUGGGGGUUAGCUAAUCUAGACUUAAAUAUUUCUUUGAAAGCUAACUAAAUUGGGCUUAAUAUUUCAUUGAAGUUUAGCUAAUCUGGGCUUAAAUCUUUCUUUAAAUGAUAGCUAAAUUGGGCUUACAUGCCCGAGAAUCAACAAUCUCUAUUAAAAAUGAAAGAUGAAGAUUCUUUCCAAAUGGGUUGAAUAGUUCUGUAUAUAGAGAUUUUUGUUUAUUCAAAAGGGUUUCAGCACCUAUAAGGGAUAAAAGGCAUAUACUUUUUUCAACAAGUUCACAGAUGUAACAAGUUUCCUUACAUCAAUCAUUUUUCUCUUUUUUUCUCUUUUUUUUUUCUUUAAAAUGAAACCAUUCUCAAACCUGGUUUGCAUAUUCUAGGAUCUUCUUUCUUAUGAACUUCAAUGAUCAUUUGUUGAUCUUUAUCCUUAUAAUGUUGAUAAACACAAUCCUGAUGCAAAUGUCUAUCCAAUGAUGUGAAUGCAAAUGUCAAUGUGAAUGCAAAUGUCAUUGCAAAUACAAAUGACUUUUUCACAAUGCAAAUGCAAAUGUUCUUUUUGUAUAAAUGCACUACAAAUACUUUUUCUAAAAUCCUAUUCAUAUAAAUGCAAAAUUUUUUCUAUAGUGCAAAUGCAAUGCCUGGUUAAGAUCAAAUACAUAGUUAAUUGCAAAGUUUGAAUGUCUUUCUUAUAUUCAAUGUAUGUUGAUAGCAAAAAAUAUCUUUCUUGUGAUACAUAUUAAGUAUCAAAUGUAAAUUUUUUUCUUAUGAUCACAUGCAGAUAUAAUGCAAAACUUUUUUAUGUGAUAUGACAAUAAGUAAGAUAGUUGUUUUUUUUUUUGGGAUGUAAAAUCAUUUCAGUAAAUAUUUAUCAAGUCAACUAAUCUCUUAAAUUUUCUUUAAUAGCUUAAAUGGGCGUACAUUCAUAGGUAAUAAUUGGCCUUAAAUCAUUUUUUGAAGGCCAGCUAGACUGGAUUUAAUAUUUCAUUAAGGGCUAGCUAAUUUAGGCUUAAUAUUUAUUAGAGGCAAGCUAAUAUGGGCUUAAUAUUUCAUUAGGGGCCAGCUAAUCUGGGCUUAAUAUUUCUUUAAAGGCCAGUUAAACUGGCUUACAUUUAUUGGGGGCCAGCUAAUCUAGACUUAAAUAUUUCUUUGAAAGCUAGCUAAAUUGGGCUUAAUAUUUCAUUGAGGGUCAGCUAAUCUGGGCUUAAAUUUUUCUUUAAAUGAUAGCUAAAUUGGGCUUACAUGCCCGAGAAUCAGUAAUCUCUAUUAAAAAUGAAAGGUGAAGAUUUUUGCCAAAUGGGUUGAAUAGUUAUGUAUAUAGAGAUUUUUGUUUAUUCAAAAGAGUUUUAGCACCUAUAGGGGAUAAAAGGCAUAUACUUUUUUCAUACAAGCUCAUAGAUGAAACAUAAAUUUUCUCAAAAACAUGAAUUCCUUAAAAAUCAAACAUGUUAAACACUUUUUUUAGUCUUUAAAUGUGAUAUUUGAUGUAUGUCAAAGUUAGCUAUAAAGGUUUAAGAUUUUAAAAGGUUAUUUGGGAAUGGACAAAGGUUUAGAUUUUCAAAGUCAACUCAUUUUAGACUUUUAUGACUUUGAUAUUUUAGAUCUUUCAAUGAGGUUUGGCUUAGGAUUUACCACAUUCAGCAUUAGAAGUGGCUUUAUGAUCAUUUUUCUAAGAGAAACUAUUCAAUUUUAAGCCUUCAUGCUUGAUCUAAUAUAAACGAUUUAAAGGUUGUAAUAUAAGCUAAGAUUCAGGGUUGUCAAAGAAAAAGAUAGAAAGGCCCAAGAUAAGUAUUUAAAGGUAUUUAAAACCAAGGAUCACUUUUUUCGUUCGAAGUAUACACUCUAAGGUUAAUUCUUUUUUGCUUUUCACCCAUUCAUUCCUUUUUCUUUAUUUUAUUCUUCAUUUUCUUUCAUUUUUUCUUUCUUUUUCCUCUUUUUUUUUUUGCUUUGCUUUUUUUUUUCUUUUGGAUCCUUUUUUUUUUUUUGGAUCCUAUCAUUGAGUGGAUUCAAAACUUUUUUGAACUUUUAUAUUAAGCCUUUAGCCCAACAUAUGAGAUUCUAUUUGGACAUCCCCAUUCUUAACCCUUAAAAGUGUUUCUUUUUGCCUUCUAGUGUAAAACGUUAUCCUUAGUUAGGGUUUAUUUUGAAAGAAUUCAAUUAGGCUCAAAGGGGUAACAAGGGAUAAAUUUUUAUAUUUGUGAAAGAAUAAUUGAAGACAACCAUUUGUUAUUUCAAGUAUAAAAACUUAAAUUGGAGAGCAAUUCCCUUUAGGAAAAUGAUCUCUAAAAAAAGUUUUCAUUUCAACAUUUUUUUUGUUUUUUGGUUUUGUUUUUUCUUUUUUAGUUUUGGCAUUUCUAUUUUUAGGCUUUUUUUCUUGUCCCUUUUUUCAAAACUUUGAAUUGUUCAGGACUUUAUAGGAAUUUAUUUGAAUUUUCUAAAUGCAUGAUGUCAUAAUUAUUUUUUCUUCUUUCUCUUUUUUUUUCUUUUCAUUUUUGUUCUUCUUUUUUUGUUUUUAUUAUUUUUUUGACAUGCCCCCCUAAAUUCAUUUUGCCAAUAAUGUGUUUAAUCAAAGAUGCCCCAUUUUAGCAAACCAUCUUUAAUGAAAGUUGUUACAAGAAAGGGUUAUAUGGAAUGAACUAGAAAAUGUCAUAUAGAAAUGAACCUAUUUAAGGUACCAAAUGAUCCAUGUUACUUUAACAAAAAAAGAAUGAAUUGGUUGAUCAUAGCUCAAAUUGUCUAGAGGGCAAUGAGAUCUUUCUUUUCUGAUCAACAUGCCACCCAGACCCAUGGUCAGGCCAAUUUUAAGGCAAAGAGCUAAAAGGUUGGUAAGUUUCAUGAUCAACCUGACCCUGAUGACAUAUGGGUCAAGCCAAUAUUUUGGUAAAGAGCUAAAAGGUUGGUAAAUAUAAGCAACAUGCCCCAAAAACAUAUAAGCCAAGCAAAAUUUUAGGUAAAUGACUGAAAGGUUGGUAAAUCUAAGGUCAUUUUACAGGAUUUGGGUUAACUUUGUUUCAAAAUUUUGUGGAACUAUAGAAUAAUAUUGACACAUCAAAUUACCACAUCUAAAUCCUUAAGAAAAUGUUUUAUUUGUCUAAUAUUAUUGGAAUGCAAAUUUGUUUUUCCUUUUUAAAUUAGAUGUUUCAUUAUUUAUUACCUUGGAAAAGAAUAUCACCUUUUGAUAUCAUAACAUUAUUGGGUGAAAGCGAGGUUCACGAAUUUAAGGUUAUAGCUUUUGAAAGGUCAUGGUUGUUGAAUGGAAUCAAUUGAAAGGCUUAAAAGAGAGGGUAUAGGUAUUUGACAAAUCCCUAAUAAUGAUUGCCAACUCAUAUGAGACUAAAAAUUUUUUUUUCUUCUUUUUUUAUUUUUUUCCCUUUUUUUUGCCUUAUUUCACUUUUUUUCAGAAAAAGCUUUUUUUUUUUUAACUUAAGACCUAACUAUUUAGGGCUUUAUUUAAAUCUAACAUUUUUUUCCUUUUUACCAAUUAUAAAUCUAAAAUUUAAUAGAAAUUAAAACUAUUAAAUGAUGAUGUAAAUCCAUGAAAUACUCAUGAUGCACAAGAUCUAUUCAUGCAAUGCAAACACUCAAAUAUGACCCAAAAAAUUCAUAAUAUUAAUAAUAUUCUUAAGAUGACACUCAAACUUACAAACAAAGGUUUCUCAUUUGAUGAUUCAAUUUUAGCAUCAUUAACCCGUAACUCUCCUACUAUCAAUCAUCACAAUUACUAAUCAAUUCUGUAAAUUUUAUGGGAUUUGCAUCAAUCAAAGCCUAAACUAUAUCCUUCAAGGUAGUGCAAUCUUUUAUGGAAUGUUUUUUAACCCCCAUCAUGAAACUCAUACUUAACAUUUGGAUUAUACCACUUCGGGUACAGAGGCUUUUUGGGUCUUGCCAAAACAAUAAAGAUCAUAUGAUUCUUGACCAGUAAGACAUCGAAAGUGAAUGACACAUCUUGAAUCUCUUUCUCCUAUAGCUUCGUGAAAGGCUUGAGUUGAUCAUUGGUUUUAUAAAUGUUUGUGAUGAAGGAACUGAAGCACACAGAUGAAGUGGUUAAGGAAAAUCUUUGGCCCAAAAUAUCGGUUAGGAGCAAUAUGGUGACCAUUGUGAAUAGUUAUCCAUUAAACCUUCUUGCAUCAUGUGAGAUUUCUCUCAUUUCGCCCUUUAACAAUUGUUUUUUAGGAUUGUUCAACAAAAAUAUCUCCCCUCCUUUCAUCACUAGCAUUUACAAUUCUUUCCUUUUUUAUUUUAUUCUCAAUUCUGCCUAUAACAACAAAUCUACAAACUCUAAUGAAGUUUUUCUAAUCAACUUAUCAUAAUAGGGAGAAUGAAGGGUAUCUACAAAUAGGGAAUUCAAUUCCAUGUUAGUAAAAGAUGGUUGUACUUACAAUGCCAUCUUUUUCCAUCUAAUGGCAUAUUCUUUAUAGCUCUCAUUAGGACUCUUUCUCAUAUUUUGAAAGGUUAAUCGAUUUUGAGCCAACUCUAACAUAUACCAGUAUUGCUUUAAGCAAGCCCACGAUAAAUCCCUCUAAGUAUGAAUCUAACUACUUUCCAGACUAUAAUACCAAUUGACUGCUGCCCUAGUCAAACUUUCUUGAAAAAUAUGAAUAAAUAGCUUUUCGUCACUAGCAUACCCGACCAAUUUGUGAUAGCAUUGAGUGAAAUGUGUCUUAGGACAUCCAAUUCCAUUAUACCUUUCAAAUAUCAAAACUUUGAACUUGGGCAGAAUAACCACAUCUAAAACUAGUUGAUAUUCCUUUACAUCAAAAGUUUCAAUAGCUUGAACUCUUUCUUCCAAGAAAUUAUACCUUAAUUCCUCCAUUAUGGGUCUUAUGCUAGGUCUUUCAAGUUGAUCAUUUCUUUGAGCAUAAAGUCCCUUAAUAAUCUUCUCCAUUUUUCUUUUUAAAUUAAAUAUUCUCUUGACCCUUAGAAAAAAUUGCAAGAAUUAUUCUUGAAGAAAUUCAUCCUUUUCAAGCACACAUGAAUUGCAUUAUAUAGACACAAAAAUGAAUGAAUGGAUGAAUGGAUGAAUGAAUGAAUGAACAAAUGUCAAAGUUCUUUAAUAAGAAGUAUGAAAAUUGGUAAAAGAGUGAGAAUGAAAGACAAACCAUAACAGACAACAUCAUAUCAACAUAAAAACAUUUUUCAAACCAAAAAAAUUCAUAAACUUAUGACUUGAAGACCCUCUUUAAAGAAAAAUCCCAUCCAUGUUCAUCAUCUUGCCAUACCUUUCUCAUUAUUCCUAAAACUUAUAGUCCCCUAUUGUAGUUGGAUCAAACUGUUUCACAUCUACGAAUGACUACGCCUUAUGCUUGAAAGCUUCACAAUUCUUAAUGGAAUGCACCAUAUUCCCAUUAUGGUAUUCGCAUCUUGCAUUUGGGUCAAAAUAUUUUGGGUACAGAGGCUUUAAAGGCUCUGAAGGCACAAUGACAAUAAGGUGUCUCUCAAACAGAUAGCGAAAAAGUUUUCCAUAUGAAAUGGGGAGAGAAUCUAACUAUUUCUUUUCCUUGGAUAAUUUUCGGGUGACAGGUUGACUAGGAAUCCUAGGAUUUGGCUUUGGUGCAAAGGUUUGGACUUGAACAAUUGGCUAAACAGGUGGUUGGGUAAUGGAAGGCUGAAGACUUUGGUUCAAAUAUGGACUUUUUGAAGAUUGUAUGAAGUUUUAGGGCCUGAUUGUAGACAUUUGGAAAGGAGGUCGAAAAUAGUCAUAAGAUAAAUGCAAGUUUGAGCUUGAAACAAUUAAUGAAGGCUACAUGGAACCUAGUAACCAUGAUCUGGAAAUUAAAAUUUGAAACUUAGACACUUGAAUGGUAAGAUCACUCAUCCAUUUCAUGAUCUCAUCCAGACCUUCAUUAUUGUUCAAACCAUUGAAUGAUUCAGUGUGCUCUAAAAUUGUGCUAGGCCCAAUAGGAAUUAAUUGAUCAUGACUCCAUGAAUUCAUAGGAUUUACUUGGGCUAAAAUUGAUAAAGACUCUUGAAAAGAUGUCAAAAUAAAUUUCUUGAGUCUAUUCACGGUCUUCGUCAACUCAACGAGCUAUUUUAUCACCUCUUGAAUGUCAUGACCAAACUCUUCUUGAUUUCGCUCUAAUGCACUAUUUUGGGCCUUCAAUUGAUCUUCCAUAUUUUUGGCUUCUUAUUCCCAGUAACAAAAAUAUUAUCUCAAAAGUUUAAUACGAACAAUGCUUAUGCUAUUAUUCUUAUUGAAUAAAUGACACAAUUCUUAAUUUGCAUGCGACAUGUCAUGAAUGUUUGAAUAUGAUAAUGAUACAAAGAUAUAGAUAAAAAUGAAAUAACUAAAAAAUAUACAAACUAACUUAAUGAUGAAUGGAAUGACUAAACUCCAAAAAGAAAACAAACUUCUUACCUAUCCUAAAUUUUUUUGCUCUUUUUUUCUUCUUUUUUUUAUCCCAACUUUAUUUGCACUAUUAUUACCCUUAAACACAACUGUAUCAAAGUAUCCCAUAUAUCCUAAUUUGGGUAAUUUUUAUGAAAGGAAAAAAAAUGGCAUGGCUUUGGACUUCUGAAUAAUUUUUACAAAAAAGUUGACACCAUUAAUGGCUCCAUGAGAACUCUUUUUUUCUUCCUUGUCUCUUCUUAAAAAAAAUUGGCAUGGCUUUGGACUUCUAAAUAAUUCUUAUAAAAAGUAACACCACUAAUGGCUCCAUGAGAACUCCAUGAAAAAAAGUCAUUAAAAGUUAUAAUCGUCAUAAAAUAAAUGAUAAACUAUGAUAUAUUAGUGAUAAAAGGUAAAUUGUCAUAAUAUUGGUGACAUAAUUAUUAUCAUAAAUGAUUAUAAGAUAAUGUCAAAUGAGACAAUAAAAUCAAACGUUACCUUAUUCUUUUUUUUUUUGUGACGAUAGUUUUUGUCAGCUAUUUAUGAAAAAAAAUCAUUGAAGGCUAUAAUCGUCACAAAAUAAAUGAUAAAAUCUUAUACAUUAGUGAUGAAAGGUAAAUCAUCAUAGUAUUGGUGAUACAAUUAUCAUCACAAAUGAUUGUAAGAUAACAUCAAACAUUAUAAUAAAAUCAAAUGUUACAUUAUGCUUUAUUUUUUUAUGUUAAUUUUCAUUGGCUAUUUAUGAAAAAAGUCAUUAAAGGCUAUGAUCGUCACAAAAUAAAUGAUAAAAUAUGAUAUAUUAGUGAUGGAAAGUAAAUCGUUACAGUAUUGGUGACAUAAUUAAAGUCAUUAAAUCCUAUAUAUAUAAAAUAAAAUUGUUCCAUAGUUGAUUGAACUUGAUGUGGUGGUCUAGUGAAGGACGUUGCAUGGCUAUCACAUUAGUUGAUUGAGCUCAUUGUUUAAUGGUCAUUUUCCUACCUUUUUUUCCAGGCGCCAUCCUAAAGUAUAGACAAAGAAAAUGUAAACAAUCAUCUUUUGUUUAGUAUAAUAAAAUAAAAAAAAACACAAUGCAAAUAAUUAAUAUGCUAAUUACCUUAAAUUAGUUGAACAAUAAUAGUCAUAAGCCAAAGAUUUAAACAAAGUUGGCAAACAUGAUUCAAAAAGUAGUUAUCUAGAUAAAAAUAACAAGCAAUAUAUAAAACAACUAUUAAUGUUAGAAAAAACUAUAUCAAUGUAGUAUUUAUCAUAACAUAGGAAAUAACAUUAAUAGUUGUUUUGCGUAUAGUCCUUUUUCCCUUAUUUUGCAUGUAAAACAAUAGCAAACAGUAGUAGUAGCUUCAUUUUAGUUAAAUAGGAUAAUACUAUGCUAUUUUCUUUCUAUCAAGCUUAUUUCUAUUUUCUAUUUUAUUUCUAUCAGGUCACUGAAUUUUCCCAUUACUCGCCAACACAGCAGAACAAGAAGCUAAAGGUAACAAGAACAUAAAUCUACCCGGAAUUAAAGAAUGCACAUGACUUUGAUAUCUAAGCACUAAUAUUUUAUGUAACUACAAUUUAUUUUAGAACCUAGAGGGAUACUAUAAGGAUCUCAUGAAUAGUAUAUCUAUGCACAUAAAAUUCAAGAAAAAAGGCAUAUGUUAAAAAGAAAAUAAAUGCUACAAUCCUGUAUUAAGGCACUUGAUACAAGGAUAUUAAGUUGACAAAAUAAGGAAAUUUUGCUCUCCAUCAUGUAUUGAUCAGAACAUCCAUUUGAAACUUAAAACACUCAAGUCAUUAGUCUAAAAGAAUUAAGUAAAUAAAUCGGAUUGCCUACCUUUAGGUUUUUGAUGAGUGAUCAAAGGAAAGGUAGAAAUUUAAAAAUAGCGUAUUAACAUCAUAGAAUAUGUAGAAAAGUCUCAGAUAGAAACUUUAAACUAGGCAUGUAUUACAAAAUUAAAUUAAUCACUAGCUGUUAUAUGGUCAUGUUAGGUAGAUGUCAUUAUUCACCUUAUAAUGACUGUGAUAAAGAGAUGAGUACUAGUGCUAGCCUGGAAACUACUGGAGCAAAACAACAGAACUAAUAGAAGGCUUGAGUUAUAACAUUAAGAAGCGAGACAAAACAAAAAAAGACUACUGUCUUUAAUAGGAACUGAAUAAGUUCUAAACUUUAAAUAUGCUAGUUUAAUUGCUAAACUUUAAUAGCUAGUUUAAAUAUGGUCGAAAAUGCAAAUGGUAGAGUGAUGUAAUCCACAAUUAUCUUUCAAGUGUCUAUUAAGGACAUUCUGUUUAACAAAAAGAAGAAAGAUAACCCUGCAUGUAUUCUUGUUGUGAAAGAAAUUAACUUGUACUAUUUAAAAAUGAACAAGAAAAAAAAAUGUGACUUUUGUGCUGCUUAAGUAGGUGAAAGAAGCCAAUAAAUAUAGAUUUACUUUCAAAUAAAAAAUUCGAAACAAAAUAUCAUAAGAUUGGAAACAGGGCUUUUCAUUCAGAUUCUGUUUGGGAAGAAAGUGAUGAAAGGAAAGUGAUAAGAUGGGCCUUUCGAUUAUCAAUGAUCAAUGAUGAAAUUUAAACAACAGUCAAUAGCUAUCAGUUCCACAAUUUCUCCCAAAAUGCAUAUACACAACAGAUUAGUUUUUAAAAUUUUUAGGCAAAUUGAGAAGAUCCUCCACCUGAAAAAUGGAUACAUAUCAUAUCCAUAAAAAAGACAACAUCAAUUGUCCACCUAACAUAGGUUAACAGCUAUAAGCAAUUCAAAGUUUCAGCUUUUAGCUAUCACUAAUAGUUUAAGUGCAAAUCCAUGUUAAACAGCUGGACAUCUGAUGUCAAUUUUGGUGGGCAAGCUAAGCAGCUUAAAUGCAAAUAAAAAUGAGUGAUCUUGAAAUCAGAAGAAAAUAGUUCUAAAUGAAGAUAAAGAUAUAAAAUACCUGUUGUAGGUCAUUUUGAAAGAUGGUUUUUGGUGAACUAAAGAAGACAAAAUUGGCGUUUUGAUUCUAGUCGACCAACAAUGUAGUUUAGGAAUUGCUUCUACUUGAUUUGGAACACUGGAGAGUGGCUUUAGAUGAUUAACAGAUUUAGCAAAAAAUGAAAAAAGAGUUGGAAGAGAUCAGACGGUUUUGGCAUGGGUUUUGGAGGGAGUAUAAAAACCCAAUAAAAAUAUAUCAUUCUAAAGAAUGUAGUUUAGGAAAUUUCAAUUAAAAUUAUUUUUUUAUGGAUAUUAAUAAAAAUUAAAUUUUUUUUUAUUAAAAGUUACUAGUAUGGACAAGUGUAAUUAAAAUUUUUUUCUAUUUAAUUCAUUUUUUGCUUAAAAAUAUUUUUUAACAAAAAUUUUAAAUUUGAAAUUUUUAAAUUUUUAAAAUUUUAAACAAAAUGUGUAUUUUAAAAUUUUUAAUAUAUGUAAUAUUUAAUCAAUUUUCUUUAAUUAGAAAAUUUUCAUAUAUGAAUAUACAUACUUAGCUUAACUCAAACAAUAAUAGUAAUUUUUCUCUUUCCUUUUCCAAUAGUUUCUAACAAUAAAUUAUAUUAAAAAAAUAUUAUUUAAGGGUCAUAUAUGAAAAACGUAAUUUUUUAACUAAUAGUAUGUAAUUUGUUAAUAAAUUAUUAAAAUUUUAAUUUUAAUUAUAAAAAAUCAAAAUUACAAAAUUUUGAAUUAAGAAUUUGAAUAUUGAUAAAAUUUAAACAAUAAACUAGUAAGACAGAGCCAAUACACCAAAACAGUGACUAAUAAUAGUACUCCAUUAACUAUUAAAUAGUGAAAUAGGAUUCUAAGUUUUUAAAUUAUUAGAUCAUAGUUGGAUUUUACUUUAGCCUUUUGGGAACAAGUAGUAAGAUUUAAGAAGCACUUCUUAUCUUAAAAUGUGGAGUUAUUUUCUACUUGCAAUCAGUAUCAUCCCAAUACUUUUAAGAACUUGGCCAUGGGAUGAGAAAGUGUUGAAAUGGCAUUGGGCCCUUUUAGGUUUUUAAGGAGCAAACAAUUAUGGGUUUGUAUCACUUAGUAUCAUUUUUCUUUAGGUGUAGUUUAAGGAAACUUCAAUUAAAAUUAUUUUUUGUAUUGAUAUUAAUAGCUAUUUAAAAUUCAUUUUUUUACUUAACAAUUACUAGUAUGAUCAAAAGUAGCUAAAUUUUUUUCUAUUUAAGAUUAUUUUUUAUUUAAAAAAAUUUUUUUAACAAAAAUUUUAAAUUACAGAUUUUUAAAUUCUUAGCAUUUAUUUUUAAAUUCUAAACAAAUUAUGAAUUUAAAAAAUUUUUAUUAUAUGUAAUAUUUAAUCAAUUUUCUUUAAUUAGAAAAUUUUCAUAUAUGAUACAUACUUAAAUAAAUUGUGCUCAAUAAAAAUUAAAAAUUAUAUUUUUAAUUAUAUAGAUAAUCUAAGUAAAAUCAUCACUUAUAAAUUAUACAUUAAUUUGAACUUAUUAGUGAUAGAUAAAUAACAUAAUAACAUUAUUUAAAAGUUUGUGACAUUUAUGUUAUCGUCAUAUAACACCAUACAUUGAUGUCACAAAAUUGCAAUGUCAUUAAUAGUUAAUUAAAAUGUUCAAUUUAUGACAAAAACUAAUAAUGUCAUCUAAAAUCUAUAAAAAAGUUUUGUCAUAGAUAAAAUUUUAAAUUGGUGAUAAAAUUAUAACAUCACGUAAAAUAAAAAAUGUCACAAAAAAUUUACCACCAAAUUGUUUGUGAUAUUUAUGUUAUCGUUAUAUAACAUCAUAUAUUGACGUGAUGAAAUUGCAAUGUCAUUAAUAAUUAACUCAAGUGUUCAAUUUGUGACAAAAAUUAAUAAUGUCACCUAAAAUGUAUUAGAAAAAAUUCAACACAGAUAAAAUUCUAAAUUGGUAACAAAAUUAUAACGUCAUCUAAAAUUAAAAAAAAAGUCACAAAAAAUUUUUCCAUCAAAUAAAUAUAAAGGUAAAAUUUAGCGACAUUUAUGUUAUAGCCACAUAACAAAAAUGUAUGUCAUCUAAAAUCUAUAAAAAAAAUUCUCCAUAGAUAAAAUUUUAAAUCGAUAACAAAAUUAUAAUGUCACUUAAAAUUAAAAACAUCACAAAAUAAUUUCCCACUAAAUGAAUUUGCUGGUAAAAGUUUAUGACAUUUAUGUUAUCGUUGUAUAGCACCAUAUAUUGACAUAACGAAAUUGCAGUGUCAUUAAUAGUUACUUAAAGUGUUUAAUUUGUAAUAAAACUUAAUAACGUCACCUAAAAUUUAUCAAAAAAAAUUCAUCAUAGAUAAAUUUUAGAUUGUUAAUAAAAUUAUAACAUCAAAUAAAAUAAAAAAAUGUUAAAAAAAUAUUUCUCACUAAAAAAAUUUGGUGACAAAAUUUUGGUAACGUUAUCAUGUGACAAUUUUAUAUAUCAUCAUAUAAAAUAUCAAAACAAUAUAAAAGUGUGACGAAAUAUAUUAUUUAUCACCUUUUACAUACUUCACACAAUGAAAUAUAAUGCUUCAUAUAGAAAAAUUGUCACAAAUUGCCAGUUUUCUUUUAAUGUAUGCAAUGAUAUGAUGAAUGAAUGAUGAUGAUGAUAAUGGUCUAUGAAUGAGUGAGAUGUAUGAAAUGAAUAAAAAUAAACAAGCAAAGAAAUAAAUAAAUGCAAACUUAUUGAUGUUAACAUGAUUCAUGCAAAAGAAAGUAAAAAACAAGAACAAAUUUAGCAACUAAUAUAAAGAAAGAAAAAAACAAAACAAGUUAAUGCAUGACUUAAAAGAUAUGUGACCUAAUUUGGAGUAUUUCUACAAAAAAAAAAAAGAAAGACAUGGAUCUACUUAUGGGUAUUACAACUCAUUAUAUGUGGUUUAGGAUUGAUUCUAUAGGUUCCCAAAUGGUUCCUCAUAUCAUUGUCCAUCAUAGACUAGUAAGACACCCUAAUCCUCACCCAUUAUAAGUUACAAGUGGAAAGGUUCAAUUCAAGUGGGAGUGUUUCACUAGCCCAUGUAGAGACAUGAAAUCUCAUGAAGGCAUAGAUACUUUACUCCCUCUGAAAGGAUAGAACUCGGGUGUAGAAUUCAUGUUAUGCAUAUGCAAGUGAAUGACAAAUAGGAUAAAUAAGUAAAUAAAUAAAAUAUAAAAAAGGAAGAAAAAUAAUAAAAUAAAAUAAUUUUAAAUUUAUUAAGUAAGGCUUGGAUAACAAGAAAUUAUUUACUGGCCUAACUCUCAUAUUCCCCAAUGAAGUUGCCAAAUUAUCAUAACGUAUAAAUCCGUAAACCCAUCGCUAGACACAAACAUUAAGAGUCACACCAAUAUUUUUUGUUUAUGUGUGAUUAGCCACCUAACUAAAUCUAUCCUAUUUAAAGAGGAGUCCAAGAUAGAUUUAGGAUCUUUAAAUAUUAGAUUCUAAAAUUCAUGAAACUAGAUUUUAGGUUUGGAAGUGCAAUUACGCAUAAAAAAGGUUAAAGCACCCUCACAGCAUCCAUCCAAAGGAUGGCAUUGGUUUGAUUUCAAAACAUGCAAGCCUUGAAAUAUUCUUAUAAUUUUACCCAGUAAUUAAAAAUUGAUCUUAAAAUUACUCCAAUAGUUUGGUAGCAAUUUAAGAUAAUUUUUUAAUCUCAAAAGUAUUCAUAGAGACUAAUGUCUCACUCUGAAGAACCUCCAUUGUCAGAUUUAUUAAUAUAUUUUAUUUAAAAAAUAAUUUAUAAAUCCUCCAAUAGUUUGGUAAGAUUUUACUUCGAUACAGAUCUCUCAAUAGUUUGAUGAGAUUUUAUUUAAAAAUCAUAUAUAAAAAUUUUACUUUGAGAAAAUUCAUUAAAUAUUUUAAUAGCUUGGUAAGAUUUAAUUUAAGAUUUUGAUUCUCUAAUAGUUUGGUAGGGUUAAAAAUGUAUUAUUUUAUUUUAUUUAAAAAAUUCAUUAAGUCCUCCAAUAGUUUGGCAAGACUUAAUUCAAGAUUUAAUUCCUCCAAUAGUUUGGUAAGAUUUAAAAUUUAUUAUUAAAAAAAUUAUAUUAUGAAAUUCUCCAAUAAUUUGGUAAAAUUCAUAAUAUAAAAUUUAUAAACCCAUGAAAUUAAAAAAUUCAUAAUUUAAAACUCACAAUCUUUAAAUUUUAUUUUAAACAUACAUAAAAAAGUGAAAUAAAUGAAUAAAUAUAUAAAUAAAAAAAUGUGAAAAUUACUUUAAUGGAUGGAAACACACCUAAGUGGAAGUAUCCCUUGAUUUGUAGUGACAAAUAAUCGCCAAUUCGAACCAAAAAGCUCUACCACCAAUUCUAAUUGAAGAGCUUGAGUAUAGAUUGCUACUUAUCCAUUUCUAGGUGGGAUUCUUUUUUUUUCCCUCCUCUUUGUUUUUUUUUUUUUUUUUUUUGUGUAUGGUUGAUUGGUGUUUAUAUAGUACCUUCUGCUAGAAAUUUUAGGGAUUUGUAUUGAAUGAAAAGGAUCGUAGAUUUGAUUAUGCUCUAAAUUUAUUUUUUUCAUGAUUCUCUUUAAAAUCUUUUUAAUUAAUUUCUAGAAUUGUUUCAAUUUUUCUUUUAUUUUCAAAAUCCCUUAAAAAUUCUCAAAUUAAAUCUGACUUUGAUUCCCUGAUUUGCUUUCUUUUCAACCUUCUUUUGAUAUUUGGUAAGAUUAUGUUUCAGUCUUAAUUGCCGAGAUCAUCCUUGAUUAAUACUUAAAUUACUCCAUUAAUUUCAUUGACAUGAUUUAUGAUAAAAAAAAUUAAAACCAGAUAAAUAAAAGAUUAAAACAUAAAAAAAGAUAAAUAACUAAAUAAAUAAGACAAACAAGAUGUAAAAAGAAAUGAAGGAAAUUGGACAAUUGGCUUGGUUUAAGCCCCAACUAAAUAUGGUGUCUACAAAUAUAUAUUUUUAUACUCUUUUUUUAUUUUUUAAAUUAGAUAAUUUUGUUAAAAAUGAUAUUGAUGGAAGUGUCAACAUGGCAUCCAUAUUUAUUUUCUUUCAACCUUUCAUUUUUUAUAAACUUUUAUUUUUAAAAAAAGUUAAUAAUAAAAAUUAUACCAAACAGUUCAUCAUUGCUAAUUUCACAUGAUAAUGUAACUUUUUUUUUCUUUUUUUCAUUUUGAUUUUUGCUUUUUUUUUCUCCCUUUAUAUUUUAUUAGAUCAAUUGUUUAAACGAAAGAAAAGCCAACGAAUGUGCCCAUGCAUGUGGCAUCUUAUUUCAUUUCUUUCCUUUCAUCUUUUUUUUUUUUAAUUAGAUAAAUAUUACAAUAAAUGCAAAUUAGUAAAUAAAUUUUUUAGUUUAAAAGUCAAUUGAGGUAUUCACAACAAAUUUUCUUAAUUAGAUAAUUUUUUGAGAAAAUAAUGUCAAUGAAAGUGUUCACAUAGCAUCCUCACUUGUUUUUUCUUUUAUAAUUUUAUAAUUUAAUUAGAUAAAUUUUAUAAUAAAAUAAGACGAUUGAUAAAAAUAGUAAAACAAUCUGUAUCAAAUGAGUUUUGAUACAUCUCGAUUUGAUAUGUGUAUUUUUGUCAAAAAUCGAUAUCAAAUCAAAUCAUGUUGGUUGUUUAGGUAAGGAGAGGUAAGAUGUGGAUUUAGGGUGCUUUGUCCUAAAUCAUCUCGUGGUACAUGUAAAAGUAUGUAUUUUAUUAUUAAUUUGGUUUUAUAUUUAUAUACAUGUAUUAUAUUAAUAAAAUUAUCAUUUGAUACUUUAAUUUAAUAAAUUAAUAUUGUAAACUCAAUAAGGGUGUUCAUGUGGCAACCUUAUUGAGCUCUUUUUUUUGUUUUUUGUUUCCACCUUUUUUUUUCUUUCUUUUUCAAUCUUUCAUUUUUAUUCUUUUAUUAGAUAAAUUUAGUGAGAAAAAAAAGCCAAUUGAAAUAUCCACAUGACACCUCCAUUUAGUUCUUUUUUAUCAUUUACUUUUUUUAAAUGAUAAAUUUUUUAAAAUUAAUACAAAAAUAUUUUUAAUUUAAUUUUAUUUAAAUUUAUAUCAAAAUAAUAAUAAAAAAACACUAUGAAUUAUUUUAAUUAAUGAAAUAGUUAAACCUAUGCUGCGAGCUCAUUUCAAGUAUUCAAGAAAAUGGUAAAGAAAAUUAUUUAAACCUCAUCUUUUAAUUUGAAUCUUAAUUAGAACAUGCUAGCAGUUUUAUUUAUAGAGAUAAUUGGAAAUUAAUUACUUUCUUAGUCAACUACUAGGGUCUGAAACAAGUGCCAAAAAAAGUGAUAGGCCUUAAUUUUUCAAUCCCUAGCAUUUUGAAUUCAACAUUGUUGGAUUUCUUUGGGGCUGGGUUGAGCCCAAUGGCUCAUUAAUUAAGUUACUAAUCAGGCCUAAAAUCUAUUUAACCACAAUUUAUGGUUUUUAAAACUUAUGUAAGUCUGCCUAUACAUUUAUAUUAUAAAAAUUAUCACAUUCAUUUGUAGUAGUGGGGUUUUUAAAUUUUAUUAUCUAGACUGUAGCAGCAGUGUGAGCAGUUGAUAUAAUAUUAAAAUUUUAAUUUUAACGAUCAAAGUUUAAAUUAUUACAAUUUUAAAUAUGAAUUCUUUAUAUCAUCUUACAUUAUACAUGCACAUGUAAUAAUACAUAUAAAGUAAGUAAUAAAAAGCUAAAAACUAUCUUAUAAAAUGUGAAAAUUAUAGUGGAGAAUUGGGGGUUAGAUAAUAGGAAGCCUUAAAAAAUAUGAAUUAUUACCAAAUUACAAUAACAUCGUCUCACUAUAAUAAUUUUGUAAGAAACCUUUAUGAAGUAAGAAAGGGUCUGAAUUUAUAAUUGAAAAAUGAAUUAAUUAAUAGUAGGAUAGAAAAAUAAUUUAAAAGAUUACAAUUAGUAAUUCAUAACCAAAUAAAUGAUUUUUAUAAAUUAAUGUAAAACUAUGUUCUAAACCAACACAACGCAUAAAUAACGUCACAAAUUAAUCCUUUAUAUAUGCCUCGCAAACAUUUUAAUAAAAUUAUCAAAAAAAUGUUAACUAUUUCCAAAAAUACUAUUCAGAUAUAUAUAAUAUUGCUAAACAUGCUACUUCAACUUUUGAUAGUUGAAGUUACCUUCACAAAUGAAAUCUCACUUGAAAUCUUGCAAUUAAUUAACAUACUUUGAUAUUUUAAUUUUCAUCAGUGUGUAACUUUUUUUACCUGAUGAACAGAUAGUAAUUUUCAAUUUUUUUAUCAAAAUCUUCAAUUUAUCAAACAUUUUUUCUAUACUACUUUCAUUGUAACAUAUAUUCUUGCGUGUAAAACUAAAAAGGAUUAAACGUUUAAAUUAAAUUCAUAUAUACAUAUACAUUUACAUAUAAUUUAAUAUAUAUAUAUUAUUAUUAAUAUAAAAAUUUGCUUUUUCCCAAUAUAUUACUUCAAUUUCAUCGGACUUUUGCAUAUUUUUAGGUAAUAUAAAUAUUAGUGUAAUUUAUAUAGUGCGAUAAUAUCAAUAAAUGUAAUUUGAACACAGAAAAUAACUUGCAAGCAUGCAAAAUUACACACAGAUUUGCAUAAAAACAGGGGGUUUUAUUUUAUUUUAAUUUUAUCAUGUUUUUCAGAAAACAUGAAAGAAAAAAACCCAAAGCUAUAUAUUUAUUUUUCAUCACUCUAAGCACCCCCCAUGCUUAGGCUGAAAGUUGAUCCAUCAGCACUUAAACGGAACCAUUGAAGCCUUUAUUGUAAGCAUAUUCAACAAGGGAAUCCAACUCAUCAUUGGUGGCCAGUCGAUCAAAAUUGUCCUUAUUGUUUUAUCAGGCAACGUCCAUGGCCUCUUCGACUCUGCUUGUUUGGCGUGAAGUGCACCUCGGAGAAGGACGGAUGUUCAAAAGCAUCCUUGAGCUGGUCCUGGUGAAGGCUGCCCUGCUUAGAGUAAGAUCGAAACACUUGUUCCAAUUUGUUUUUUCUGAUCCUUCGGUUAAUCCUUUGUGGCUUGCAAUUUGCGAUUUUGAGGCUUAUGGACCAGGGUGUAUCUUAGAGAAGGCUUGCCCUAGCUUGGUUUGGUUUUCUUUUUCCAACGCAAUUCGUUUAUAUAGACCCAAAACUUUGAAUACGAUUCUGUUGAAGUGUAGGGGUAUAAAACAUUAUUUGGUGGUGGGUUUUAAAAAUUGAUUUCCAUCCUCUUUAUCAACAAAAGUAGUAAAUCAAUCAAUAAAUUUUUGUAAUAAACACUUCAAAAAAAAUUCCAUGAGGAUUGGUACGAAUAAAAAUAUUAAUGUUAAUUUCUUCUUUUCUUCUGGGUUCAAAUUAACCACAGAUUGGAAAAUGCUAAAUAGCAGCCUCCACUAUCUUGUGUCGUAGUGAUGAUACAAGCCUCCACUAUCUUGUGUCCAUUUUCUAUUGUUUCAUUUGUUUUAGCCCUCAAUUUGCAGUUUUUAGUUUUUUUUUUUUUUUUUUGUGGUUGCCUGAUUAAAUGAUACAUUUUGGUUUUAAUGAAUUUCCAGAAUUUGGUAGAUCUCGUGAAAGGAGUUCUAGGAAGCACUUUGAUGAGCAUGCUUGAAAAUUGUGAUAAUUAUUGUGAAUGAAUGUUAAGUUAUCCAAAAAUAAAUAAGUUUAGUUUUAGGACUUUCUUUCUUUUAUUGUUUGCUAUGAGCAAACUACUGUUAAACUAAUUAUUUGCAUUGUACCACUUCCAGGAAUCGUGGCUUUAGUGGGUUAAAACUGUGUCCAUGUUUCUCUCUCGUAUGCUCUUAAUCUGGGUAGGAUAGAACUAAGUUUGGGCUAUUUCAAUUCCUUCGCACCUUUCUUCCCCUGUACUGCAAUAUUUUCUCAACCACCCUUUUCAAGGGGAAAGCUGUAAUAUAUAUUUUUUAUAUUUUUUCUUUUUUUUAAAUUGGAUAAUUUGUAAAAAAAUUAUAUUGAUGGAAGUGUCUACAUGGCAUUCAGAUUUAAUUUUUUGAAUCCUUCAUUUUUUUUUUUUUAUAAAUCUUUAUCUUUAACAAGUUCAUAAUGAAAAUUUUUACAAGAACAGAUCAUCAUUGCUAAUAUUGUGUGACAAUAUAAUUUUUUUUUGUUUUCAUUUUCGUUUUUUUUUUUUUAGUUUUUUUUCUCCCUUUAUUUUUUAUUAGAUCAAUUGUUUCAGCAAAAAAAAAAAAAACCCAAUGGAUAUGCCCAUGUGCCAUCUUAUUUAAUUUUUUGCCUUUCAUUAUUUUUGUAAUUAGAUAAAUAUUACAAUAAAAAAAUCAGUAUAUAAAUUUUUUAAGAUAAAAAUCAAUUGAGGUAUAUAGAACAAAAUAUCUUGUAUCCUAUAUGUUUCAUUUCCUGUGUAUCCAAUUGGUGUGCUUUUUUUAAAAAAAAAAAAAAUUUAGGAUCAAAAGCCCUAAAAAAUAUGAAUUAUUACCCAAUUAUAAUAGCAUCAUCUACUAAAAUAAUUUUGUAAGAAACCUUUAUAAAGUAAGAAACGGAAAACUUAUAAUUGAAACAUGAAUUAAUUAAUAGUAGGAUAGAAAAAAUUUAAAAGAUUACAAUUAGUAAUUUCGUAAUCAAAUAAAUGAUUUUUUUAAAAUUAAUGUAUAACUAUGUUUUCUAAACCAAAGCAAUGCACAAAUGACACCACAAAUUAAUCUUUUAUAUAUGCCUCGCAAAUAUUUUAAUAAAAUUACAAAAAAAUUUUAACUAUUUCCAAAAAUAAAAUCUUGAUAUUUAUAAUUUUGCUAAACAAGUUAUUUAAACUUUUGAUAAUUAAGGUUAUCUUUAUAAAUGAAAUCCCACUUGAAAUCUUGCAACUAAUUAACCCAUUUUGAUAUUUCAAUUCUCAUCAAGAUAUAACUUUCUUUUGCUGCUGAGACCUACAACAAUAUGUACUUUAAAUUUUUUUGUCAAAUAGCCUCAAUUUUAUAAAAAUUAAUUUUGUCUAUACUUAUAUAUAUGCACUUGUAAAAACAUAUGCAUAAGUAUGUGUAAAAAUAAAAAGAAUUAAGCAUUUAAAUUAGAUUGAUAUAUAUAUAUAUAUACCCUAUCUGCUUUCCUUCCAAAAAGGUUGACUUUCAAAUUUCUUCAUACCUUUUAUCAUGUUUUUAAGUAAUAAAAAUAUUAGUGUAUAGUUUAUAAUAGUAUGAUCAACGUGUUCAUGGUAUUUGAUACACACAAUAUAACUUGCAAGUAUGUAAAAUUACACAGAUUUAAAUAAAAAUAGGGGGUUUUAUUUUAUUUUAAUUUUAUCAUCCUUUUGAGACAACAUGAAAGAAAAAGACCCAAAGCUAUAUAUUUAUUUUUCAUUAGUCAUAAGCAUCCCCCAUACUUAGGCUGAAAGUUCAUCCGUCAGCACUCAAACGGAACCGCUGAAGCCUUCAUUGUAAGCAUAUUCAAUAAGGGAAUCCAACUCAUCAUUGGUGCAGUCGAUCAAUUGUCCUUAUUUUUAUCAGCAACGUCCAUGGCCUCUUCAACUUGCUUGUUUGGCGUGAGUGCACCUAGUUGUUGAAAAGCAUCCUUGAGCUGGUCCCUGGUGAGGCUGCCCUGCUUAGAGUAAGAUCGAAACACUUGUUCCAAUUUGUUUUUAUGAUCCUUGUUAUCCUUUGUGGCUUGCAUUGUGGAUUUCGAGGUUUAUGACUGGGUGAUAUUAGAGAGAAAGCUUGUCUAGCUUGGUUUGGUUUUCUUUUCCAACGCAAUUUGUUUAUAUAGACCCAAAACUCGAUUUGUAUUCCGUUGAAGUGUAGGGGAAUAAAAUCUUUUUUUGUGGUGGUUUUUAAAAUUUGAUUUCGAUUGAAAGGAAACGAUAUAAUUGUAUGACAAUUUCUUCAUUUGAAUUUUUUUUAAGUAUCCAUUUUAUUAAUAAAAUUAAUAUAUCAAUCAAUAAAUUUUAUAAUGAAUACAAAUAAAUAAAUAUUCCAAGAGGAUUGGUACGAAUAAGAAUAUUUAAUGUUGGCUUGAAUUACCACAGAUUGGAAAAUGCUAAGCGUAGUGGUAGUAGCCUCCCUUUCUUGUCCCCUAGUGAUGAUAGCAGCCUCCACUAUCUUGUGUCCAUUUUCUAUUGUUUCUUUUGAUUUUGCUGGUGAAAAGGCUAGACAACAAAGUCAGGAGUAAAUCUAAACUCUCACCCUGUCCAAAUUUGAGCUGUUUCUUCACGAAAAAGUUUGAAGAGAAUCGUCUUGUUGCUCCUGGUUGGACAGAACUUGAUCAUACACAUUGAUUUUCUAAAAACUUAUAAUUUGAUGGAAGUGUCUUGUCUGUAGGAUAAUUUGAUAUUAUUGAUUAAAAAUAUUGUUAUAACAUAUAGAUUCAUGGAUCCAUCAUAGACAUAAACUUUAAGAGUCACUACCAUUUUUUUUUUUUUGUUUAGGUGCAAUUGACCAUUUAACUGAAUCUAUCUUAUUUAAAGAGGAUAUCUAAGAUAGAUUUAGGCAUUUUUAAAUAGUAGAUUCUAAAAUCCAUGAAAUCAAAUUUAAGGUUCAGGAGUACAAUUAUGCAUGAAGAAGUUUAUAGCUCCCUUAUAAUGUCUAUCCAAAAAAUGGUAUCAGUUUGAUUUCAAAUUAUCUAAGCCUUGAAAUAUUCUUAUAAUUAUAUCCAGUAAUUUAAUUAUUAGAAAUUGAUCAUAAAAUUACUCUAAUAGUUUAGUAGCAAUGUAAGAUAAUUUUUUCACCGUAAGAGUAUUCAUAGAGACUAAUGUCUCACUCUGAAGAGACUCCGUCGUUGAAUUUAUUAAUAUAUUUUAUUUAAAAAAUAAUUAGUAAAAUCCUCCAAUAGUUUGGUAAGAUUUUACUUUGGUGCAAAUCUCUCAAUAGUUUGGUGAGAUUUUAUAUGAAAAUCAUUUAUAAAAUUUUGUUUUGAUGUAGAAUUCUAAAUAGUUUGGUGAGAUUUUAUUUGAAAAUUAUUUAUAAAAUUUUACUUUGAGAAAAUUCAUUAAAUCUUCCAAUUUGGUAAGAUUUAAUUCAAGAUUUUUAUCCUCCAAUAAUUUGGUAAGAUUAAAAAUAUAUUAUUUUAUUUUAUUUUAAAAAUUCAUUAAGUCCUCCAAUAGUUUUGUAAACUUAAUUCAAGAUUUAAAUAUUUCAAUAGUUUGGUAGGAUUGAAAAUUUAUUAUUAAAAAAAUUACAUUAUGAAAUUCUCUAUUAGUUUGGUAAAAUUCAUAAUUGAAAAUUUCUAAACCAAUGAAAUAAAAAAUUCAUAAUUUAAAACUCACAAUCUUUAAAUUUUAUUUUAAACGUACAUAAAAAAAGUAAAAUAAAUGAAUAAAUAUAUAAAUAAACAAAAUGUGAAAAUUACCCUAAUAGAUGGAGACAUGCCUAGGUUGAAGUAUCUCUUGAUCUGUGGUGACAAAUAAUCACCAAAGAGCUCUGCCACCAAUUCUAACCUAAAAGCUAGGGUAUAGAUUGCUACUCAUCCAUUUCUUGGUGGGUUUCCCUUUUUUUUCCCUUUUUUUUUUGUAUGUUGUUGAUUGGUGUUUAUAUUGGGCCUUUUGCUAAGAGUUUUAGCGAUUUGCAUUGAAUGAAAAGGAUUGCAAAUCUAAUUAUACUCUGAACUGAUUUUUUCUUGAUUCUCUUUAAAAUUUAUUUAAUUAAUUUCUAAAAUUGUCUCAAUUUUCCUUGAUUUUCAGAGUCCCUCAAAACUUCCCAAACUAAAUUUGACUUUGAUUCCUUGAUUUGCUUUCUUUUCAACCUUCCUUUAAUAUUUGAAGAGAUCAUGUUUUAGUUUUAAUUGUCAAGAUCAUCCUUGAUUAGUGCUCAAAUUACUCCAUAAAUUUCAUUGACAUGAUUUAUGAUAAAAAUUUAAAACAAAAUAAUUAAAAAGAGUAAAACAUAUAAAUAAAUAAGACAAAAAAAGAUAUAAAAAGAAGUGAAGGAAAUUGGACAAUUGGGCUUGGUUUGAGCCCCGAACUAAAUAGGGUAUUUAUAGCUGGCCUUUUGCAUAGUUUUUGUAAAAUAGAAAUUAUACAAAGAUAUAGAUAUCUAUUACGUUCAAGCCCAAAUUAUUCAAUUUUUUUCUUUUUUUUAAAGGCUUUUAAAAAUGAAGGCACACAACUUUUUUAAAAAAUUAAGGACGACACCCGAAGGUUUUGACAAUCAUGCCCAGAGGUCUUAUAGAUCAUGUCUGAAGAGCUUGAAAAUUAAGCCCGAAGAUCUUACAAAAUCAUUCAUUAAAAAAUGCUCCUUUAAACAAAGGCUACACAACUAUUAAAAAAGUACCUAAAAGUUUUAAAAGAUCAUGCCUAAAGGUCUUAAAGAUUAUGCUUGGAGUUCUUACAAAUCUUGACUCUAAAAUAAAUUCAGCUCGAAAGACUUACAAAUCUUACCCAAAGGAUUUAGAGAUUAUGCUUGGAGGUCUUACAAAUCUCGAUCUUAAAAUAGAUUCAACUCGCAAGAUUUAUGAAUAUUGCCCAAAUGACUCAGAGAUUACACUUGGAAGUGUUACAAAUCUUGACUUUAAAAUAAAUUCAGCUCAGAAGACUUAUGAAUCUUAUCCAAAGACUUAGAGAUUAUACUUGGAGGUCUUAUAAAUCUUAACUCUAAAAUAGAUUCAAGUCAGAAGACUUACGAAUCUUACUUAGAGGACUCGGAGAUUAUGCCUAGAGGUCUUACAAAUCUUAACUCUAAAAUAGAUUCAGCUAGGAAGAUUUAUGAAUAUUGCCUAAAAAACUUGGAGAUUAUACCCAAAGGUCUAAUAAAUCUCAACUCUAAAAUAGAUUCAGCUUGAAAGACUUAUGAAAUUUACCUAGAGGUCUUACAAAUUAAACUUAAAAAAAGCUUAUUUAAAACAAAUGUUCAACCACUUUAAAGAGAAAAAUGAUAUUUGGAGGUUUUAAAUAUCAUGCCUGGAGGUCUUGUAGAUAUUGCUUGAAGGACUUUUAAAAUAGUUUAAUAGUUUUGAAGAUGUUGCAAAAGGUUUUUUUUUUAAAAAAUUAUCCGAAGGUUUUUUAAGACUGAUACUUAAAAAUUUUAACAAAUUUACCUUGAGGUAAAAUCAUGUUUGGUCAAAGUUUCAUUUUUUAUCAAAAAUUUAAGUCAAUAUCUCUUUCCUCUAAAAAAUAUGAAUGUAACAUAUGAAAUAGAUGUGAUGUAUACUAUGUAAGAAAUGCAUGAAGUGCAAUGAAUUAAAUGCAUGAAUUUUAUACCAAAUGUCCUUAAUUGUGGUAAUAGGUUUCUCAAAACUUUUAUUCCUUCCAUCUUUCCAUGACAUAUCCUCUGAAUUAGUUGACAAGUUCUUUCAUGCCCUAAAGUAGACAUUCUCAACAUUUUCAUUCUUGAAAACUAUUCUUCUCUUCUAGUGAGUUGUUUUAAUUUUGAUCUUUUGCAUUUGGCAUUUUCUUGCCCCAAAAAGGUCUUUUAUAGCAUUCACCUAUCUCCCACCCUGAGCAUUAAGAUCGACCAUAUUUUGAACAUUUUUCAAAACUUACCAUGAAUAGCAAUAGAAAUUACCCCAAAUAUAUCUCUUCUACAUGUGAUCAAAUCUCUUAAAAAUUGGUGAUUAUCGCUUAGAAUAAGGAUGAUGAAUCAUAAUUUUGGUCUUCCAAAAGGACGCAAUGGUUUGGCACCUCUUUCAGUUCUUGAUAGGUGGUAUUUUAAUAAAUAUCAAGAACAACUAUGUUAGGUUCAAAUUUUCAAGUUUGAAAAAAGAACAAGGCCUAAAAUUUAGAAUGAAUCUUCAUACUGAGAUCAAUCUUUUGGGCCUUUAAAGAAAAGUCUCCUUGGUGCUAAUGAAAAGUCAUAAGUUGCUUUCAAAGUUUCAAUCUUGCUUUAGGCUGCCCUUUCAGGUUUUCACCCUAAAACUUCAUUCUUUUCUCUUUUUUUUUGUUUUUGAUAUUCCAUCAUGCAUUUUAGCAUUCAAAAUUUAUCAAAAAGUGAUGGUGAUUUCCUAAAGAAAAACUUCUUAAUUUAGAUAUCCAUACUUGAUCAAAAUAGACUUUUUAAAUGACGUAAUGUGGGCUAAGGUUUAAGGAUUUAAAAAAAGCAUAAAUAGGCCCAAAAAAUGUAUUUACAGGUGAUCAAAUCAAAGAUCAUUUCUUUUCCAGAAACAUCUUUCCUUUUUUCAAAGAUGCAUUUUCUUUUUUCUCUUUUUUUUUUCUUUUUUUUUCCCUUUUUUUUUUUUUCAUGACCUUAAAAUUUUUUAAACUCUUAUUUCAAGCUUUUCUAACAUGAGGCAUUAUUUCCUAACUCAGCACAAGAUAGAUGCCAUUUGAGAAAUCCUUUUUCUCUUAAACUUGCCCCCAAAAUUUAAAGGUUGAUCCCUAGUUAAGGUUCGUUCGAAAGAAUAAUCAAAGGUUGAAAAAAGGUAGCAAAUGGAUAUUUUCUUCUUUUAUGAAGGGAAUUUAAAAGAUAACCAUUUUUCAUUUCAAGUAUGGAUAUCUAUUGAAAAACAGUCUAUAAGAGACAACUUGUUUCUAAUUGAUUUUAGGUUCAUUUGAAUGCCUCACAUGCAUGAUUUCAUAAUCAACUCUCUUUUCUUUUCUUUUCUUUUUUGUAAUUCAUUCAUUUUGAUAACAAAGACAUCUAAAUGUUCAUCAAUCAAAAUGAUCAAAAGGAUUAUUUAGGGCAUCAAGUAAAUUUGGCUUUUACCCCAAAGUAAGUACCAAUGAUCACUUGGUAAACGAUUCAAAAAAAAAGAUGAAUGUAGACAAGCUAAAAUACUGAACAAAUUAAGAAAAUAUAGCUCAAGAAAUUUAGGUGGUGACGUGCUUGAAAGAAGCUUGACAUUUAUUGAAAGACCAAAAAUUAAAAUGCUUAGGAGAGUGCCUUAAAAGAUUUUACAAAUUAAUCGACUAUCACAUUGUUCAUAGCCCAAAUGAAGAUCAAUAAAUUUUAAGUUUCAUCAUGGUCAAAUAAAGGGAAGUUUUGAAACUUUCAUCCCUGGAAAUUCUCAAGGCUUUUAAUUUUCUAAAUGAAAAAAAUUACAUGUUCAGGGGAAUGGCUCAAGAUACCUAUUCCUAAUAAUAAUUAUCAAAUUUCUUGAUUUUUUUUUCACAUGCAUUUGUAAGAAGCUAAACNNNNNNNNNNNNNNNNNNNNNNNNNNNNNNNNNNNNNNNNNNNNNNNNNNNNNNNNNNNNNNNNNNNNNNNNNNNNNNNNNNNNNNNNNNNNNNNNNNNNNNNNNNNNNNNNNNNNNNNNNNNNNNNNNNNNNNNNNNNNNNNNNNNNNNNNNNNNNNNNNNNNNNNNNNNNNNNNNNNNNNNNNNNNNNNNNNNNNNNNNNNNNNNNNNNNNNNNNNNNNNNNNNNNNNNNNNNNNNNNNNNNNNNNNNNNNNNNNNNNNNNNNNNNNNNNNNNNNNNNNNNNNNNNNNNNNNNNNNNNNNNNNNNNNNNNNNNNNNNNNNNNNNNNNNNNNNNNNNNNNNNNNNNNNNNNNNNNNNNNNNNNNNNNNNNNNNNNNNNNNNNNNNNNNNNNNNNNNNNNNNNNNNNNNNNNNNNNNNNNNNNNNNNNNNNNNNNNNNNNNNNNNNNNNNNNNNNNNNNNNNNNNNNNNNNNNNNNNNNNNNNNNNNNNNNNNNNNNNNNNNNNNNNNNNNNNNNNNNNNNNNNNNNNNNNNNNNNNNNNNNNNNNNNNNNNNNNNNNNNNNNNNNNNNNNNNNNNNNNNNNNNNNNNNNNNNNNNNNNNNNNNNNNNNNNNNNNNNNNNNNNNNNNNNNNNNNNNNNNNNNNNNNNNNNNNNNNNNNNNNNNNNNNNNNNNNNNNNNNNNNNNNNNNNNNNNNNNNNNNNNNNNNNNNNNNNNNNNNNNNNNNNNNNNNNNNNNNNNNNNNNNNNNNNNNNNNNNNNNNNNNNNNNNNNNNNNNNNNNNNNNNNNNNNNNNNNNNNNNNNNNNNNNNNNNNNNNNNNNNNNNNNNNNNNNNNNNNNNNNNNNNNNNNNNNNNNNNNNNNNNNNNNNNNNNNNNNNNNNNNNNNNNNNNNNNNNNNNNNNNNNNNNNNNNNNNNNNNNNNNNNNNNNNNNNNNNNNNNNNNNNNNNNNNNNNNNNNNNNNNNNNNNNNNNNNNNNNNNNNNNNNNNNNNNNNNNNNNNNNAAUUGUCCUUAUUUUUAUCAGGCAACGUCCAUGGCCUCUUCAACUUGCUUGUUUGCGCUUGAGUGCACCUAGAUGUUCAAAAGCAUCCUUUGAGCUGGUCCGUGGUUGAGGCUGCCCUGCUUACGUAGUAAAGAUCGAAACACUUGUUCCAAUUUGUUUUUCUGAUCCUGUUGUAUCCUUUGUGGCUUGCAUUGUGAUUUUGAGGUUUGUGACCGGGUGGUUGAUAUUAGAGAGAAGGCUUGCCUAGUUUGGUUUGGUUUUCUUUUCCAAUGCAAUUUUAUAUAGACCCAAAACUCUGAUUACGAUUCUGUUGAAGUGUUGGGGAAUAAAACAUUUUUGGUGUGCUGGUUUUAAAAAUUGAUUUCCAUCUUUUUAUCAAUAAAAUUAAUAAAUCAAUCAAUAAAUUUUAUUAAUGAAUACUUAAAAAAAAUAUUCCAAAGAGGAUUUGGUACGAAUAAAAAUAUUAAUGUUAAUUUCUUCUUUUCUUCUGCUUCAAAUUAACCACAGAUUGGAAAAAGCUAAAUAGCCAAGCCUCCACUUAUCUUGUGUCCAUUUUCUAUUGUUUCAUUUGUUUUUAGCCCUCAAUUUUGCAGUUUUUAGGUUUUCUUUUUUUUUUUUUUGGUUCCCUGAUUAAAUGAUGCAUUUUGGUCCAUUGCUGGUUUUAAUGAAUUUUCAGAAUUUGUAGAUCUCGUGAAAGGAGUUCUAGGAAGGUACUUUGAUGAGCAUGCUUGUAAAUGUGAUAAUUAUUGUGUAUGAAUGUUAAGUUAUCCAAAAAUAAAUAAGUUUAGCAUUAGGACUUUCUUUCUUUUAUUGUUUGCCAUAAAUGAUUCUGGAGCAAAGCAAACUACUGUUGAACUAAUUAUUUGCAUUGUACACUUUCAGGAAUCACUUAGUGGGUUAAAACUGAUAUACAUGUUUCUCUCUCAUAUGUUCUUAAUCUGGGUAGGAUAGAAUUAAGUUUGGGCUAUCUCAAUUCCUUUGCACCUUUUUUCCCUUGCACUGUAAUAUUUUCUCAACAACCCUUUUGCAAGGGGAAAGCUGUAAUAUAAAUAUAUAUAUAUAUAUUAUAUUUAAAUUAGAUAAUUUUGUAAAAAAAUUAUAUUGAUGGAAGUGUGUACAUGGUAUUCAGAUUUUAUUUUUUCAUUUCUUCAUUUUUAUAAAGCUUUAUUUUUAAAAAGUUCCUAAUAAAAAUUUUUACAAGAAUAAAUCAUCAUUAAUAAUAUUGCAUGACAAUUCAAUUUUUUGUCCUUUUUAUUUGUUUUGAUUUUUUCAUUUUCAUUUUGAUUUUUACUUUUUUAGUUUUCUUUCUCCCUUAAUUUUUUAUUAGAUCAAUUAUUUCAGUGAAAAAAACUCAUCGGAUGUACCCACAUGGCAUCCUAUUUUAUUUUUGCCUUUCAUUUUUUUUUAAUUAGAUAAAUAAUACAAUAAAAAAAUCAGUAAUAAAUUUUAUAAGAUAAAAAUCAAUUGAAGUAUAGAUAACAAAAUAUCUUGUAUCCGAUAUGUUUUGAUUCCUAUGGAUUAAUCGGUGUGCUUUUUCUUUUUUUUUUAAUUUAGGAUUGGAAACCUUAAAAAAUAUGAAUUAUUACCAAAUUACGAUAGCAUCGUCUACUAAAAUAAUUUUGUAAGAAACCUUUAUGAAGUAAGAAACGGAAAACUUAUAAUUGAAAAAUGAAUUAAUUAAUAGUAGGAUAGAAAAAUAAUUUAAAAGAUUACAAUUAGUAAUUUCAUAAUCAAAUAAAUGAUUUUUUUUAAAAUUAAUGUAAAACUAUGUUUUCUAAACCAAAGCAAUGCACAAAUGACACCACAAAUUGAUCCUUCAUAUAUGCCUCACAAACAUUUUAAUAAAAUUACAAAAAAAAAUUUAACUAUUUCCAAAAAUAAAAUCUUGAUAUAUAUAAUUUUGCUAAAUAAGAUAUUUUAACUUUUGAUAAAUGAAGUUACUUUCAUAAAUAAAAUCUUACUUGAAAUCCUGCAACUAAUUAACUCAUUUUGAUAGUUUAAUUUUCAUUAAAGUGUAAUUUUCUUUUGCUUGCAAAGACCAACAUCUGUAUGUACUUUAAUUUUUUUGUCAAAUAGCUAUAGUUUUAUCAAAAUCAUUUUUGUCUAUACUUACAUAUAAGCACGUGCAAAAACAAAUGCAUAAAUGUGUGUAAAAUUAAAAAGAAUUAAGCAUUUAAUUAGAUUCAUAUAUAUAUAGAUAUAUAUAUAUAUAUAUAUAUACACACAUACACACACUAUCUGUAUUCUUCAUAAAUAGGUUGACUUUCAAGUUUUCUCGAAGCCUUUUAUCAUGUUUUUAAGUAAUAAAAAUAUUAGUGUAUGGUUCAUAAUAGUACGAUAACAUGUUCACGGUAUUUGAUACACAACAUAAACUUGCAAGCAUGUAAAAUUACACAGAUUUGAAUAAAAACAGGGGGUUUUAUUUUAUUUUAAUUUUAUCAUGUUUUUCAGAUAACAUGAAGGGAAAAAGACCCAAAGCUAUAUAUUUAUUUUUCAUCAGUCAUAAGCAUCCCCAUACUUAGGCUGAAAGUUGAUCCAUCAGCACUCAAACGGAACCGCUGAGCCUUUAUGUAAGCAUAUUCAACAAGGAAUCCAACUCAUCAUUGGUGCAGUCGAUCAAAUUGUCCUUAUUUUUAUCGGCAAUGUCCAUGGCCUCUUCAACUUGCUUGUUUGGCGUGAGUGCACUAGAUGUUCAAAAGCAUCCUUGAGCUGGUCCCUGGUGAGGCUGCCCUGCUUAGAGUAAGAUCGUAAACACUUGUUCCAAUAUGUUUUUCUGAUGUCUUGUUACCUUUGUGGCUUGCAUUGUUGGAUUUUGAGGUUUAGACAGGGUGAUAUAAGCAGAAAGGGCUUGCCAGCUUGGUUUGCUUUCUUUCCAUGCAAUUGUUUAUAUAACCCAAAACUCGAAUAGUAUUCUGUUGAAGUGUAGGGGAAUAAAAUCUUUUUUGUGGUGGGUUUUAAAAUUUGAUUUCGAUUGAAAGCAAACAAUAUAAUUGUAUGAUAUUUUCUUCAUUUGAAUUUUUUUUAAGUAUCCAUUUUAUCAAUAAAAUUAAUAAAUCAAUCAAUAACUUUUUAUAAUGAAUACAAAUAAACAAAUAUUCGAAGAGGAUUGGUUCGAAUAAGAAUAUUAAUGUUGGCUUGAAAUUAACCACAGAUUGGAAAAUGCUAAAUAGCAGCCUCCACUAUCUUGUGUCCAUUUUCUAUUGUUUCAUUUGUUUUAGCCCUCAAUUUGCAGUUUUUAGUUGCUUUGUUUUUUUCGUUGCCUGAUUAAAUGAUGCAUUUGGAUAAAUUUAUUAUCCAAGCUUUAUGAUGAGUACCUAUAGACUUUUUGUAGUAAUAUGAUGAUGAUAAUAGUUUUGAAAGAACUAAAAACCUUUUGCUGUUAUUUGUUCACCCGAAAACUGAGAGUAAUCAUGUUAAUAGAGAAAUGCUCAGACAUUGAAGUUGAAAAAAGGAAAAGUGGUUGAGAAGCUGAAUAUGGGAUAAAAUUGUGGCAACUGGCAAGUGUACAUUAACUUUUCUGGGAUAAGAGUUUUAGUUUACAAAAUGUCGUUUUGGCCGAAUAUAUGUCUUAUAUGAAAAGUCUGAUGACUGAAAACGUAAAUUUGAUCUAUGAUGUCACUAUUCCAGCAUCCACGGUGGAGAGUUCUUGUUGAUAAUCAAUAUUAAGUUUGGGCAGUGAACCUAUCAGAGGCCCGUUUUUGUUAUUGGGAUAAAACUGGUUUUGUGUGUAAUGUUUCAUUUGCACGACAUUUAAGCUGUCUGUUCAUCUAGUAUUAUAAAACUUGUUCAUUUGACUGGAGGUGCAGUGGGAUUUGCAGGUCUGUGGAGAGGAUAAUGGAAGUUCAUGAACGUUGUGGUGAGGACAAGAAUGCUUUAUGGAGCACAAACUUUGUGCAAACACCAAGUUCUUUCUGCUGUUGCUCUUAUUUUAUGCUUAAAAUCAUAAGCUUUUUUUGUGCUUUUACUACAAAUUUUACAUCAAUUUAACAAACCUGAGAAUCCAGUAAUAUAAUAAUGGCCACAGCAGGGGAACUUUGCUUUUCUAUUACAAGUUCUUUCAGAAAGUACUUAUUGCUUUGUGUUUUCCUUACAACUGACCACAAUCUUUUACUUUCCAAAAUCAUGCCUCUGAUUAAGUAAAACCUGCUCGAAAACUAUUGUUACACUUGCAACACAAAGACUUCAUAUAUAUAAAAGAAAAACAUUACAAAAUUCAUAUUUCACAUUUGAAUUUAAUGUUUUUCCUUUUUUAUGUGAAGGCUUCAUAGCAUUAGGAUUUAAUACUAGAAAUUAAGUUAGUGACACAAUGAAGACAACACAAAAGGCUUUUGUCAUAUCUUAUGUGUAUCUUCGAGGUGUCUCUGGACUGGAGUAAUGAAUUGUUGAAUCGAAACGUUACACAGGCUAAAAUCAAAUAGCUAGCUUUUGCAUACGUUUUGUUGCACUUAGAUGUGAAUCAUUUUUUCCAUGAGAGGAGAUUUUAUUUACAUCUUUAGUAUAUUGUUUUGAUGCAAACAAAUGAAUUUGCUUUGUCUUGUGAAAAAAUUUGUAUACCCUAUUGAUCCUAAUUUUGAAUUAAUUUUCCUCUUUCUCUUCCAGCUGCCAAUGGUCAUAUAAUACCAAAAACCUGCAUCCUCAGUCUCAGAUUGUCCUCAACCUCACCUGGCUUGCAUCAGUGAAUCUGAUCACACUGCAUGAUUUCAUGUAUGGAUAUAUAGAUAUCUUGGACCAUUUAUAUAUAAUUCCAAACCAUUUUACAUUUCAUAUAAUUCACCCCUACAUUUAAUUACUACUUAGGACAGCAAUAGAAAUGUUGAUUGAACAGUUCUUUUAAUUUUAUGAUUCAAAUGAUGAAAACUUUGAAGUAAUUACAUUUAAUGAUGGUGAUUCAAAUGGGGGUGUUCAUGUGACACCUUUAUUGAGCUUUUUUUUGUUGUUUUUGUUUUUCUCCUUUUUUUUUUCAAAUUUUUUACAUUUUUAUUUUUUGAUUAGAUAAAUUUAAUGAGCAAAAAGGCCAUCGAGAUAUAUUCACAUGUCACUUCUAUCUAGUUUUCUUAUCUUUUAUUUUUUUUAAUUAGAUAAGUUUUAUAAAAAUAAUAUAAAAAUUAUUUUUAAUUUAGUUUUAUUAAAAUUUAUAUGAAAAUAAUAGAAAAAUAAAAUAAAUUAUCAAUUAUUUUAAUUAAUAAAAUAGUUAAACUUACGCGUAAGCUCAUUUCUAGUAUUUAAAAAAAUGAUAAAGAAAAUUAUUUAAACUCCAUCUCUUAAUUUAAGCUUUAAUUAGAACAUGCUAGUAGUUGAUUUAUAGAGCUCGCUAGUUUGUUAUUCGUUCGACGUAGGUAUUAUUUUUAAUUAUUUAAAUGUGUAGACACAUAAAUUAUUACUGUUUAGUCACUUAUAUAUUCAAGACAUAUGUAAAAUACAUAUAUAAUUAAGAUAUCAAAUUAUCAUAAAAUUACAAUCUUUUAUUAAAAAUUAAAUUAAUUUAAAAAAUAUGAAAAAUAAACUAUCCAAAAGAUAUUAUAAAUAAUAAUAUUGAGUUCACCAAAAAAAUAUUAAAAUGAAAACUAAAAGUUUGAUUACUUCAAAUUAAUUUUCUUCUGUUUGUAUCUAUCGUAACGACUUUAGAGAUCACUAGACGAAUUUGGAAAAAUAAAAGAAAUGAAGUCGUUAUCAAUUUUUUUUGGUUAGGUGUGAUUGACCACUUAUUAAAACUUACUUUAUUAAUAAAUUAAUUAAAAUUUAUUAAAAAGAUAAUUUUUAAGUUUGCAAAAACAGUUUGAGUACGGGAGUCGGUAAUGCGUGGGGAAGGAUUAGCACCCCACAAUGUCCAUUUAAAACAUUACUAAUUAAUUAUGUGUUAUCUUUUAAUAUUGACAAAAAAUGGUCUUAAUAUUGGUAUUAACAAUUACUAUUCUUAAUUUUCUUUAAAAACAUGUUUAUGAUUUUUUAGUAAGCUCGAAAAAUAAAUAAGAACUUUAUAUUGAAAAUUUUCUAAAAAUAUCUCAAUACGCUGGCAGUAUUUUUAGAAAACUUUUCUCACUUAGAGAUAUUUUAAAAAUCUCUACUUGGACUUCUUUACAAUUCCAUCAUCGGAUAUUUUUAUUUCAUUGAAAAUUAUAUAAUGCGAGCAAUCAUGCAUACAAAACAAUAUAUAUAUAUAUAUUGAUUAUGACUUAAUCAUCUUAUUUUAUCCUCUAAUUGUCAAUAACACCUUUGGAAGGAACAAAGUGAAUAAAAAUUUUAUUGAAAAUGUCCCUAGAUAUUCCAAUAAUUUGAUGGUAUUUUAAAAAAAUUUUCUCACCUACGGAUUUCUUAAGAAUCUCUACUUUGACUUCCUUAAAAUCCUAUCCUCGAAUAAUUUCAUUCAUAUUAUUAUGUGCAUGAAAAAUAAAAUAUAUCAAACAUGAAUUUAAACUCAAAAUAUUAAAUUAAAAUAAGCCUGAGAAUCUAAACAACAAAAAAAAUUAACUAUGCAUAGGAUUAAACUUAUAAUUGAAUUUAAACAAUCAUAAACAAAUUGUAUAAUUAUAAUUAAAAUUAAACAUACAUAAAAAAAAUUUCUCGGAAUCAAAUUUUAAGCCUUAUAUUCUUUAUGAAAUUUUAUUCAUUUAAAAAUUUUAACUAGAAAAACAAACUUGGACCUAGCCUAAAAGCUUGAAUGUGAAUGGUAUGGCCUCAUUUUUUUUUUUUUUUUACAUUUCUUCUAUUCUUCAAUCAAAUAAAAAACAAGCCAAUCAUGUAGUCCCUACCCAUCUCAAUCAAAGCUCUAGUUUUGUCCCAUAUAUGGCUUCUUUAUUUUAAUAAACUUUAUUCUCCCAUCCUAAGAACCAUGCAACCCUUAGCCCCAUUCUUUUCUACGUAAAGCUUGCUACUUUCUAUACCUAUUGGUUUUUACCUUCCAUUUAAGACUAGCCUACAUGACAACAAGCAUUGGAACCAAACUUGACAGCAAGCCUUCACGGUCAACAAUGAAAGAAGUGGAUCAUCCAUCAUCAAGCAUAAAAGAAAAUUGAAACUCUAGCUUCUACAGCAACAUUCAUGCAAAAAAAGGAAAAGGAAACAUGGAUGGUGAGGCUUUAAAUAAUUCACCGAAACAUGAUAGAAUUAGUGUUCUUAGCACCAUACUUGGAGCUUUAAAACUACCUUAAUCACCUCAUUUCACCCACAUGUGGAAACUAGGCAAAGAGAAGCAAGGUGGGAUCAUGCAUUGUAUGAGAUACUUUCCCUACAUCUAUAAAGGCUUCAUGUACUGAAUGAGUAGGCAAAAGCAUGUAAAAAUGGCCGAGCAAAACAAACAUAAAGGUGGAAUAGCAUAGUUCACGUGAAAUUUCCCCUACACAUGGUCUAUUUUCAACUUUUCAUUCUUUAUAUAAUCAACCAUAAGAACAAGCCAAGACAGCUCUGACGUAUAGGGAAGAAACCAAAAAAAUACAAAAAACUAGAAGCUUUAUAGCUUGUGCAAAACCUUUCACAUAAAGACAACAAACUAGACAAGAAAAAGAACCCCAUUCCAUGUUGAAGAGCAAAGAGCUAUGAAGUUGCCCAUUCAUGUUUUAUAUAGCUCAAAUGGAUUAUAGCCAAAGGUCAUCAACUUCAAACUUCCAGCUUUCUUCCUUUUAGCUUUUAAAACAAAACAACACUGUGGUCCAAACAACUUUUGAUCGUGAGCCCUUUUUGACCUUACUAGUAAACCCAUGUCUCAUACAAAGAAAGAAAGCAAAAGAGGUGCUGAAAUUACUUUAGGCAGCAAUGGAAAUAGGUUCCAAAAUCUGUUUGGAAGAUCAACCAAACCGUGACUGCCCAUGGGGAGUUAGGCAACACGUAGGGAUUUAAAUAGCGAUCGCGGUCACAUUUUCGGUCGCGUAGCAUUUGUCGCGUUUCAGAUAUAACGGAGAUAAUUGCGGUUGCUGUGAUCAUCACAGUCGUGAAAUUUUUUUUUUUUGCACAAUUUAUUAUAACAUGUAAUAAUUCUAAUUAUAAUUAUAAAAACUCUUAUUCAAUGAUUCUAAAAAUAGUUUAUGACACUCCAUGUUUUUUAUUUUCUAAAAAAAUUAUUUAUAAUUUUAUUUAGAUUAUAAAAAGCAUUCAUAUUUGGUUUAUCCAUAAAAUUUUUCUUGGCCAAGUUCAUAUUCAAUAUUAAUUCUAGACAAAUCAAAUAUUAAAAAACAUAAUAUGUUAAAUACCAAGCAUUUAAUUUAAUAAAAUUACAAACUUAAAAAUAUAAUAAAUUCAAAUUUCAUCAACUACAAUUCUUGAUACAUAUUUCAAAUUUACCACAUGGUAGAAUGACGAGGAGGAUCAGAUUCUCUAUCUUCACUUUGAAAGCCAAGUUGACUCCAUCUCCAUUCCUGAGGCCUUUGUUCUUGAUACAUUUGAGAUGGAAAGAUAUAUUUGAGGAUGAUACACUUGUGGUGGAGGGUACAUUUAUGGUAACUGAUACAUUUGAGAUGGAAGAUACAUUUGAGGUGGAUAAUAAGCAUAUGGAGGUGGAUAACCAUGAGGAGGAUGAAAAUUAUGUUGUUCUAGUGGAUAGUAAUGUCUUUGAGUACUAGCAGAUGAUUCACUAUACUCAAAGUUACUAGAAUUUAGUUUUUCACCUAAAGAUGAAGAACCUUUAGAAAUUUCAUAGUGGUGCUUCUUCGCUUUUCCUUUUGAUCGAGUUGUACGUGCACUUUGACCCUCACUAGAUUUAGCAAAUGGAUUUCCUCUGUAUUCUACCAUAUUAAUGAAAAGUCCACCAGUAACAACAAACUCAAAUUCUCCUCUAAGUGGGCUGUAAAGUCGAUUUGCAUCCACAUUAUCACCAAAAUUUACACCAUCACCAUCACCAUCUCCAUCACCAUCAUCAUCUGGACUUAAAGCACCACCAUCAUCACUUUAACUUGGUGUUGGACUUGAACUUGAAUGAGACACAUUCCUUUCUUGAGAUAGACGUGAUCGUUCAACAUUCAUUUCAUUAUUAGAAUUAUCUACAGGUAACUAAUUAAAGUUUUGACCAUCUAAUAGAAGAUUUUCUUUCUCUUGCAGCCAUUCUGUUAGUGGAUCAUCAUCUUCAAAAAUAUGGUCAAGGCUAAUAGGAUUAAAACUAUUAUUUAUUUCAUCAAUGCUCAUUCUUUUCUGAUGUCUCAUCCUCAACCUCAUGUUAUAAUAGGUAUAUACAAGUUUCUGGAGUCUUUCAAACUUCAAUCUAUUUCUUGCUUUGGUGUGAAUAUAGCUAAAUGUGCUUCAAUUAUAUUGACAAUUUGAUGUAGAUGUUGUUUGACUAAGCACUUUGAUUGCUAGUUUUUGUAAUUCAGGAACACAAGUGCCAUGUAUCAUCCAUCACUCAGCUGUAUAAAAUUAUUUAAAUUAAAUUUCAAUGGGCUAUACAAUUAAAUAAUAUAAAUAAAUUAUAAUUAUUUAACUUACUAGUUACCUGGAUUCAUUUGCUUCCAAGCUCUUUGUGCUUGUGGACUACCAAAUGUUUUAUGCUUGUCUCAAAAUAAUAACAACUACAUCGAUUGAAAAUACAAUAAUGAAUGAAUAAAUAAAAAAUAAUUUAAUUUUUAAUAUAUUAAAUAAAUGUUAAAGUUAUAAAAUAGUAUUAAAUACUAACCUGAUUAAUUAUUUUGAUUUGAGUAUCUAUCGAAGGUUCUAAUCUUUCAAUAACUACUUUUAUACCUUCUAAUGUUUCCUUAAAUACAUUUGCAGAAUGUUCCACUCCAAAUUGAAAUUAUGGAUUUAGAUAGUAACCUAAACAUAAUUUAUAAAAAUAUUAUAUUAAAGUAAUAAAAAAUAAAUAUAUAAGCAAUUUAAGUAUAAAAAAUAAACAUAUUUUUUAAAUACCAUCUAUAUUCUUAGUUUUCUUACCAGCUGAAUGCAAGUCAGAGUGCAUGAAACUCCAUCUAUUGUCAAUAAUCUUUUCAUAUUCAGCAGAAUAACGACAAGUUUGUUGAAUUGCUUGUUUAGCUCUAUCCACAGCCUUGUAAAUAAAGCCCAUUGUUGAUUUUUCAUCAACAUCCACAAGGCGCAACACUUUUACCAAAGGCUCAUAAACUUUUAUUAUAUUGCCUGCUUUUUUUCAAAAAUCUUUUCCCAAAAUGAUUUUUUUGACUUCAUAAGCAAGUCUUGAUUUUUGUUGUCCCCAUUUUGAAUCUUUAAAUUCCUAUAUAUUCAUCAAUAAAUUUUUAAAGUAAUAUAUUUUAAAUUAAUAUUUUAAAACAAUAAUAUCAUAAAAAGAUGCUAGAUUUAAAUAGUUGUACUAAUUACUAAGUACUAACCUUUGAAUUGAACAUCUCUCUCAAACUUUGCUUUUGCCUCAUUAUUUCUUCUAAUCGUAUGAAAUGAGUGGCAAAUCGGGUAAGAGCAGGACGAAGUAUUUACUUCCCUUGUGUAUAUUUCUUCAUCAAAUUAACAGUCCAAAUGUGAUUGUAUAUAAAACAAGUCACUUUCUUUACAUCAUCCAAAACCUUUGCCACAUUUUUUUCCUUCCAAUAUCUUCAAGGCACAGUCCAAACAAUGAGCUGAACAUGCUGCCCAAUAGAAAUGUUUUCUCUUCUCUAUUAGUCUUUUUCCUGCGGCCUUAAGUGUUGUCUCAUUAUCAGUGACUAUUUGAACAAUGUAUUUUUCUCCAAUUUCUUCCACAACUUAAUCUAAUAAUCUGUAGUAAAAGUUUGUAUCUCUACUACAAACACUUGAGACAUCUAUAGAUUUCCAAAAAAUAGUCCCUUUACUACAGUAAACAAGGAAAUUAAUGAUAUGCAUUUGAUUCAAACUAUUGGUCCAACCAUCACACAUCAAAGUGACACCCAAUUCAUUCCAAUAAGCUUUUAAUCCAUUAACCCAUUCAUGAACUUGUUGAUACUCAGACUCCUAAUACACAUCUGAGACCUCAUAAAGUGUUGGAAGUCUUACAUGUUGGCCAACUUCUACUGCCACAGAAAUCAAAUUAUGUAACCAUGGGGAAUUUGCUAACUGAAAAGGAAAUCGAUCAUAUAUCAAAAAUUUUGAUACUGAUUCACCCAUUUUUCUUCUUAAUGUCUUUAGAAAUGAAUCACUUACAUUUUGUUGUCUUGAACUUUUAUUUCUAACCAAUUCAAGAACAGCUCCCCUUAAUGAAAAUUCAGACUCAUUUGGAAUUGAUUUUCUUGUUCUUUCUUCAAAAUAUUCAGCAACUGAACCAUGAGAGCUUCGUCCUUCGUCAUAUAUGUUACUCCAACCACUAGUUCUUUGUCUGAAUUCUUGUCUUCUGUGCCACUUAUGUUGUGAUUGGAUACUAUCUCGCACGGCUUGUCAGCAGCAAUGUCUUCAUCAAUAAAUCCUUCAUAAUCAUCUUCCCUUCUUAACUGUGAUAAAAAUUCAUUUUUUUCUCCUUUUAUUGUCAGCUUUUUUUGAUUUGUUUUCUUAAAAGAGUUUCAUCAUACUUUCUUUUACUAUACCUAUUAAUAAUAUAGUUGAAAAAAGAAGAGAAAAUUAGCUGCACACGCUUAUGUAAUUUUAUAAUUUUUAUUAAAAAAUUAACAAUAAUAUUUUCAAAGAAAUUAAAAAAACUUAACAUACCAAUAACGUUGGGGCAUGGUGCAACAUUGCCAGUUUUAUGAGCAAUGUGUUCUUUGAAACGUGUUAUUCCUCCUUUUACAACCUUACCACAAAGUUUACAUGAAACAUUUCCUCUUGUAUUUGGCACAAGUGUUCCAAAAUGCCAACCUAUAUCAUCAUUUGGCGCGCCCUCUACUCCUUUACUCGGGAACUCUUCACGUGGUGGCAUACUUACUAUUUUGUAUAAAAACAAAAUAAACUUAUAUUUAGAAAUAUUAAUAUUACUUAUUACAUCAUUAAAAAUUGAUUUUACGCUAAAUUUUUUAAUUUUUAGUUUUUAAUAUUAAGAAUAUUAUUAAAUAACUUAAUCUUUUUGAUGCACUAAUUGAUAUUAAUUUUUUUAUCACAAAUAACUUCAAAUAAUUAUAUAAUAAAUACAAUCUUCAAUAAUUACUCAAAAAUAAUAAGAAUUAAUCUAAUAUCAAAAGAAUUGACAACAAUAUAAAUAUCAAAACAACAAAAAAAUUUAUUAAAUUUCAUAUACAAAAUUAUAAAUUAAUAUCUAACACAAUCAAAAUAUAAUAUUUAAUUUUAAUUAAUUUUUGUCUAACUUAUAUAAAAAAUUUAUCAAUAAUUUUCAUCUACAAUCUCUAUGUAUAUCAUAUUAAAUUAUUAAUCUCUUUUUUUUUAAUUAUAAAUCUUCAAUCCCUCUAAUUAGAUUUUAUCUAAAAAAAUUUCAAAAAUUAAAAGCUUUCAAACUUAUAUUUUAAUAAAAUUUUCAAACCUAUAUUUUUUAUUUUUUAGUUUUUAAUCUUAAUAAGAGUAAUAGAUCAUAAAAUGCUAAAUUUGUUAAGUAACUUAAUUUUUUUGAUACACUAAUUGAUAUAAAAUUUUUUUAUCACAAACAACUUUUAAUAAUUAUAUAAUAAACACAAUCUUCAAUAAUUACACAAAAAUAACAAGAAUUAAUAUAAUAUCAAAAGAAUUGACAAUAAUAUAAAUAUCAAAACAACAAAAAAAAUUAAAAUUCAUAUACAAAAUUAUAAAUUAAUAUAUAACACAAUCAAAAUAUAAUAUUUAAUUUUAAUUAUUUUUCAUCUAACUUAUACAAAAAAAUUUAUCAAAAUUUUUCAUUUAAAAUCUCUAUAUAUUAUAUUAAAUUAUUAAUCUCUUUUUUUUAAUUAUAAAUUUUCAAAACCACUAAUUAAAUUUUAUCUAAAAAAUUUUCAAAAAUUAAUUACAAAAUUAAAUAAAAAAAUUCAAUCCCACCCUCCAAACACCCUACCACACCCAAUCCCUCCCCACCCCAUCAAUCCCUCCACCUUCCCCCAACAUCCCACCACACCCAAUCCCUCCCCACCUUCCCCCUAACGCCCACCACACCCAAUCCUCCCCACCCCAUCCAAUCUCUCCCCACAUGCCUAAUAUCUCAAAUUUGUUUAAUUCUUUCUAGCAAACGGCAGACCCUUCUAGAAAUGCUACUUUCUUCUGUUCAUCAUCUUCUUCGUGUUGCCUUCUUUGGCUUUCCAUAAAUUUUUUCUUAUCUUUUUUUUUUAUUUCUCAUUUUCUCUCACAUCCCUUUAUCACUGUCACUUGCUGACUUGCCUAGUAUCUACAGAUAUCUCAUUUGUCUUUCAAACUCUCACAAGAAACAACAGAUCAUUUUACAAAAAUUUUACAAAAAAAAGGUAAUUUAACUUUCUUUUCUUACUUUAUUUGAUCUUGAAUGUUGAUUGAAAACUUGAAGCUGAUUUGAAUUUGAAUGUUGAAAAUGCCGAUUGAAUGGUUGAAAGUUGAAACUUGAAAUAAUUGAUCUAUUUUCUAGCUCAUUUUAAAAUUUAUUUUAAUGAUAAAGAUCUGAGAUUGUGAGCUUUAUUUUUUGAUUUGGCUUUUACUUUUACUUUUGCAGGUUUAUUGUUUCAUUCUGCAGGCUUAAAAUUUUAUUUUUUUGUUAGAACUAUUAGAUCCGUGAGUAGAAAAACAGAAUAGCGACAAUAACGGUCCGUUGUUGUCGCUAUUGCCCAUUAUGCCAUUAUUUUACUAUCGUUACUCUCCGUUUUUACUGUGAAUGAAUUUCUCAACCACUUUUUAUCUACUAACGGUGGCAGAAGGCAGCGCUACCAUCAUUUUGCGGUCGCUAUUCCACUAUCAAACCAUUAUUUGAAUCUCUCAGCACGGUUUGGCUUAGUCCAAGUUGAAUUCUUUUUCUUUGUUUUCUAUAGCUUAGACCAACUAAAGGUUGGUUAUGCCGGAUGAAAAAAGGGAUGGAAGAAUUUAUGGCAUGACCGAACAGCUGCUGCCAGAAGGAAAAACAACAGCUGUUCAACAACAACCAGCAAAGAAAAAAAAAGAUGAGAUUCAACCAUCUUUGUAACAAGAGCACUAGAGUACAUAAAGUUAAACUUCAUCCACACUCAUACCAAAGUCCAAGCAAGCAAAGAACAAAUGAAAACACAUUGUAGAGAAGAUCCUAACUAGUGCAAAAAUGGAAUAGAAACAAUGAUAUAAAAUGGCAUACAUGCCCUUGUAUGUGGGUUGCUCAGCUUCGAAACCUCUUUUGUUUUCAAUUCCCCCCACCUUUUUUUUUCUUUUUUCAGAUCCUUCCUCCUCUUUUUUCCCUUCCUUUCUAGCAGUUUCUUCUCCAUGCUUUUAUUUGGCAGACCCUUCCAAGAAAUGCAAGAUUUUAAUCUUGCCCAACGAGGGCCCUUGGAUGAAAUCUCAUCCAAAGGCCAUAUUUAUUCCUUUUCUUAUUUCCAAGGAGACACCUUUGGCCCUUGGAUUAAAAGCCAGCAAAGGAUCCAAAGGCUCAAAUUACACACUGUAAAGGUUGAAUCUUUAUGCCUCUUAAACCCAUAAAAAAAACCAUUUUAUCCCUAGUGUAAAGUUUUAGUGUUUAUGGUCAUUUUCUUAGAAAUCAAAGUUCCCAUAGUUAUUUUUUGGAUUUUCAAGCACCAAAAAUUAUAAAUUAUUAUGAAGUUAAGAUCUGAAAUGUUUCGUGAAAAUCUGAGUUUGGAAAGAUCAAAUUACGAAAAUACCCUUAUAGAGAUAUUUUGGUAAUUUUAUACUUUUUCGGGUAUACUAUGAUUUCAAAUGCACUAAAAAUCAUGAAAUAUUAUAAAAUUACGAUCUAAAAAGUUGUACAAAAUUUUGGGCUUGGAAAGAUCAAAUUAUAAAAAUAUCCUUAUAAGAGAUAUUUUGGUAAUUUUAUACUUUUCGGGGUACAAUAAAAACUCCAACAUUUCAAAAAAUCUCAAAUUUAACUUUAAACCGAAUUGAUUUCAACUUUUGAAUUAUUAGAAUUGAGUCAAGCUCUAUCUAUUUUGACCAAGUUUCUUGCAAUUUUGACCAAGGUUGAAUUUGGAGUUGACUUUAUUAGGCCUAAAUAUUGAUUUCUUAAAGGGCAUUUUUUAUCGGCUUCAAGUGGGUUUUAUUUAACUAUGCUAAAAUAUUUCAGAUAAAAUUUAGUGUCUAUAGCUAUCUUUUUUUGCUUAUUUCUGAGAAUAAAAAAUAAUGCAAAAAAAUAAACAGUAAUUUUAUCCAGAUAAUGCUUUUGAAAUUUUCUUUUUUAACAUGUUUUGAACUUGUUUGAAAAUUGCCCUCUCCAAACAAAGGCUUUGACACUUUGAAAUUGGCUCUUCCCCAAACAGAGGCUUUGAAACUUUGACAAUAGCUAUUUGUAGACACCUAAUUUGGUCCAAGCCCGGAUCAAUUGGGCCUGGUCCAAGUGGGUAGGCCCAUUUAAUUUUGUAUUUUUGUAUUUCUUAUAUUUUUAUAUUUUAUUUUACUUUAUUUUGUAUUUUAUGUAUUUAUUAUUACUAUUUAUUAAUAUAUAUUUAUUUUAUUUUAUUAUUUUUAUUAUUUAUCUGCUGAUAUAUAUGUAUUAUUAUUUAUCUAUUUAUAUAUAAUUAUUAUUAUUUAUCUAUUUAUAUAUAUUAUUAUUUAUCUAUUAAUUAAUAUGUUAUCCUUAUUAUUAUCUUUUUAUUUUAUUAUUUUAUUUAUUUUUUUUCUUUUCUUCUUUCUUUUACCCGAUUGAAGCUGGAUUAGGAUAGAAAUUUGAGUGUGGGAUUCCAUCAGAAUCCAGAUUGGAUUCAAAGAUCGAAUCUCAAUCCAAAAGGGAAUAGGGAUUGAUCAGAAACUCUUCUGAUCAAUCUCUAUAAAUAGAUCCACGGAUCAAAGGACUGGAACACAGAAAAAAGGCAAACAGUGAAGAAACAGAAGCUUAAAAGGGUUUUGAUGCAUUAGAAUAGCUCUAAGAAUCGGUGGGAAAUUUUUAGAGAAUGUUUUGUAAAUUUUUUUCUAGAAAUUUUUGGAAAAUUUUCAGAUUUCGAUUGAAUUUUCUGACGAAGAUUGAAUUUUUCAACGACUAUUCUAGCCAAGUUUGAAUUUUUCUGCCAACUUCCAGUUUUCGAUAAUCAUUUCCAAAAACCGAUCAAUUUUCUGACAAACUUCCAGCAAACCAGAUUCUGACGAAAAUUUUUAGAAUCCGACGGACAUUCAACCAAAGUUUUUCAGGUUUUAGAGAUAAGGGAGAGAAGAGGAAGGGAGGAGAUAGAUAGAGGGAAGGAGGGUUCUGCUGAAAAAACAGAGGAAUUAGCCUUUUAUACCCUCCCAAACGACAUCAUUUUUGCGUUAGUAACCCAGAUGAUUUGCGCGUUUUACUAAGAUCCGACCCAACCCGAGCGUCAACUUGCUUUCGACCCGCGUCUCCGAGCCGUUUCCCUGAGCCAAGCCAAGCCGAGCCGAGUCGACGCCCUCUGAGCCACGUUUUCGAGUCUUUUUUUUCCUCGAGCCGAGCCGUUUCCAGGUUUUUUUUUUCAUUUUUUAUUAUAUAUAUUUUUUUAUUAUUAUUAUUUACUUAUUUAUUUAUUAGAUUAGAUUUGUUUAAUUUUUUUAUUUUUUUUAUUUUCCUUUAUUUUUAUUUUUAUUUUUAUUUUAUUUAUUUUAAAUAACAUCAAAAAAAAUAUUUUUGAGGAAAAGUUGAAAGUAUCAAUUUUCUUUGAAAAUAAGCUUUCUAAAAAAACAUAAAUAUUUUUGGGGAAAAGUUGAAAGUAUCAAUUUUCCCUGCACAAAAGCAAUCAUUUUUUUCCUUUUUUUUCUUGAAUUUUUUUUAAUGUUAAACAAUCUGACGAUGGAGCAUUUGCAAGUGAAACAGUAGUUUUCUUGCAUACUCUUGAGGUGAGGGGAUUUUUUCAAUUUUUUACUAAAAGUAUUAGAGUCAAUUGAGAAUAAUUUCUAAUAACUAAUUACUUGGUAAAUUUUUAAGCCUUAUUGGAUAACACAAAAUUAAGCUGGUACCAUCUUUUGAUGGGCGUUGUGAGGGUGCUAUAACCUUCCUCACACGUAAUCAAAAUCCCAAACCCUGUUCUGGUUAGUAGACCCGAACCUAUUCUUUUAGGAUCCUUAAACUUAGGUGUUCCCUGAAAGGAUAGAUUCCUUAGGUGGCCAAUCACACCUAGAUAAAAAAGAUUGGUGGCGACUCCUUUAAGUCAAUGUCUAAUGAUAGAUCCCCGAAUCUAGAUGUUAUACCCUUCCUAAACGAUGUCAUUUUUGCGUUAGUAACCCAGAGGAUCCAUGCAUUUUACCAAGAUCCGACCCGACCCGAGCAUCAAUCCGCUUUCGACUCGUGUCUCCAAGCUGUUUUCCUAAGCCAAGUCAAGCCGAGGCAACGCCCCCUAAGCCACGUUUUCGAGACAUUUUUCUUCCUCGAGCCGAGCCGAGCCGGGCCGUUAGCCGGGCCGUUUCCAGGUUUAUUUUUUUCAUUUUUUUAUUUUAUAUAUUUAUUUAGUUAUUUAUUAUUAUUAUUAUUUACUUAUUUAUUAGAUUAGAUUUGUUUAAUAUUUUUUUUUUUCCUUUAUUUUUAUUUUCUUUUUAUUUUUUAUUUUAUUAUUUUAUUUUCUUUAAAUAAAAUAAAAAAAAAUAUUUUUGAGGAAAAGUUGAAAGUAUCAAUUUUCCUUGAAAAUAAGCUUUCCAAAAUAUUUUUGAGGAAAAGUUUAAAGUAUCAAUUUUCCUUGAAAAUAAAUUUUCCAAAAAAUAUUUUUGAGGAAAAGUUGAAAGUAUCAAUUUUCCUCGAAAUUAAAGUUUCAAAAAAAUAUUUUUAGAGAAAAGUUGAAAGUAUCAAUUUUUCCUGCACAAAAGCAAUCAUUUUUUUCUUUUUUUUUUAAUUUUUUUUAAUGUUAAACAAUCCGACGACGGAGCCUCUGCAAGUGAAACAGUAGUUUUCUUUCAUACUCUUGAGGUGUGAGGAUUUUCUCAAUUUGCUACUAAAUGUAUUAGAGUCAAUUAAGAAUAAUUUUCAAUAACUAAUUACUUGAUAAAUUUUUAAGGCUUAUUGGAUAAUACAAAAUUAAGCUGGUACCAUCUUUUGAUGGACGUAAUCGAACUUUCGAACCCUGUUCUGAUUAGUAGACCCGAACCUAUUCUUUUAGGGAUCUUUAAACUUAGGUGUUCCCUGAAAGGAUAGAUUUCUUAGGUGGCCAAUCACACAUAGAUAAAAAAGAUUAAUGGCGACUCCUUCAAGUCAAUGUCUAGCUAUAGAUCCCCGGAUCUAGACGUUAUGACACUCUUCUCAAAUAGUAGCCAUGAAACUUUGAAAAUUUAAAAAGGUUCACCGGAGGUCUUGAAAAUUUUGCCUGGAAGUCUUAAAGAUUAUGUCCGAAAGUUUUAGAGAUUUGAAAACCUUUGAAUGCUCAUCCAAUCAGAGGCUGUGACACUUUUAAAAAAUUAAAAUAUUUUGCUUAGAGGUUGUGAAAAUUGUGCCUGGAGGUCUUGGAGAUUAUGCUCAGAGAUCUUAAAGAUUUCAAAAUCUUUGAAUGCUCCUCCAAUCAAAGGCCAUGAAACUUUUUAAAAAAUUAAAAUAUUUUCCCUGUAGGUCUUGAAAAUUAUGCCCGAAAAUCUUAAGGUUUUCAAAAUCUUUAAAAAUUUUAAAAAUUUAAAAUGCUUUGCCUUGAGGUCUUAAAGAAAUUAUGCCUAGAGGUCUUGAAAAUUAUACUCAAAGGUUUUAAAUAUCUCAAAAUCUUUGAAAAUUUUGAAAAUUUAAAAUGCUUUGGCCAAAAGUCUUGAAAAUUAUGUCCAGAGGUCUUAAAGAUCUCAAAAUCUUUGAAAAUCUUGAAAAUUUAAAAUGCUUUGUCCGAGGGUUUUAAAGAAAUUAUGCUUGGAGGUCUUAAAAAUUAUGCCCAGAGGUCUUAAAGAAAUCAAAAUCUUUGAAAAUUUUAAAAAUUUAAAAUGGUUUGCUUAGAGGUCUUAAAGAAAUUGUGCUUGGAGGUCUAGAAAAUUAUACCAAGAGGUCUUAGAAAUUUGUCUAGGUGCCAACUUAACUGAACUUAAGUCUUAUCUUGUAUUAAAACUCUUCUUAUCAUUUUUCAACAAUCUAUUUGCAAAUAAUUUUUCUUUCAGCCUUUUAAACCUUUUUAAUAUUUUGAUCUCCUGUUAAACCAUUUUUCUUUUUCUCAUCUUUUCAUGAUGACUUCUUUUUUUAUAUAUAUUUACAAAGUUGACAAAUACAAUCAUGAUACAAAUGUCUAUUUUCAUCAAAUGAUGCGAAUGCAAAUGUCGAUGCAAAUACAAAUGUCAAUGCAAAUAUUUAACACAAGUACAGGUGACUUUUUCACAAUACAAAUGCCAAUAUUCCUUUUAUAUAAAUGCCCUUACAAAUACUUUUUCUGAGGUGCAGAUGCCAUGAUGCAUAUGCAAACUUCUUCUUAUGGUGCAAAUGCAAAUGUCUUAUACAAGUGCAAAUGCAAAUGAUGCAAAUGUGAAUAUCUUUCUUGUGAUACAAAUGCAAGCGAUGCAAAUGCAAAUGUCUUUUUCAUGUUAUCGAUAUGAAUACCAAUGUCUUUCUCAUGAUGCACAUGCAAGUGCGAAUGCAAGUGAUGCAAAUGCAAAUGUCUUUUUUUGUGAUGUAGAUGCAAAUGCAAAUGGCUUUUUUCAUUUUUUGCAACAUAUAGAUUAAAUGUCUUUUAGAAAUUCAAAAAUCUCUUUUCUUUUUUUUCUUUAAAAAAAAUCUUUGCUCAAAAUUUCAAAGUUCUCUCUUCACCAAAAAUGAUCUUAAUAUCUUGUACAAAAAUGCUUAACUAAUUUUCAAAAUUUUCCAAAGCAAUCACAAAAUUACCCCACAUAAAGUGUUUUUACAAUUAAUGAGAAAAACUAAAAACACAUAACUUCUGAAUCUCUUGUAAAUUGAUGAUUACCAUUUAAAAUGCUUAUAAAUGGCAUAAUUGGCAAUUCAAUUCUUUCACUGGUGGGCAUAUUUCAAAAAAGGCUUGAUGAAGGUUAUAAGGAUUUCUCUUGAGCUUAUAAAUGAGACACUUUUCUUUUAUUGAAAACAUGAUAAAAUCAAUAUGCAUCAAAACUGAUGAUAUUUUUAGGAAAGAUUUAGGAAAAGAAAAGGGACUAUUUUUUACUUUUCACGCUUUGGUGAAAUGCAAAGUCUUCAAUGGGUACUGAUCCUUUAAAAAGUUUUGCAUUGUGACUUUUAUUUUAGAUAGAACCUUGAAACUCUAAAAUUCUUUUGGGGUCUCAAGAGUGGUUAUAGCUCUUAACAGCCCUUUUGGGCUUUCACCUUAGAGCUUUCUUUCUUUUUUUUUUUUGUUAAACAAUGAAAAACUUGGUAAAAUCUACAAGGACACUGUCAUAACGUCUAGAUCUGGAGAUCUAUCACCUUAAAAAAUUCAAAACAAAUCUGAAAGAGGAAAAAAAAAUUUCAAAAAGGGUCAAUGGUCCAAACAAAAAAUUAUGUAAUAAAUGGGCACUUCAAAAUAUUUAUGAUCAUUCUUCCAAGAGAAACUCUUCAAUUUUAAACCCUCAUGCUUGAUCUAAUAUGAACUUUUUAAAGGUUAUAAUGUAGGUUAAGGUUCAGGAUUGUCAAAGAAAAGGAUAGAAAGACUCAAAAUAAAUAUUAAAAGGUAUUUAAAACUAAUGGUCAUUUUUUUUGUUCGAAGGAUACACUUUGAGGUCUAUUCCUUUUUGCUUUCCACCCUUUCAUUUCUUCUCUUUUUUUUUCUUUUUUUUUACUGAGUGGAUUGUAAACUUUCAUAUUGAACCUUUGCCUCAACAUAUGGGAUUCCAUUCAGGUAUCCUCAUUCUUAACCCUCAAAUGUGUUCGUUUUUACCUCCCAAUGUGAAGGGUGAUCCUUAGUUAGGGUUUAUUUUGAAAAAAUUCAAUCAAGUCAAAAAGGGUAACAAAGGAUUAAUUUUUAUAUUUGUGAAAAGAUAAUGAAAGAUGGUCUUUUAUCAUUUCAAAUAUAAAAUCGAAAUUGAAUAGGAAUUCUCUUUAGGAAAAUGAUCUCGAAGAACAGUUUUUAUUUCCAUAGUUUUUUUUACUUUUUACUUUUUUUUCACAUUUUCUAAUUUGGGCCUUUUUCUUGCCCCCUUUCCAAAACUUUGAAUUUGUCAAAGACUUUAUUAGAAAUUAUUCAAAAUUUUCAAGUGCAUGAUGUUAUAACCAUUUUUUAUUUCUCUUAUUUCUCUUUUUUUUUAUUUAGGACAUUUGACUUCAUCUUUAGCAAUCAAAGAUAUUCUCAAUAUCAUAUACUUUCCUUAAAAUUGGGCUUUUAAGGAUAUCCUUAUUUUUUCUCCCAAAGUAAAAAACGAUCUUUGACCGUAGAUUAUUUUGGAAACAAAAAAAUUUAAUAAGCUUAAAAAGGUAACAAGUGGAAAAUUUUUUUAUAAGCAACAGAUAGAGAAAAAUGGCCAUUCAUUAUUUCAAACACAAUCACUUGAUUAGAAGAGCAAUGCAUUUGAAGAAAUAAAAGCUUUUAUUUGUUUCUAUUCCUAUUUUCAUUUUUUUUUAUCUUUAACUAUCAAUCAUUUUUGUGUAACUAAUGCCCUAUCUUGUUUGCCUACUCAAGGUUCUUAUGAUGAUGAGAAUCAGGUUGUAUGAGAUGUCCAAAUUUUGGAUGCAUAGUUUACAAAAGGGUUCAUUUGGUUCCAAAUUGUCUAGCAUUUUGAGGAAAAAAGAUAUUAAGGCAUGAAAACAUUGUCUUAGGCAAGAAAGAAGUUUACUUCUUUUAGUCACUAUGCCUUAAGACAUGAAACAACAGUCACUUAAAAGAAAGAGUUCAUGCAUUUUUAUGUCUAUGUCAUCAAAAGAAUUUGGAUGGUUCAAUCAUAUUGGCAAGAUUUGAUACACAUUGAAUUACCAAUUAAAAAAUUAAAAGAGUAUCUUGGUUUUUGAAAUUCAAAAUAAAUUUUUAAAAUUGGUCACUUUCAUUAAUUGCCCAAGAAAUGAUUAUGGCUUCAAUGUAUCAAAUUGUAACAUGGUUCGCAAGUGGAAAUUCAUGUCCUUUAAGGAUUAUGAAAGGAUUAAAACGUAAGACUGGUUAAGAAAAAAAAGUGUAAUGGAAUUGGAUGAGGUUUUGUUUUUUAUAAGUAAUCACCCAUGAUUUUGAGAUUCUCAUAUAAAAAAAUCAUAAAUUUCCCAUUGAAAAAGCCUAUAUUUUUAUUUGAUCUUGAAAACUACUUAUAUGGGACUUUAUUGUGAAUUUUUUUUAAUGCUUUUCAUUUAUGAUUUUAAAAAUUAAUUAUGUGAGAUUGUUAUUCAAACAAAUACAUACAGAUAAAAUUUCAUAGAAAAAUUGAAAGCAUUCCUUUCUUCCAAAAUGAUGUUUAAUAAGAUUGAUUUAAAUAACUCCUAAAGACCCAUGUAUAUAUCAUGUACAAAAGGUUAAAAGUUUAAAAGAAAACCAUUAUAUAUUGAUAUUUCAAUACUGUAGACACCCAAUUUGGUACAGACCCAGAUCAAUUGGACCUAAUCCAAAUGGGCAAGAUGGGCUCACAUUAUUUUAUUUUAUUUUAUUAUUUAUUUAUUAUUAUUAUUAGUAUUAUUUUUUUCGUUUGUUAUUUAUUAUUAUUACUUAUUAUUAUUAUUAUUAUUAUUAUUAUUAUUACUAUUAUUAUUAUCAUUUUUUUUAUUUUAUCUUUUUUUUUCUUGAUUAAUUAGGAGAUAAUGAUCAGAUUAAUUAAAAAUAAUAAAAAAAUUAUGGAAGUGGAUUUGGCCAUGAAUUUUAGGGCUGACAAAGUUGGGAUUGGAUUCAAAAAUUAAAUCCCAAUCCCAAAUGGAAUUGGGAUUGAUCAAUCCCUAUAAAUAGAGGUUGGAAUACACAGAAAAGACACCAAAGAUAGACAUAGGGUAAACAAAAGAAAUCAGAAGGAAGAAAAAGGGUUCCAAGGAAUAGAAGUAGCGUUCUAGAAUUUUUAGGAAAAUUUUUGAAUUUUUGGCAUUUUUUCUGGGAAAUUUAUGGAAAAUUCCAGAUUUCGAAUAUUUUUUCGAUGACAUUCAAGUUUUUCGAUGACUAUUUCGGUGAAAGACCUAGUUUUCGACAUGUUUUCCAUAUUUCGAUAGAACAUUCAAUCAAAAUCUGGGUUCUGUUUAGAGAGAAGUAGGAGAAAAAGAAAAAAGAGAGAGAGAAAGAAAGAAGCAAUCUGCAGACGAAUAGAAGUUAGAGCAUUUUAUACUGUCCAAAAAUGACAUCAUUUUUUUGUUUAAAGUCCCAAAGGAUCUGUACAUUUUGCCAUCAGGCGACCCGACUCGAAAGCCAACCCGUUUUUUACCCUAAUCUAACUCGAGUACCGACCGAGCCCUGAAGUCGAGCCAAGUCGAGCCGUACACUCUCGAGCUAUUUUUUUUUCUCAAGCCAAAUUGAAUCACAGCUGCUAAGCCGAGCCAUUCCAAGGUUUUUUUUAAAUUUAUUUAUUUAUUUAUAUUAUUAUUGUUGUUAUUAUUAUUUCUAAAUUAGAAUUAUUUGGUUUUUUAUUUUUAUUUUUUCUCUUUCUUUUCAAUGAUUUUUCUAAAAUAAAAUUUCAAAAAAUAUUUUUGAGGAAAAGUUGAAAGUAUCAAUUUUUCUUAAAAGUAAAAUUUCUAAAAAUAAAAAUUUUCAAAAAAAAAUUUUGAGGAAAAAGUUGAAAGUAUCAAUUUUUCUUUGAAAAUAAAAUGUAAAAAUAAAUAAUUUUAAAGAAAGUUGAAAGUAUCAAUUUCCCUUGUUUGGCGUGACUACACCUAGAUGUUCAAAAGCAUCCUUGAGCUGGUCCCUGGUGAUGCUACCCUGCUUAGAGUAUGAUCGAAACACUUGUUCCAAUUUGUUUUUCUGAUGCUUGUUAUCCUUUGCGGCUUGCAUUGUGGAUUUUGAGGUUUAUGACAGGGUGAUAUAAGAGAAAGGGCUUGCCUAGCUUGGUUUGCUUUUCUUUUCCAUUGCAAUUUGUUUAUAUAGACCCAAAACUCGAAUAGUAUUCUGUUGAAGUGUAGGGGAAUAAAAUUUUUUUUGUGGUGGCUUCUAAAAUUUGAUUUCGAUUGAAAGGAAACGAAAUAAUUGUAUGACAAUUUCUUCAUUUGAAUUUUUUUUAAGUAUCUAUUUUAUUAAUAAAAUUAAUAUAUCAAUCAAUAAAUUUUUAUAAUGAAUACAAAUAAACAAAUAUUCCAAGAGGAUUGGUACGAAUAAGAAUAUUAAUGUUGGCUUGAAAUUAACCACAGAUUGGAAAAUGCUAAGCGUAGUGAUAGCAGCCUCCCUUUCUUGUGUCCUAGUGAUGAUAACAGCCUCCACUAUCUUGUAUCCAUUUUCUAUUGUUUCUUUUGAUUUUGCUGGUGAAAAGGCUAGACAACGAAGUCAGGAGUAAGGAAUCUAAACUCUCACCCUAUCCAAAUUUGAGUUGUUUCUACACGAAAAAGUUUGAAGAGAAUCAUCUUGUUGCUCCUGGUUGGACAGAACUUGAUCAUACACAUUGAUUUUCUAAAAACUUAUAAUUUGAUGGAAGUGUCUUGUAUGUAGGAUAAUUUGAUAUUAUUGAUUAAAAAUAUUGUUAUAACAUAUAGAUUCAUGGACUCAUCAUAGACAUAAACUUUAAGAGUCGCUACUUUUUUUUUUUUGUUUAGGUGCAAUUGACCAUUUAAUUGAAUCUGUCUUAUUUAAAGAGAAUAUCCAAGAUAGACUUAGGUAUUUUUAAAUAGUAGAUUCUAAAAUCCAUGAAAUCAAAUUUAAGGUUUAGGAGUGCAAUUAUGGAUGAGGAAGUUUAUAGCACCCUUACAGUGCCUAUCCAAAAGAUGGUAUCAGUUUGAUUUCAAAUUAUCUAAGCCUUGAAAUAUUCUUAUAAUUAUACCCAGUAAUUUAAUUAUUAGAAAUUGAUCCUAAAAUUACUCUAAUAGUUGAGUAGCAAUGUAAGAUAAAUUUCUCACCUUAAGAGUAUUCAUAGAGACUAAUGUAUCACUCUGAAGAAACUCCGUCGUUGAAUUUAUUAAUAUAUUUUAUUUAAAAAAUAAUUAGUAAAAUCCUCCAAUAGUUUGGUAAGAUUUUACUUUGGUGCAAAUUUUUCAAUAGUUUGGUGAGAUUUUAUUUGAAAAUCAUUUAUAAAAUUUUGUUUUGAUGUAGAAUUCUAAAUAGUUUGGUGAGAUUUUAUUUGAAAAUUAUUUAUAAAAUUUUACUUUGAGAAAAUUCAUUAAAUCUUCCAAUUUGGUAAGAUUUAAUUCAAGAUUUUUAUCCUCCAAUAAUUUGGUAGGAUUAAAAAUAUAUUAUUUUAUUUUAUUUUAAAAAUUCAUUAAGUCCUCCAAUAGUUUUGUAAGACUUAAUUCAAAGAUUUAAAUAUUCCAAUAGUUUGGUAGGAUUGAAAAUUUACUAUUAAAAAAAUUACAUUAUGAAAUUCUUCAUUAGUUUGGUAAAAUUCAUAAUUGAAAUUUUCUAAACCCAUGAAAUAAAAAAUUCAUAAUUUAAAACUCACAAUCUUUAAAUUUUAUUUUAAACGUACAUAAAAAAAGUAAAAUAAAUGAAUAAAUAUAUAAAUAAACAAAAUGUGAAAAUUACCCUAAUGGAUGAAGACAUGCCUAGAUUGAAGUAUCUCUUGAUUUGUGGUGAUAGAUAAUCACCAAAGAGCUCUGCCACCAAUUCUAACCUAAGAGCUAGGGUACAAAUUGCUACUCAUCCAUUUCUUGGUGGGUUUCCCUUUUUUUUUUCCUUUUUUGUUUUGUAUGUUGUUGAUUGGUGUUUAUAUCGAGCCUUCUACUAAGAGUUUUAGGGAUUGACAUUGAAUGAAAAGGGUUGUAGAUCUGAUUGUUCUUUGAAUUAAGUUUUUCUUGACUCUCUUUAAAAUUUGUUUAAUUAAUUUUUAGAAUUGUCUCGAUUUUCCUUGAUUUUCAGAAUCCUUCAAAACUUCCUAAAUUAAAUUUGACUUUGAUUCUUUGAUUUUGCUUUUUUUUCAACAUUCCUUUAAUAUUUGAAGAAAUAAUGUUUUAGUCUUAAUUGUCGAGAUCAUCCUUGAUUAGUGCUCAAAUUACUCCACAAAAUUCAUUGACAUGAUUUAUGAUAAAAAUUUAAAACCAAAUAAAUAAAAGAGUAAAACAUAAAAAUAAAUAAAUAAAUACAUAAGACAAAAAAGAUAUAAAAAGAAAUAUAGGAAAUUGGAUAAUUGGGCUUGGUUUAAGCCUCGGACUAAAUAGGGUGUCUAUAGCUGGCCUUUUUGCAUAGUUUCUACGAAAUAGAAAUUGUGCAAAGAUAUAGAAACCCAUUACGUUUGGGCCCACAUUAUUCAACUUUUUUUUUAAAGGCUCUUGAAAACGAAGGCACACAACUUUUUUAAAAAUUAAGGACGACACUUGAAAGUUUUGAUAAUCAUGCCUAGAGGUUUUAUAGACUGUGUCCAAAGAGCUUGAAAAUUAAGCCUAGAGGUCUUACAAAUCAUUCAUUGAAAAAUGCUCCUUUAAACAAAGGCUACACAACUUUUAAAAAAGUACCUAAAAGUUUUACAAGAUCAUGUCCAAAGGUCUUAAAGAUUAUGCUCGGAGUUCUUACAAAUCUUGACUCUAAAACAAAUUUAGCUCGAAAGACUUACAAAUCUUACCCAGAGGACUUAGAGAUUACGCUCAAAGUUUUACAAAUCUCGAUCUUAAAAUAGAUUCAACUUGCAAGACUUAUGAAUCUUGCCCAAAUGACUCAGAGAUUACACUUGAAGGUGUUACAAAUCUUGACUUUAAAAUAAAUUCAGCUCAAAAGACUUAUGAAUCUUGUCCAAGGACUUAGAGAUUACUCUCGGAGGUCUUAUAAAUCUCGACUUUAAAAUAAAUUCAAGUCAAAGACUUACGAAUCUUACUCAGAGGACUUGGAGAUUAUGCUUGGAGGUUUUACAAAUCUUGGAGAUUAUGCCAGAGGUCUUACAAAUCGUAACUCUAAAAUAGAUUCAGCUUAGAAGAUUUAUGAAUAUUGACCAAAAGACUUAGAGAUUAUACCCAAAGGUCUGAUAAAUCUCAACUCUAAAAUAGAUUCAGCUUGAAAGACUUAUGAAUCUUACCAGAGGUCUUACAAAUUAAACCUCAAAAAAGCUUAUUUAAAACAAAUGUUCAACCACUUUAAAGAGAAUAAAGAUAUUUGAAGGUUUUAAAAAUCAUGCCCGAAGAUCUUAUAGACAUUGCUUGAAGGACUUUAAAAAUAGUUUAAUAGUUUUGAAGAUGUUGCCAAAGGUUUUUUUAAAAAAAAUUAUCAAAAAAUUUUAACAAAUUUACCCUAAGGUAAAAUCUUGUUUGAUCAAAGUUUCAUUUUUUAUCAAAAAUUUAAGUCAACAUCUCUUUCCUCUAAAAAAUAUGAAUACAACAUAUGAAAUAGAUGUGAUGUAUACUAUGUAAGAAAUGCAUGAAGUGCAAUGAAUUAAAUGCACGAAUUUUAUACCAAAUGUCCUUAAUUGAGGUAAUAGGUUUCUCGAAACAUUUUCUUCCUUCCAUCUUUCCAUGACAAAGCCUCUAAAUAAGUUAACAAGUUUUUUCAUGCCCUAAAGUAGACAUUCUCAACAUUUUCAUUCUUGAAAACUAUUUUCUCCUCUAAUGAGUUGUUUUAAUUUCCAUCCCUUGCAUUUGGCAUUUUUUUGCCCAGAAAGGUCUUUUAUAGCAUUCACCUAUCUCUCACCCUGAGCAUUAAGAUCCACUAUAUUUUGAACAUUUUUCAAAACUUCCCAUGAAUAGCAAUAGAGAUUACCCCAGAUAUCUCUCUUUUGCAUGUGAUCAAAUCUUUUAAAAAUUGGUGAUUACUGUUUAGAAUAAGGAUGAUGAAUCAUAAUUUUGGUCUUUUAAAAGGAUGCAAUGGUUUGGCACCCAUUUCAGUUCUUGAUAUGUGGUAUUUUAAUAAAUAUCAAGAACAACUAUGUUAGGUUCAAAAUUUCAAGUUUGAAAAAGGAACAAGGCCUAAAUUUUAGAAGGAAUCUUCAUACUGAGAUCAAUCUCUUUGGGCCUUUAAAGAAAAGUCUCCUUGGUGCUACAUGGAAAGUCAUGAGUUGCUUUCAAAGUUUCAAUCUUGCUUUAGGCUGCCCUUUUGGGUUUUCACCCUAAAACUUCAUUCUUUUCUCUUUUUUUUUUUUUGAUAUUCCAUUAGGCUUUUGAGCAUUCAAAAAUUAUCAAAAAGUGAUGGUGAUUUUCUAAAGAAAAACUCCGUAAUUUAAAUAACCAUAAUUCAUCAAAAUGGACUUUUUAAAGGAUGUAAUGUGGGCUGGGAUUUAAGGUUUUGAAAAAAGCAUAAAUAGGCCCAAAAAAUGUAUUUACAGAUGAUCAAACCAAAAAUCAUUUCUUUUCCAGAAACAUCUUUCCUUUUUUCAAAGCAUGCCUUUUAGCUUUUCUCUUUUUUUUUUUUUCUUUUUUUUUUUCUUUUCUUUUUUCUCUUUUGCAUGAGCUCAAAAUUUUUGAAACUCAUCUUAUUUCAAGCUUGCUUCUUAACAUAAGGCAUUAUUUCCUAACCCUCAGCACAAGAUUAGAUGCCAUAUUGAUGAGAUCCUUUUUCUCUUGAACUUGCCCCUAAAAUUUAAAGGGUGAUCCCUAAUUAAGGUUCAUUCGAAAGAAUAAUCAAAAGGUUUUAAAAAGGUAGCAAAUGGCUAUUUUAUUAUUUUAUAAAGGGAAUUUAAAAGAUGACCAUUUUUCAUUUCAAGUAUGGAUACCUAUUGAAAAGCAGUUCUCAAGAGACAACUUCUUUCUGAUUGAUUUUAGGUUCAUUUGAAUGCCCCACAUGCAUGAUUCCACAAUUAACUCUCUUUUUUUUUUUUGGUAAUUCAUCUAUUUUGAUAACAAAACCAUCUGAAUGUUCAUCAAUCAAAUGAUCAAAAAGAUUAUUUGGGGCUUCAAGUAAAUUUGGCUUUUGCCCAAAGUGAGUACAAAUGAUCACUCGGUAAAUGAUUCAAAAAAAAAGAUGAAUGUAGCACAAGCUAAAAUACUAAACAAAUUAAGAAAAUAUGGCUCAAGAAAUUUAGGUGGUGACGUGUUUGAAAAGAGCUUGCCAUUUAUUAAAUCACCAAAAAAUAAAAAGCUUAGGAGAGUGCCUUAAAAGAUUUUACAAAUUAAUUAACUAUCACAUUAUUCAUAGCCCAAAUGAAGAUCAAUAAAUUUUAAGUUUCAUCAUGGUCAAAUAAGGGGAAGUUUGAAACUUUCGUCCCUAGAAAUUCUCAAGGUUUUUAAUCUUCUAAAUGAAAAAAAUUAAAUGUUCAGGGGAAUGGCUCAAGAUACCUAUUCCUAAUAAUAAUUACCAAAUUUCUUGAGAUUUUUUUUUCACAUGCAUUUGUAAGAAGCUAAACAAUUAAAACUCAUAAGAAACCAAUGACUUCAUGUCCAAGAAAUUAAUAUACAAAGAAUAAUCAACCUAUGAUAAAAGAACAUUCCAUUGCUCAAAAAGCUCCUUGGUCAAGGUGCCAUUAUGGAUAAGGCUUUCAAACUUUUCUUUCAACUGUCUGUAUUUCUCAGUCGAGUCCAAUUGCCCCCAUGUUAUAAUCAUAUUUACCAUUUAUAUCAUAACUCUUGGCUAAUGGAUUUGAAGUUGCUUUUAAAGGUAUUGAGGUGAGGUACUAGUACUUUAUCAGCAGUGACAAAAGAGCAAAAAUUAGAAUUAGGAUUUUCUCUAGAUUGUUUCUUGAUCUUAUUUGGCCAUUCAAUGGUCGAGUAAUAGAUUAGGGAUAAUGACUUAUGUGAUGAGCUAAUUGUUGGGUUAGUUGGGGAAAAUAAGGAUUCUAAGAAAAGUUAUUUAUGGUAGGGUGGUAAGGUUAGUACAUGAUAUGGGGUCAAGCUUCCAACCUGUUUCCCUUUAUACAUCACGACAUGAACAUCUUCUCUUUUCAUUCUUGGUACACACACAUCCUUUACGCCAGGUGCAUUAUCUUCUUUAAGCUAUUUACUUUUUAUGGCAUUCUUUAUUAUCUCCCCUGAUAUGACUAUGUUAGUAAAAUUCUUUAUUACAUUUCCAAUCAUCUUUUCAUAAUAUGGAGCUUUAAGAGUGUUAACAAACAAAAAUGUAGUUUUUUUUUUUUUUUGUUAAAGGAGGUUGAACCUAGACAGCAGCACCAUUCCACCUUUGAACAUAUUCUUUGAAACUCUCAACAUCUUUCUUUUCCAUACUUUGUAGAGACAAUUGAUCUGGGACUAACUCUACAAUGUACUUGUAUUGAGUUAUGAAUGCCCUGGCCAAUUCUUUUCAUGAAGUGAUUCGAGUUCUAUCAAACUAAGUAUACCACUGAGCAGUAGAUCUCUUAAGAUUAUCUUAGAAUACAUGAAUCAAGAAUUUGUUAUCACAGGUAUGGGCAACCGUCUUUUUACAAUAAAUAAUGAGAUGGUCAUCGGGCAUUUGGUACCAUUAUAUUUCUCAUAUUUUGAUACCUUGAACUUGGGUAAAAUAAUCACAUCUAGCACUAAGCAAAGCUCUAAUGCAUCCAUAGAUCCAUAAAAAUCUAUUUUUUUGAUAGCUCUAAGCCUCUCUUAUAUGAGAUCCAUUUUUUUUAGCACCUGAAUCUUUUAUUGCUUCAAAUGAACUUUUCAUCAGUUUUACUAGCUUUUCAAAAUCAUCAAGGGUUGGAUUUGGUGAAGCUAUUAAAAGAAUUAUAGAACAAGAGUAUGCCUCUAAAGGUGGUACUUGUUGUGAUUGUACCCCUUGGGAUGUUUAUAUGCAAGUUUCUUCCACCUCUUUCUCUUUAUUUAAAUUUUUUAGCAUUUCAUUAUCUAAGCAAAAUCUACUCUCAUUUUCUCAAUUUGGCUAUGUUGUUUUGGCUCAUAAGUGGCAAGGAGAUUACCUUGAUGAUCGGGCUUUUAAACCUUAUUACCGUAAUUAAGAAUUAGGACAAUGUCUAUUGUGAAUUUAUGCAAGAAAAUAAAAAAUGUAUAUAUGAAUGAAUGGAUGCAUGCAUUAAAUUCUAUCAUAUAAUAAGAAAGAGAAGAAAAAGGAAAUCUUUAAUUAAAAAUUGUUUUGACAAAAACAUCCAAAAUCAUUCCUAGGAAAAAUCCUAAAAUCUAUUGCCUGAUCCUAUUCUUUAGCUUUAAGAUCUUGGUACUACCAUGGAUAAGUUUUCAACCACUAUGAUUAUGCAAUACCCUUUUAACAAUCUUUGGCUUUCCUUUAUCCAAAACUCGCAUUAUCUCUUAUUAAACUUUGCACCUUAUGCUUGAAAGCAAUGCAAUUUUUAUUAAAUGGCUUGUAUUCCAAAGUGAUAAUCACGUCGAGCUUCAGCCUCAAACAAUUUAAGAUAAGGUGGUUUUAGUAGCUUUAAAGGAACUGAUGUGAUUAGAUAAUUUUUGAGGAGCACCAGGAAUAAUUUAAUGUAAGUCACAAGGAUUGGAUCAAUGAUGGCUCUCUCUUUUUCAUUCACUUAAUGAUUUUUUGAGUUGAGUAGUUUUUUUACUCACAGGUGCAGAGUUUGGAGUAAAAUUAGGUGUAUAUACCCAAAAGUUUAUUGGUGGGGAGCACAACUGCUGAGCUAAAGGGUUUUGACAAGCAUAAUUCAUAACAAAAAAGUAUAUGGGUAUGGGCUAAUCUAUGAGUUGAAUAAAACAAGCUUUGUUUGGGAUGCUAAAAGAGAUUGUUUAGGAAUAACCAGUUGGAGAUUUAAGUAUAAGCCAAUUUGUAAAAUCGAUGCAAGGUUAGAAGGCCUUAUCUCUUCUUCUUCUUUUCUGACUUGGUCUUUUCUUGGGCCAUUGGAUGCAUUGACAUGACUUGGAUCGUAUUAGUAUUAUAAGAGGCUUUUUGACCUUAACAAAAUGGUUGCUUAAUGCACACACAAAUUGGAGUUGAUGAGAAUUCUUGAGAAUGAGCCACUUCAAGAUUUUCCACCAUUUCCACUAGCUUGGUAAGUUGCAUUUUUAUUUCUUGUAGGUCAUGUCCAAAUUCCUUUGGUUGAGUUUCAAAGCUUGGAUCUAUGCUUUUAACAGAUCUCCUAUCUCUUCUGAAUUGUUGUCCCAAAAGAUUAAAAGAUUUCUAUUAUACAAUGACAUGAUGAAUGAAUGAUGAUGAUGAUCUAUGAAUAAGUGAGAUGCAUGAAAUGAAUGAAAAUAGACAAACAAAGAAAUAAAUAAAUGCAAACUUAUUGAUGCUAACAUGAUUCAAGCAAAAGAAAGUAACAACAAGAACAAAGUUAACAACCAAUAUAAAGAAAGAAAAAGCAAAAUAAUUUAAUGCAUAACUUAAAAGAUAUGUGACCUAAUUUGGAGUAUUUAUACAAAAAAGGAAAGAUAUGGAUCUACCUAUGGGUAUUACAACUCACUAUAUGUGGUUUAGGAUUGAUUCUACAUGUUCCCAAAUUAUUCCUCACAUCAUUGUCCGUCACAAACUAGUAAAACACCCUAAUCUUUACCCAUUAUAGGUUACAAACGAUAAUGGUUCAAUUCAAGUGGGAGUGUUUAACUAGCCUAUGCCAAGACAUGAAAUCUCAUGAAGGCAUAGGUACUUUACUCCUCUUAAGGGACAGAACUCGAUUGUAGAAUUCACGUUAUUUUAUUUUAUUUAAAAAAUAAUUAAGUCCUUUAAUAGUUUGGUAAGAUUUAAUUCAAGAUUUAAAUCCUCUAAUAGUUUGAUAGGAUUAAAAAUUUAUUAUUAAAAAAAUUAUAUUAUGAAAUUCUCCAAUAGUUUGGUAGAAUUCAUAAUUUAAAAUUUAUAAACCCAUAAAAUAAACAAUUCAUAAUUUAAAACUCACAGUCUUUAAAUUUUAUUUUAAACAUACAUUAAAAAUGAAAUAAAUGAAAAAAUAUAUAAAAAAAUAAAAUGUGAAAAUUACCUUAAUAGAUGGGGACACGUCUAGGUGGAAGUAUCCUUUGAUUUAUAGUGACAAAUAAUCACUAAUUCGAACAAAAGAGAUCUGCCACCAAUUCUAAUCAAAGAGCUUGGGUAUAAAUUGCUACUCAUCUAUUUCUUAAUGGGUUUCUCUUUUUUUUUCCCUAUUUUAUUUUUUAUGUGUGGUUGAUUGAUAGGGUCUUUUGCAAGGAAUUUUAGAGAUUUGCAUUGAAUGAAAAGGAUUAUAGAUUUAAUUAAGCUCUAAAUUGAUUUUUACCUAGAUGCUCUUGAAAAUUCGUUUAAUUAGUUUUUGAAAUUAUUUUGAUAUUUCUUAAUUUUCAGAAUCCCUCAAAAUUUUUCGAAUUAAAUCUGACUUUGAUUCCUUGAUUUACUUUCUUUUCAACCUUUGUUUUAAUAUUUUAAAAGAUCAUGUUUUAGUUUUGAUUACCGAGAUUUUCUUUGAUUAGUGCUUAAAUUACUCCAUAAAUUUCAUUGACUUGAUUUAUGAUAAAAAUUUAAAACUAGAUAAGUAAAAGACUAAAACAUAAAAAAGAUACAUAAAUAAAUAAGACAAAUAAGAUAUAAAAAAAAUGUUGGAAAUUGGACAAUUAGUCUUUGUUGGAGCCCUGAACUAAAUAAGGUGUCAGACAAAUAUAUAUUUUAUACUUUUAUACUUUUUAAAUUAGAUAAUUUUGUAAAAAAUGAUAUUGAUGGAAGUGUCUACAUGGCAUCCUUAUUUGUUUUCUUUCAACCUUUCAUUUUUUUAUAAAUUUUUAUUUUAAAAAAGGUUAAUAAUAAAAAUUUUACAAGAAUAGUUCAUCAUUGCUAAUUUCGGGUGACAACUUAACUUUUUUUAUCCUUUUUUUCGUUUUGAUUUUUUUUUACUUUUACUUUUUUUAGUUUUUUUCUCCCUUUAUUUUUUAUUAGGUCAAUUGUUUAAACAAAAGAAAAACCAACAAAUGAGCCCAUGUGGCAUCCUAUUUCAUUUUUUUACCUUUCAUCUAUUUUUUUAAUUAGAUAAAUAACACAAUAAAUAGAAAACAGUAAAUAAAUUUUUUAAGAAAAAAGUCAAUUGAGGUAUUUACAAUAAAUUUUCUUAAUUAGAUAAUUUUUUGAGAAAAUAAUGACAAUAUAGGUGUUCACAUAACAUCCUCACUUGUUUUUUUCUUUUAUAAUUUUAUAUUUUAAUUAGAUAAAUUUUAUAAUAAAAUGAUAUGAUUGAUAAAAAUAGUAAAACAAUCAAUAUUUAUUGAUUUUGAUACAUCUCGAUUUGCUAUGGGUGUUUUUAUAAAAAUCGAUAUCAAAUCGAAUCAUGUUGGUUUUUACGGUAAGGAGAGGUAAGAUGUGGAUUUAGGAUGCUUUGUCCUAAAUCAUCUCGUGUAUACAUAAAUUAUAUAUUUUAUUAUUAAUUUGGUUUUAUAUUAUAUACAUGUAUUAUAUUAAUAAAAUUAUUAUUUAAUACUUUAAUUUAAUAAAUUAAUAUUUUAAACUCAAUAGAGGUGUCCAUGUGGCACCCUUAUUGAGCUUUUUUUGUUUUGUUUUUCCUUUUUUUGGUUUUUUCAAUUUUUUUUUUAAUUCUUUUAUUAGAUAAAUUUAGUGAGAAAAAAAAGGCUAAUUGAAUAUCCACAUGGACACUUCCAUUUAUUUUUUUUAUCAUUUACUUUUUUAAUUAGAUAAAUUUUAAAAAAAUAACAUAAAAAUUAUUUUUAAUUUAAUUUUAUUAAAAUUUAUAUCAAAAUAAUAAUAAAAAAUAACUCAUGAAUAUUUAAUAGGAAAAUAGUUAACCUAUGCUACGAGCUCAUUGGCUAUAUUCAAGAAUAAAAUGUAAAGAAAUUAUUAAACCCCAUCUCUUAAUUUAAUCUAAUAGAACACUGCUAGGUAGUUUAAUUUAUAGAGAUCAUUAGAAAUUAAUUACUUUCUUUAGUCAACUGCUAGGUUUUUGGAAACAAGUGCCAGAAAAAUCGAUAGCCUAAAAUUUCCAAUUCUUGCAUUUUGAAUCAGGUUGUAGAUUUCUUAUGGUCUGUGAGCCCAUUGACUCAUUAAUUAUGUUCUUCAUCAGGCCUAAAAAUAUAUUUAACCAUAAAUUUAUGGUGCUAAAAUUUAUGCAAGUGUGCCAUACAUUUAUAUUAUAAAAAUUAUCACAUUCACCUUGUAGUAAAUGGAUUUUUGAAUGUAUUCAUCAAAUUGUAAUGUAGGGUGAGCAAUUGAUAUAAUAUUAAAAUUUUAAUUUUAAUGAUGUCAUAACAUAUAGAUCCAUGGACCUACUACUAGAUAUGGAUUAGAGGAGUUACCACCAAUCUUUUUUGGUUAGGUGUGAUUGACCACCUGAUUGAAUUGAUCUACAAGACAAAUGUUAGGUUCGAAAUUCGAUUACGCUUGCAGAAGGUUGUAGCACCCCCACAGCACCCAUCCAAAGGAUGGUACCAGUUUGAUUUUGAAUCAUCCAAGCCUUGGUCAUUUUAUGAUUUUACCAAAUACUUUAGUAUUGAAAAUUAACCCUAAAAUUGUCCCAAUAUUUUUGUAGCAAUUCAGGAUAAUUCUCUCACCUUAUGAGUAUUCAUGGAGAUUAGUGUCCCACUCUAAAGAAGCUCUUUUAUCGGAUUUAUUAAUUUAUUUCAAGAAAAAGUAAAUCUCCUAAUAGUUUGCUAGGACUUACUUUGAAGUAAUCCUCCAAUAGUUUAGAGGAUAAAAAUUAUUUAUUUAUUUGAAAAGACCUUUUUUUUAUUGAAAAGAUUUUUUAAUUAUUUGUUAUUAUUUUGAAACUUUAUUUACAAAAACUUCUUUGUUUGAAAAGAUUUUUUUUAGAAUUAUUUUUCUUUCUUUUUUUUACUUUCAGAAAUAAAAAUGGAAGAAAUAACAUUUUUUUAAAAAAAUAAAAGGGUUAAAUAAAAUAAAAUAAAAUUAAAAAUAAAAUAAAAUAGGAAAAAGGGAAAACUUACGUUCAGGUCGGGUCGGUACCAAGGACCGAAGGCGGGUCAACGGGUCACAUGCGGAUCUUUGGCUAUCCAAAAUGGUGUCGUGUUGGAAGAGUAUUAAAGCCUCACCCACUCAGCUUUUCUUCAAAAUUAUUUGAUUAAGCCUUUCUUUCUAAAAUGUCUAUUCUUCUGUGUUCUUUCUAAUUGAUUUUCAGAAAUUGACGAAUAAAUCUUAAAAGCUGAUAGAAAAUUUCCAAGAACCCAACAAAUUGUCUAGAAAGCUAAGCUCAGAAGUCUCUAGAAUGCGAAACCCUACAGAAAUUUAAACCCAAAAACACCAAAUCCCAAUCCUAGAAAAUCUAAAUAAAUCAAAUCCAAGACCUAAAACCUUUUGGUUGCUAAACAAAUUUCUCUUUUUUUUUCUCUAGAGUUUCUGCAUAAUCUUUUUUUUUUCUCCUUUCCCUUGCUUUGAUCACAAGUUUAUAUAGAGUUAUGCUUAAUCAAGUCUUCUUAAAUCCAUGAUUUUGUUUGAUUUCCGUUUUAAUGAGAAUUGAUUUUGAAAUCAAAUCCCAAAAAUCUAUCCCUAUCAUUUUAAUGUGAAUUGAUUAUGGAAUUAAAUCCCAACAAUCUCUCUACAUCAAAUGCCAAUUGAUUCUAGAAUUAAAUUCCAAAAAUCUCUCAACUACUAUUAAACUCCGAAAAAUAUUGCCUAGACAAAAUGAGUUGUCUACAAAUGAUCCAAAGUUCAAAUUUUGACAAUUUUAAAUAUGAAUUCUUUAUAUCAUCUUACAUUAUACAUGCCACAUGUAAUAAUACCACCACAAAGCAAGUAAAUAAAAGCUAAAACAUAUCUUAUAAAAUGUGGAAAUUAUAGUGGGGAAUUGGGGGUUAGAUAAUAGGGAAGCCCUUAAAAAAUAUGAAUUAUUACUAAAUUAUAUAGCAUCAUCUUAAUAAAUAAUUUUGUAAGAAACCUUUAUGAAGUAAGAGGAGGUCUAAAUUUAUAAUUGAAAAAUGAAUUAGCUAAUAGUAGGGAUAGAAAAAUAACUUAAAAGAUUAGUAAUUUCAUCAAUCAGAUAAAUGAUUUUUUAAAAAAUAAUGCUAAAACUUGUUUUAAACCAACGCAAUGCAUAAAUGACAUCACAAAUUAAUCUUCAUAUACGUCUUGCAAACAUUUUAAUAAAAUUACAAAAAAAUUUUAAGUAUUUCCAAAAGUAAAAUCCAGAUAUAUAUAUAUUGCUAACAUGCUAUUUUCAACUUUGAUAAUUGAAGUUACCUUCAUAAAUGAAAUCCCACUUGAAAUCCUGCCACUAAUUAACUCACUUUGAUAUUUUAAUUCUUAUCAGUGUGUAACUAUUUUUUACCUGCUGAGACCAGCAUCGGUAUAUGCUUCAAUCUCUCUGUCAAACAUCUUCAAUUUUAUCAAAACCAUUUUCUUCUAUGCUUACAUAUGCGAGUGCAAACACAUUUGCGUGUGUGUGAAAAUAAAAGGAAUUAAGCGUUUUAAGUAGAUUCAUAUAUACACUAUCUGCUUUCCUCCCAAAUAUGUUUGCUUUCAAGUUUCCUCAAACCGUUUGUCAUAUUUUUAGGUAUUAAAAAUAUUAACAUAUAAUUUAUAAUAGUGCGAUCAACGUGGUCAUGGUAUUUGAUACACAUAAUAUAACUUGCAAGCAUACAAAAUUACACACAGAUUCGCAUAAAACAGGGGGUUUUAUUUUAUUUAAUUUUAUCAUGUUUUUGAGAAAACAUGAAAGAAAAAGACCCAAAGAUACAUAUUUAUUUNNNNNNNNNNNNNNNNNNNNNNNNNNNNNNNNNNNNNNNNNNNNNNNNNNNNNNNNNNNNNNNNNNNNNNNNNNNNNNNNNNNNNNNNNNNNNNNNNNNNNNNNNNNNNNNNNNNNNNNNNNNNNNNNNNNNNNNNNNNNNNNNNNNNNNNNNNNNNNNNNNNNNNNNNNNNNNNNNNNNNNNNNNNNNNNNNNNNNNNNNNNNNNNNNNNNNNNNNNNNNNNNNNNNNNNNNNNNNNNNNNNNNNNNNNNNNNNNNNNNNNNNNNNNNNNNNNNNNNNNNNNNNNNNNNNNNNNNNNNNNNNNNNNNNNNNNNNNNNNNNNNNNNNNNNNNNNNNNNNNNNNNNNNNNNNNNNNNNNNNNNNNNNNNNNNNNNNNNNNNNNNNNNNNNNNNNNNNNNNNNNNNNNNNNNNNNNNNNNNNNNNNNNNNNNNNNNNNNNNNNNNNNNNNNNNNNNNNNNNNNNNNNNNNNNNNNNNNNNNNNNNNNNNNNNNNNNNNNNNNNNNNNNNNNNNNNNNNNNNNNNNNNNNNNNNNNNNNNNNNNNNNNNNNNNNNNNNNNNNNNNNNNNNNNNNNNNNNNNNNNNNNNNNNNNNNNNNNNNNNNNNNNNNNNNNNNNNNNNNNNNNNNNNNNNNNNNNNNNNNNNNNNNNNNNNNNNNNNNNNNNNNNNNNNNNNNNNNNNNNNNNNNNNNNNNNNNNNNNNNNNNNNNNNNNNNNNNNNNNNNNNNNNNNNNNNNNNNNNNNNNNNNNNNNNNNNNNNNNNNNNNNNNNNNNNNNNNNNNNNNNNNNNNNNNNNNNNNNNNNNNNNNNNNNNNNNNNNNNNNNNNNNNNNNNNNNNNNNNNNNNNNNNNNNNNNNNNNNNNNNNNNNNNNNNNNNNNNNNNNNNNNNNNNNNNNNNNNNNNNNNNNNNNNNNNNNNNNNNNNNNNNNNNNNNNNNNNNNNNNNNNNNNNNNNNNNNNNNNNNNNNNNNNNNNNNNNNNNNNNNNNNNNNNNNNNNNNNNNNNAAUUAAUCCAAUUCCCUUUGAGAUUUGGAUUAAUCUUUGAACCAAUCUCAACUUUGCCAGCCCCAAAUUCACCACAGAAUCUCAGUUGUCAUCUAAUCAAUCCAAUCUGGUAAGCAGAAAAAGAAAGAAAGAAAAGAAAAAAUAAAAUAAAGAUAAUAUAUUAAUAGAUAACCAAAAGAAAAUAAUUAGAUAAAUAAAAAAUAUUAAUAGAUAAAUAAUAAUAAAGUAUAUAUAUUAACAGAUAAAUAAUAAUAAAUAUAUAUUAAUAAAUAGUAAUAAUAAAUAAAUAAAUAAGAUACACAAAAUAAAAAUACAAAAUAAAAAAUAAAAUAAAAUGGGCUUACCCAUUUGGACCAGACCCAAUUAAUCCGGGCCUGGACCAAAUUGGGUGUCUACAAACAUAACUCUUCAAUUCAAGUGUCCACAUUCGAUCAAAAUGAAUUUUUAAGGUACAUAAUAUAGGCCAAGGUUGGGGGUUCUGAAAGAAAAAGAUAAAUGGCUCAAAAUAUAUUAUUUAAGAUAAUUAGGCCAAGAAUCUUACGAAGCAUUCGCUGGGCAAAAAGCCAUGUGUCCAUUUUUUUUGUUCUUUUUUUUUCUAAUUUUUUGAUUAACGUAUCAUACACUUAAAAAAUUCAAAACUAAUCUGAAAGAGGAAAAAAAAAUUUUCAAAAGGGGUCAAUGGUCCAAACAAAAAAUUAUGUAAUAAAUGGGCACUUCAAAAUAUUUAUGAUCAUUCUUCCAAGAGAAACUCUUCAAUUUUAAACCCUCAUGCUUGAUCUAAUAUGAACUUUUUAAAGGUUAUAAUGUAGGUUAAGGUUCAGGGUUGUCAAAGAAAAUGAUAGAAAGACUCAAAAUAAAUAUUAAAAGGUAUUUAAAACUAAGGGUCAUUUUUUUUGUUCGAAGGAUACACUUUGAGGUCUAUUCCUUUUUGCUUUCCACCCUUCAUUUCUUCUCUUUUUUUUUUUUUUUUUACUGAGUGGAUUGUAAACUUUCAUAUUGAACCUUUGCCUCAACAUAUGGGAUUCCAUUCAGUCAUCCUCAUUCUUAACCCUCAAAUGUGUUCCUUUUUACCUCCCAGUGUGAAGGGUGAUCCUUAGUUAGGGUUUAUUUUGAAAAAAUUCAAUCAGGUCAAAAAGGGUAACAAAGGAUUAAUUUUUAUAUUUGUGAAAAGAUAAUGAAAGAUGAUCAUUUAUCAUUUCAAAUAUAAAAGUGAAAUUGAAUAGGAAUUCUCUUUAGGAAAAUGAUCUCGAAGAACAGUUUUUAUUUCCAUAAUUUUUUUUACUUUUUACUUUUUUUUCACAUUUUCUAAUUUAGGCCUUUUUCUUACCCCCUUUCCAAAACUUUGAAUUUGUCAAAGACUUUAUUAGAAUUUAUUCAAAAUUUUCAAGUGCAUGAUGUUAUAACCAUUUUUUUAUUUCUUUUUUUUCUCUUUUUUUUUAUUUAGGACAUUUGACUUCAUCUUUAGCAAUCAAAGAUAUUCUCAAUAUCAUACACUUUCCUUAAAAUUGGGCUUUUAAGGAUAUCCUUAUUUUUUCUCCCAAAGUAAAAAACGAUCUUUGACCAUGGUUUAUUUUGGAAACAAAUAAAUUUAAUAAGCUUAAAAAGGUAGCAAGUGGAAAAUAUUUUUAUAAGCAACGGAUAAAGAAAAAUGGCCAUUCAUUAUUUCAAACACAAUCACUUGAUUAGAAGAGCAAUGCAUUUGAAGAAAUAAAAGCUUUUAUUUGUUUUUAUUCCUAUUUUCAUUUUUUUAUCUUUAACCAUUAAUCAUUUUUGUAUAACUGAUGCCCGAUCUUGUUUGCCUACUCAAGGUUCUUAUGAUGAUGAGAAUCAGGUUGUAUGAGAUGUCCAAAUUUUGGAUGCAUAGUUUACAAAAGGGUUCAUUUGGUUCCAAAUUGUCUAGCAUUUUGAGGAAAAAGGAUAUUAAGGCAUGAAAAAAUUGUCUUAGGCAAGAAAGAAGUUUACUUCUUUUAGUCACUAUGCCUUAAGACAUGAAACAACAGUUACUUAAAAGAAAGAGUUCAAGCAUUUUUAUGUCUAUGUCAUCAAAAGAAUUUGGAUGGUUCGAUCAUAUUGACAAGAUUUGAUACACAUUGAAUUACCAAUUAAAAAAAUUAAAAGAGUAUCUUGGUUUUUGAAAUUCAAAAUAAAUUUUCAAAAUUGGUCACUUUCAUUAAUUACCCAAGAAAUGAUUAUGGCUUCAAUGUAUCAAAUUGUAACAUGGUUCGCAAGUGGAAAUUCAUGUCCUUUAAAGGAUUAUGAAAGGAUUAAAACAUAAGAAUGGUUAAGAAAAAAAAAGUGUAAUGGAAUUGGAUGAGGUUUUGUUUUUUAUAGUAAUCACCCAUGAUUUUGAGAUUCUCACCAUAAAAAAAUCAUAAAUUUCCCAUUGAAAAAGCCUAUAUUUUUAUUUGAUCUUGAAAACUACUUAUAUGGGACUUUAUUGUGAAUUUUGUUUUAAAUGCUUUUCAUUUUAUGAUUUUAAAAAUUAAUUAUGUGAGAUUGUUAUUCAAACAAAUACAUACAAAUAAAAUUUCAUAGAAAAAUUGAAAGCAUUCCUUUCUUCCAAAAUAAUGUUUAACAAGAUUGAUUUAAAUAACUCCUAAAGACCCAUGCAUAUAUCAUGUACAAAAGGUUAAAGGUUUAAAAGAAAACCAUUAUAUAUUGAUAUUUCAAUACCGUAGACACCCAAUUUCGUACAGACUCAGAUCAAUUGGGCCAAAUCCAAAUGGCAAGAUGGGCCCACAUUAUUUUAUUUUUUUUAUUAUUUAUUUAUUAUUAUUAGUAUUAUUUUUUUCGUUUGUUAUUUAUAAUUAUUACUUAUUAUUAUUAUUAUUAUCAUUAUUUAUUUAUUAUUAUUAUUAUUAUUACUAUUAUUAUUAUCAUUUUUUUUGGAUUUUAUCUUUUUUUUCUUGAUUAAUUAAGAGAUAAUGAUCAGAUUAAUUAAAAAUAAUAAAAAAAUUAUGGAAGUGGAUUUGGCCGUGAAUUUUAGGGCUGACAGAGUUGGGAUUGGAUUCAAAAAUUAAAUCCCAAUCCCAAAUUGAAUUGGGAUUGAUCAGAAACUCUUCUAAUCAAUCCCUAUAAAUAGAGGCUGAAAUACACAGAAAAGACACCAAAGACAGACAGAGGGUAAACAAAAGAAAUCAGAAGCAAGAAAAAGGGUUUCAAGGAAUAGAAGCAGUGUUCUAGAAUUUUUGGGAAAAUUUUUGAAUUUUUGGCAUUUUUUCUAGGAAAUUUAUGGAAAAUUCCAGAUUUCGAGUAAUUUUUCGAUGACAUUCAAGUUUUUCGAUGACUAUUUCAGUGAAAGACCUAGUUUUCGACAUGUUUUCCAUAUUUCGAUAGAACAUUCAAUCGAAAUCUGGGUUCUGUUUAGAGAGAAGUAGGAGAAAAAGAAAAAUGAGAGAGAGAAGGAAGGAAGCAAUCUGCAGACGAAUAGAAGUUAGAGCAUUUUAUACUGUUUAAAAAUGACAUCAUUUUUUUGUUUAAAGUCCCAAAGGAUCUGUGCAUUUUGCCAUCAGGCGACCCGACUCGAAAGUCAACCCGUUUUUUGCCCUCAUCUAACUCGAGUACCGACAUAGCCCUGAAGCCGAGCCAAUUCGAGCCGUACACUCCCGAGCUAUUUUUCUUUCUCAAGCCGAAUUGAAUCACAGCUGCUGAGCCGAACCAUUUCAAGGUUUUUUUUUAAAUUUAUUUAUUUAUUUAUAUUAUUCUUGUUGUUAUUAUUAUUUCUAAAUUAGAAUUAUUUGGUUUUUUAUUUUUAUUUUUAUUUUUCUAUUUCUUUUCAAUGAUUUUUCUAAAAUAAAAUUUCAAAAAAUAUUUUUGAGGAAAAGUUGAAAGUAUCAAUUUUUCUUAAAAGUAAAAUUUCUAAAAAUAAAAAUUUCCAAAAAAAUUUUUAAGGAAAAAGUUGAAAGUAUCAAUUUUUCUUUGAAAAUAAAAUGUAAAAAAAAUAAUUUUAAAGAUAGUUGAAAGUAUCAAUUUUCCUUUAAAAUAAAAAGGUUUAAAAAAAUAAUUUUAAAGAAAGUUGAAAGUAUCAAUUUCUCUUGUUUGGCGUGACUGCACCUAGAUGUUCAAAAGCAUCCUUGAGCUGGUCCCUGGUGAUGCUGCCCUGCUUAGAGUAAGAUCGAAACACUUGUUCCAAUUUGUUUUUCUGAUCCUUGUUAUCCUUUGUGGCUUGCAUUGUGGAUUUUGAGGUUUAUGACAGGGUGAUAUAAGAGAAAGGGCUUGCCUAGCUUGGUUU